UGGUUCAGAGCCUUGGUUUGAUUGCAGCAGGCUUAAUCAUGCAAGCGGCACCCAGUACUCCGCGGCAGCUGUCCAGCGCACGGCAGUAGUGAUCUGUUUCGUGCUUGCCCCGUGUCACCGUACCUGACCUCCUUCCCCUCCCCUUGACCCCUCAGGUCAUCCUGAUGGGCCUGAUUGAGGGCUACCGCGUCAACGGCGGCCCUGCUGGCGAGGGCCUGGACCCCCUGUACCCCGGCGAGUCGUUCGACCCCCUGGGCCUGGCUGACGACCCCGACACCUUCGCUGAGCUGAAGGUGAAGGAGAUCAAGAACGGCCGCCUGGCCAUGUUCUCCAUGUUCGGCUUCUUCGUCCAGGCCAUCGUGACCGGCAAGGGCCCCGUCCAGAACCUGGACGACCACCUGGCCAACCCCACCGUCAACAACGCGUUCGCCUUCGCCACCAAGUUCACCCCCUCCGCGUAAAUGCCUCGAUAGGUGCCUCGAGAGCGAAAGAAUGGCUUACGUAAAGAUUGUGCAUAGUCCUGCAGGAGUGGAGUGGAGCGGUUUGCAGGCUUUUGUUUGCUAUUGAUGGCUCUGUUUUUGUUCCCUGGCAUCAGGGAGUGGGCCUUGACUUCUUACAUGUGAACUGACUCGAAUGUUGCGUGUGGAAUGGACCAAGAUGACCCUUGAGCAUUGAAGAGAAGAAACCCCGCAGAAGUGAAGGCGCAAAUGUGCCACAUGAUGUCCGCAAAUGGCCCUUACCGUGGGGGCAUGUCGCACCCGUGGAGGGCACUGUAAAGGAUGAGUUACGGUGCCAACACCGGCGUCUGGAUGGGAGGGCAUCUCACGAGCAGGGCCAAAAGACACCGCGAGCUGCAUACUAAUGGGGCGGUGCAGCCGUAGGUCAGCAUAUGCUGCGCACAGCAUCAGCAAACUCUUUGACCUUAGGUUUGGCCACAGGUUAGGCCUUUGUGCAGCUGGAAAGCAGGAAAGUCCUUUCAAAGAGUGGCACUUCUUUGCCCCGCAAAGCCCCGGACACAUGACAGUGCUGCCAACAGCAGCUUGGCACAGGGUGUUUGCGCGGGCAGACCUAUCAUGCACGGAGCGUGCGGUGGCCGUUCCUAUCCCGGUGACCCGGCCGCUCCGUUCCAUUCACUUCCUUACUCCGCCCGCCUUAAAGAUCUGUUGCAAGCAAUUUUCAGUGGUAGCCCCAUGUGCGGAUGUGCGGAGGGUUGCGCGCCUGCAAGGUCUGCCCGCGCAAACACCCUGUGCCAAGCUGCUGUUGGCAGCACUGUCAUGUGUCCGGGGCUUUCCACAAAAUACCCUGUGUUGAGCUGCUGUCGGCAGAAGGGCCGUUGCCCCUGCACUGCCAUGUUUCGCGGUCUACACUGGGGCGGAGCUGCGGCUGCUGUGCACCGCAAGGGAGCUGCUGCUUACCACGCACUCACCCCGUCGGGGCCCACCCAGCGCCCUCUGAGCACAGCAAAUCUUGGGCUUCCGAUGACUCGCAAUGCACGUGCGGAAACCAUAGUUUACACGGCCUGUGCACACGCAUCACCCCUGACACGCACCAAAGAGAAAUCGACCACUCAGCCGCCAAUCCUGCAUUCACUAGUGUGCCAUCACAGCCAUCACAUAGAUUUCCGCUGGUCUGAGGCCUUCACGUAAUGCAGGGAAGACGCAAAGCCACGCUACGCAAGCGCGACGGCCCUUACUCUUGUCACCGCUGGGAACUGGGAUCGCACCGGACGUUCCGGGUCUGGUGAAGCGUACAUCUUACUGUACCAUGCAGCACUUGCGCCUCGCUCGCGUGCCACGCAGCUACCACAAUGCCCUACACCCGGCUGCGCUUCCGCUCAUCCCUCGUAGCCAACCUGCAUUGCAACUCUCUGCCUAGGGUCACCGCUGGGGUGUGAUGGUACAAGGCGGCUCGCAGGCUGCGACCGCCCCUAAGGCCUAUUUACGGCGCUUUUGCAACUGCUGCAACUUCCCUCCGCCCUCACUGCAACGCGCCCCAACGCUCUGGGCCAACAAUGAUGCGACCUGCUUCGUCACCAGGGCCAUGGCGGUGCGCACUCCUGAUACUCAUCACCAAUUAUGCGGCCGACCUCCCCAUGCAUCGCACGAUACCACGUAUACCACAGCAUCCGCACACGGAGGGCUCAGUCCCAGUUGCCCCAAUCCUCGUCCACCUCCUCUUCAUCCUUGCCGCCUGUAGGACCGGCCUUCGGCCCAGCCGCGGCUGCUGGUUUGGCCACAGCCGCAGAACUUGCCGUGGCCUCCUUGCCGCUGGCAGCUGCCGCCGCACCCAAGGAAGUGGACGCCGGCUUUGCAGACUCGCCCUCGUCAUCUGAAUCCGCAGUUGCCUUCGCGGCCGGCGCCAAAGCUGCCGGGGCCUGGCGCGCGGGGCUGUCGUCCCACUCCGGGCUCGGGCCCGCUGCGCCCCCACCCGGUAGCUGCGGCGAGUCCGGCGCUCCCCCCACGCUCUUUGCCGGCGUGCCCGACGCCGGCGGCGUACCUGCGCCGCCGGUGCUGCUUGGACCUGCCGCCGCGGGCUUGGAUUCAGAGCUGACCACGACGUAGUCACGUGUGCUGCUGUCGCUGGCGGUCUCCGCGUGCGGCUCCGACUCCAGGUGCGCCCCGUCCGCGUCCACGUGCUCCACGGUGCUGCUGCUGGCGCCGCCACCGCUCUGCACCGCGCUGUCGGAGCCGGCGGCCGGCUCCGCCUCGGCCUUGCUGGGGCUGCGCUCCUCCGGCGUCGCGGGCGACUCCGCGGGCGCCAGCGCAGCUGCGGGUGCAGGCACUGCCGGUGCAGUUGCGGGCGCCGCCGCGAGGUCGGCAGCAGGAGAAGCUGACGUGGAAGCCGGGGCCGGCACCGCCGGCUCGGCUGACGGCGGCAGGGGCACAGGCACCUCCGAAGAGGCAGCUUUCUUCGCCCUGCUGCUGCUGGCCGGAUUAGCCUCCUUGGCCGAAGCGGCCACCGCCGCUGGGGCAGCGGCAGCAGCGGCGCCGCCCUGCUCUGCGGCCGCGUCAGCGGCUGCUGGUGCGGGCGCGGCGGGCGCCUCGUCCUCGUCGCCCCAGCCCAGAGGCACAUCGUCCUCCUGCAGGGUCUUGGCACGCGCCGCCAGCUGCUGCCGCUGCUCCUCCUUCUGCUGCAGUUUGUGCAGCCUGCGCCAAGAAGCCCAUGCCGGCAUCAGUCGACGGACACAGCACAAUACAACACCAUGCUGGUUGCCAAACGCAUCCUCACAAGCGCCCCAAGUCCCAACAGCUACGGCGUGCAGCCCCGACGCCCCCUCUCCCUCCCCAGCCCGCGGCGCCCGCACCUGUAGAAGUAGCGGCUCCAGAAGUCCUCGUGCUCCACAAUGAUGGGCACCAACCGCGACUGCAGCUCCGCCAUGAACGCGUUCUCGCCGGUGAUGCGCGCAAUGUCCGCCGCCACCGCCUCCAGCCGCCAGCCCGCCCGCCAACGGCCGUAGUCCUCGCCGUCCUCCGGCUCGUCGCAGUAGGUGCUGCUGUCGCGCUGCAUGGCCGCCACCUGGCGCGAGUACGGGGGAGGAGCGGUGGAGGCAGGCGAGACGCGGCCAGGCACGAAGGGCAGGGCUGAAGGAGCCACCUAGCGACAGGGCGUAGCGCACGUGCCCCGAGCUAACACCCUACAGCCGGCCCUGCUGGUGCAGUUGUUGAGAUCCGCCCAGCCCGCCCACCUCGGCAUCGAAGCGGUUGUAUUUGGCCUGCACGCCCGACAGCUUGGCCGCACUGGUGGCGGCGGCCUUGCUCCGGCCGGCGCGCUUGCCCUCGCGCGAGGCCGCCGCAAUCUCCGUGUCCACACCUUCGCGCAGCUGCAGGGGCGCGUGUAGGUGUGUGAUAGCAAGGGGACAGCACGAGGGGAGAGGGUUAACACUGUGCAUGCCUGAAUGGUCGUGCUUCUGUGUGUUAAAAAACGAAACAAAAGCCCGCCCAGACGCAUCUGUGUGUAUGUGCGCGAGGGUGUGCGUGUGAAGGGCCAGGCAAGCCGGGGAGUCAUGAGAUGGUUGGGCAGGGCCGGACGGGUGCUACGAGGGAACAGGAACAAAUGAGGCAUGCUGGCUGGCCAACACAGACACCGGUAUGCACGGAGUGUCUUUCUCCAGACAGCUUCGUAACCGUGGGAAGGCCGCUACAGUUCAGAGAUUUGCGGAGAGAGCGGGCCACCACUUCCAUCGCCGCUGCCUGUACCACCCAACGCAACCCGCCGGCGCUGCUUAAGCAGUGUCCCCACCUCGUCAAUUAGUUCACGCGUGCCCAUAAGCAGCGUCUUGCCGAACUCCGACAGCGCCGCGCUCACGCCGCCCAGCGUCUGACCCACAUCCUUGGGCAGCUGCACCUGCCCCGUGGCCGACUGAAGCACCUCCUCAGCCUGUACCGGCACGACACAAAAGCGAGGUGGGGACACAACACACCAGCGAGGCGGGGAUACAAGCAGGAGACUUGUUUGCAACGCAAGGAAGGUCCGUGGAACCAUUGGGUGGUGUCGGCGGGAACCGUGCCAUCCGUGCCCUCAUUCCCUUUCCCUAGCCCUUCUCCCCCACGUUUCGAGUCCCACCUUCUCGGGCAGGUGAACCACCUGCUCGGGCAGAUGCUCCACCAGCUCCGCCGUCUUCUCCUUGAGCGUUUUGGACUCCUCGCCGACCUCGCGGCUGAACGUGCUCAACUCGCUCUUCCAGUCCGUGUCCACCACGCUCUUCACCAGCUCAUCCGCGCGAGCUUUCACUGUAUUUGUGACUGCCGUGGCGACGCUCCACAGGUUCCACUGGUUUGCCCUACGAGCAGACCCAAGCAACUGUUUCGAGCAACAGACACGGGGAGCUUCCAACCGCGCUUCGCUUACCCUGUCGAGGUGCUGGCACCAACACCUGCCUCCGCUCCAUCAUCGGUCUGCGACGGUCGCAGGGGUGCGCGCUUGCUCAGCUGCUUUUGACACCGCGACAAUGUCGCACUUGGACCCGCGCCUCGCUCGCCUGCUUCGUACCUUGCUCUCUGGGGCCGCGUGGCCUGCCUCCUCAGCAAAUAGCGCGUUGAACAUGGCGGGCUAGCGACGGCUGCUUCGUGAAGAGCACAGCGGAGCCCUAGCAGAAGCUUCCUCGAAAUUAAAAUUUCAUCAGGUCAGUUACAAUUCGUAAGUAAGUAUAUGGUAUGACUGGAGGUUGUAUUGGCCGUCAGCGCUAGAGCAAUGUGCAGCUGCAAUUGAGGCGGGAUUUGCGCACCAGCCCCACUAGGCCCAAACCUGCCAGUGCUAAGCAGCAUCAUAUUGUACUGAUACAUGCCGACACUGUAUCAACAAAUGCACAUACUGUAAGGCGUUGGACACGCGAUACUCCAGCCAUUUGUUCGCGAAGUGCACUUGUCGUCCGUACUGAAACAAAACUUACAAAGCCAAACCCCAAGCUUAGGCAUACAGAUCAGAGCUUGCUUGGCACACGGCUGUCAAACGUUGAAACUUGCUUUUAUCUUGACUGCUGUGCUUGUUUGCACUGUCUAACAACAUAAACUAGUACUGACGAUAGCCGAGGAGCAGCGCCUGACGGAACUCGGACACGGCGUGGUCGGUGGGCGCGGGGGACCGCCCGAGCGGGCGUAGCAGCCGACACGGCGUGGCAGCUACGCGCGUCCAGCCAUGGACGACGGUACCUUCAUAGACGUAAGAGGGCACGAGUGUGGCCUAGGCCUGGUUGGUGUCUGCAUCAGCCCCCGGCCUCCACGCUAGCGUUGGGCUUGCCUUCACCGCGGCGCCUGGCGCGGGUCACAUGCACAGGAGCAAGGCAGCCGGCGGCUCCGAGACACGGAGCUGGUGGUGCCGGUUGUGGUGGGCACCUGUGCGUGGUGGCUUGGGAAAAAGGUGCGUUUGAGAUGGGCCGGAGUGGCGUGGCUUGGACAUUCCGGGAGGAGCAGCAGGCGCAGCAGGCGCAGCGUGGUCACAGUCCGGAAGCGGCGGGGCGAGCAGGAUUGUGGGAUGGUGGUAUGCGCUGGGCGCUGGCACAGCGGUGGUGCCUGUGUGCUACACGCAGCAUGCUUGAGAGUCUAAAAACGGGUGAUGCGUGUGCGUGAGCGUGAGCGUGCGCGUGCGCGUGUGCGUGCAUGACGGAUGGUGGGGGGGAGGGGCUUGCGCCAGGCGCGGGCCCGUGCGCCGAUUGCUGCCGGCCCGCCGCCCCGCCGCUACUGCUAAGUGCGCGGCCGCUGGUGUCACUGCCGUGUGUCGGGGCGUCGAGUGCAUGUCGCUGCGCCACACGGUAGCUUGCGGCCAUGCCACCCGACUCAUGCUGCACAGCUGGCACAAUCCUCCAGCAUGUCACCCUGCACAUGCUAGCUCCUCACAUGCGCAUACACAAAAACACGGACACAAGCACGGACACACAGGCCAACGCGUAUGUGUGUGUUUUUCCUUUCCCUUGGGCCCGCUAACACAGGCCAACGUGUGUGUGUGUGUGUUUCCUUUCCCUUGGGCCCGCUAACACAGGCCAACGCGUGUGUGUGUUUCCUUUCCCUUGGGCCCGCUAACACAGGCCAACGUGUGUGUGUGUGUGUGUUUCCUUUCCCUUGGGCCCGCCAACACAGGCCAACGCGUGUGUGUUUUUCCUUUCCCUUGGGCCCGCUAACACAGGCCAACGUGUGUGUGUGUGUGUGUGUGUGUGUGUGUGUGUGUGUGUGUGUGUGUGUGUGUGUGUGUGUGUGUGUGUGUGUGUUUCCUUUCCCUUGGGCCCGCCAACACAGGCCAACGCGUGUGUGUGUUUCCUUUCCCUUGGGCCCGCUAACACAGGCCAACGUGUGUGUGUGUGUGUGUGUGUGUGUUUCCUUUCCCUUGGGCCCUCCAACACAGGCCAACGACAGCGUGACGCACAGGUGGACGGUGUAUUUCCGCAGUGCCAACGGGGAGGACCUCAGCCACAUCAUUUCAAAGGUGGGGCAGGGAGCACGCACGCGUGUCUUGGAGCUGGUGGAGGGGAGGGGAGGGGAGGCGGUGCGGUGCGGGUGUGAUGGGGCUGGCGCCGACGCGCCGAAGGCGGGUUGCAUGUCGGGUGUGGACUCUGUAUGGGACCAAGGGCCGGGCAACCAAGUCACCCCGCAGUGGCACAUGUGACUGGGACGUGCGUUUCAAGUGUCGCUGGGCUGCGGGCGUGUCAGCGCUGCCUCGCCCUGUGGCUCCAGUCUUGACGCUACAUGGACACUAUGGCUCGGGCGCGUGGCUAACGGCGGCGCAGGUGACGUUUGAGCUGCACCACACCUUCACCAACCCGCACCGCGUGUGCCUACAAGCGCCGUACGAGGUCACGGAGCAGGGCUGGGGCGAGUUCGACAUCAACAUCACGGUGAGCGGCCGCGCGUAGGCCGUGUGCACGUGUGCUGCGUGGGGCCCGUGUGUGGGUGUGGUGCGCGUAUCGCGUGUGGGUGUGGGUAUACCGGGGGGAUGGCAUCAUGCGCGGCGGGAACCUCACAUGACACACAGUUAAGUGGGGGUCUAAUGCCAGGUUAGCGGCUGGCUGAGCCCUGCCGAAGGCUGGAGCUGAGGAUUAGAUUCGGGCGGGAAAUCGGGCCGCCGCGCCCACUUAGCGGGCGCUGGGGCUCCGGGGGUAAUAACGUAGCGCUGCUCAACAGGGAUCGUUCACCGCCCGUAGCUGCUCCAGCGUAUGCCUGAGUACUGUACCCCGUAUGCCGGCCGCAGCAGCUCCCCACCUGCAAGGCCCUUGCCGACAGCCGCCCCACAACCUGCACCCACACCCCCGGUCCCCCGCACCUCACUCCCGCACGCCACGCCCGCACCCUGUGUCCCCGCCCGCAGCUGACGUUCACUCCGGACGCGCGCGAGAAGGACGUGUCCAUCAUGCACCGCCUCAAGCUGUACGAGAGCGAGAGCACGCCCAACACCACCAAGAAGCCCGUCAUGAGCGAGGUGCGUGUGUGUGUGUGUGUGGGGGGGGGGUAUGUGCCCGAGCCCAACGAAACAGGUCCCAAUAGGGGCGGGGGGGGGAGGCGAGGGGAGACGGGGGAGCGGGCGAGCUGGUGGACGUGGUCGAAGGGAACAAAGCGAAAGUGGUGAUAAAGGUGGUCACGGUGGUGGUGGGCCGUCGGCGGACGGUUUAAGGGUCAGCGGGAGCCGGGGAGUGCAAGGCGGGAACUGGAGACAGGGGAGUUCGGUGGGGCGGCCACUGGCACGACGCGGUUAGACAGGCGCGCACAGGCACUGCGCUCGCCCUGCGACUCACACAAAGCCAGCCCGCAGCUGCGUCUCGCGAGAGGGAAGGCCGAUAUGCGACCAGUCCAGGCUGUGACGCCGGGACUGGGUUCCGUGGCCGGAUACGGAAGCGGGAAUCUUGGGAGGAAGAAGCAGUGUUGCCGGCCUGAGUUCCGCGAAAUCAAGGUGCCAAAUCUCUCGCCCGACUCGAUUUAAAGCCCACGAGGAAAAGGAGGAGGCCCAUUCCGUCAUGUGCGUUAGUAUGGCGCCCGGUGUGGGGCUGGUGUGACAGGGGUGUGGGGGUUGUAAAUACCAGCCCAAACUAAUCCAAACCAAGCUAAAACGAGCGUAGAACAGGGGGGAGGCCCCCGUGUCGAGAAGCUUUCAAGCGCGUAAUGAAGAGCGCAGGCGUGCAUAGCAGGCUGUACGAAGGGCGCCCGCAGAGGCACGACUCGCUUGCCAAACUUCCCGAUUCACUCCGGGGCCUCCUUCCAAAGUUCAUCCACACUCUGUCGCUCCUUCCCGUUGUGGCUCUGCACCUCCGCGUAACAUUACAACCCCGCCCCGGCCCCACAUGUGUCCUCCUCUCUGCCACUUCCUCAACGCGCUCCGCGCGCGGCUCCACCACGUACACGUACAUACCAACCAGCCUGCAGCCUUCGCCCGUCGGCCGCACUUCUGCUACAGCUUCCCACCCCUCCGCAAGCACACAUACACAGACCUCCGUCUCAAGUGCUCUCUUACACACACACGCAUAUACAUACACAAGCCUCCUCCUUGCGAGCUCUCUAACGCACACACGUUCACACACACAUACACACACACGCGCUAUCACACACGCUCUCUCUCACGCGCGCGCGCGCACACACACACGCACGCAUUGUCUUUGCGCAACGUUUUCCUUGUGCUCUUUAACACACACGCACGCACACGCACGCACGCACACACACACACACACACACACACACACACACACACACAGACACACACACACACACACACACAGACACACACACACACGCACACGCACGCAGGUGUACGAGGAGCUGGUGUUCAGUGAGCCGGUGGAGUCCUUCUACCGCCGCGUGGUGGCGGAGCCGCAGCGCCGCGCCACCGAGCUGAGCUGCCAGGCCUGGAUCCUGACCUUUGACGAGCGCGAGGAGGUGGAGAAGCUCAAGGAGUGCCGGGCGCGGGUGGCGGCCAUGGUGGCCGAGGUGCGCAAGGACUUUGAGGGCGCGGCAAGGUGAUGGUUGCGGGUGCUGCGGUGCGGUGGUUACCGAAGAUGCUCAAAGAAACGAAAUGCGCACGGUGGUGGUGUGCGGGCGUGCGGAUGCGGUGCAGCGCGUGUGAUGGCGGGGCGUGUGGCUGGGCGGUAGCUGGAAGGUGCUGCGAGCGCCUGGAGGGAGUCGGGGCCGUCCCGUGGCAGGCUGCCGCUGUCGCCGCGAGUUGCAAUGUACGGGGGACUUGGAACCUUCGAGGGGGUGCUGGAAGCAAUGCCGUGCUGUGCAGCUGGUGCUGCGUCAUGGCUCCGCUGCAUCUGUGAGUAGCCGGGAAAGGCCAAGCAGGGCGCAAAGCUCGGAGCAUGGUGCCGUGGGGUUGGGCCCCGUGAGCGUGCACUUCACAAACGGGCUGACGCACGCGUCUCCUGGGGAAUGUUAGUAUGUUACAGUAUGUUGAGGAUGUGCCUGUUCGAUGUGUAAUUGUGGUAUGGGCCAUGUACCACGUAGGUCACGCACGUAAGUAGAUGCGAUGUAAUCGCCGGCUCGCCUAUUUAGCCAUGAACUUGAUGCUACCGACUGCCGCAAACCGAACUGUUGCCUCAACGGUUUGCAACGACCUGCGCAGUCAACUCAUCCACAACCCUGCCAAACGUGUUUGCUUCAACACUGUCCGCCACAUCCGUGCUUGCUAUCUAGCAUCAUGCUUUUGCUGCUUGCAGCUAAUGCCAUCCCGAUAUUACCACAAUGCCGUCACCACACCAAGACAAACCCAUGCGCGGACAGCCUGAGUAACACAAAUGCCUUCCGCAUGCUAACCCCUGCAUGCCGCUGCCGUGCCUUGACCGUGCAGCAGCAGCAGUAUGUGGUCUAGCAAGCCGCCGCAAAUGCCUUAUUGCAUGGGAAUCCGCUAUGAUGCACUCAAACCGACAGUCCGGCAAGCACAUGGAUUUCCUUGCAUCCCGAUGCCAUACACACGUCACACAUGCGGACUUCUAAUGAUGUGUACGUGCGCCCAAUCCGGUUCCCGACAUUCGUAAUAUUGCUAAUAGCUUGAUUCUUGGUACUCAGGUACCGUCCGUGUGUAAUGCUAUCUAGUCCAUGUGUAACUGAAAGCCUGACUGGUGCAGCCCUGGCACUCGUAAAAUACCGUACAGUGGCCACCCUGCGGUGGCCAACUCAGUACACAGGGCGUGCGCACAAACACAAACAAAAACGCUAGUUACUGCCUGCGACUGCCACCAUCUGUCCGACCACCCACGCGUACGGCGCGGCGGGGAAUUCCUGCUGCCGCCUCAUAUGCGCCGUGCACAAAUCUCUCAGGGACGCCCUAACAACUCCCACUGGCGCUACAAUCCCAGGGCCCAUACGGGCAAGAAUCAGUGCACACGCACACCAUGUGUGUAUUUGUGUGUUCGUGUGUGAACACGCUCUCCCCACGGACUUCUCAGCAGUUUCAACUCCGCCCAGCAGCAGUUGCGCUUCAGCGCUCAUAGAGACACCCACGACCAUGGGUAACCCACCCCGAUCAUAGCCGUGGACGCACUUCCGGACAUCCCCAACGCGGCCCAAGCCACAAGCAGGUCAAUUCACAAUACCGCAAGACAAAGGCGACGCGCUCAUGGCGCGCCUCACUCUGCACGCUCGCUCACGCAAGCCAAGCCGAGCCUCAAGGCACAAACCAUUGCCAGGACUCCCAAGCGUUCCUGGCUUCCGGCUCCGCCUCACUCAUUCAUUCAUCAGUUCACGCAGUCGGCCGCGGAGCCGCUGCCCCCGCCGACUGCAACCGCAGCGUCUUACUUCAUCUCUUUUACUAACGUGUCUUGUCCGCCGAGCACCGAACGAGUCUGCCGCUCUACACGUUGCCGGCGCCGGCCACCAUGGGCUGCACCGGGCGCGCGGCGUUCUCCAUGGCGUGACCGUCCGCGAACAGCGGCGUAUCGAUGGGGGUGGCGGCGGCGGCGUGCAUGCCCAUCACGGGCGCUGAGGAGGCCAUCACGGGCGCGGCCUGCAUGGUCACGGCGAUCUCGCCCACGGAGCGCUGGCCGGUGGCAGGCACGCCUGACACAGCGAUCUCGCGGCCCUCGCGAAUGGGGUUGAGCUGGCCCACUGCGGCAGAACGGGUAAAUCGGAGCAGGCGAGGCAGUUGGUGAGUUGCGUGGGCUGGAGGUCACACUCGGCAACGGAUUGGCCCUGGGUUGCGCAGCCCGCACGUGCACAACCGAAGCCACUUCCGCCACGGCCACUGAUGCCAGCCGCUGCGACGGCCACAGGGAGCGAGACCGAGACUCACCGCUGACGGACUGGUUGUGGUGGCUCUUGCCGUGUGCGCUCAUGUUGCUGAGGUGGAUGGAGGUGGAGAUGGGCAUGGGCUCCACGCGCUGGUGCUCCCACCAGGGCCCAUCGUCGAACAGCUGCAGACAGGCGUGCAGGAAAACGGGCAAAACACAUGUGAGCAACAAGAAGGACGCAAGAAGGUACAGCCGAAGGCGGCGCGUAGGCGGAACAAGCAAGCGAACGGGAGCGCCUCAGGGCCGCCGUUUCUCACCUCGGGCACGGUCAGCGGGUCGUCGCCACGGGGGUUGAACCACGACACCACGAAGCCGCCUAGCAGGCCGCCGGCGAUUGCGAUGCCCAUGGUCACCACGCCCGCAAGCACCUGGUAGCCCAGCUGCUGGCGGCCGGUGUCGUGCUCCAGGUAGUCGGGGUGCUGGCCCAGAGCCGCCAGGCCAGCCACCAGCGUGCCGACGAUGGCGGGGAUGCCGUGCAGGUUGUGCACACCUGGGCGCGGGGACAACGGCGAUGCAGGCAAUGGCAGGGCGCAGCAGUCAGUGAUGGCCGGGCGGGAAAGAGGCGUAGAGUUGUGUGCACACACAAAACUAAUGACAGCCUCACCGCAGGUGUCGCCCAGUCCGAUGGUGCGGUCCAGGAAGGGCAUGAGGUACUGGAAGCCCAGGGUGCUGAUGGCUCCCGCGCCCAGGCCCACAGCCAGCGCGCCACCGGGCGUCAGGCGCAGCGUGCAGGCGGCGCCCAUCGCCACGCCACCGGCCAGGGUGCUGUUCUGGAUGUGCACCAUGUUGAAGCGGCCGCCCACCAGGGCCGAGGUGGCGAACACCGAUAGCCCGGCGCCCAGCAGCGACAGCAGCGUGUUGACGAUGGACAGGAAUUGGGCGGCCUUCUUGGCAUCGGUCGCCUCCUCCAUGUGGCCAGCCGACACGGACGCCAGGGCGCCGUUGAAGCUGGGCCCUGUGGCCGGUGGAAUGAGAAAGAAAGGAUGCAGCAGGGGUCAGAUGGAGAAGGGUAGGGUAAUCCUAGGGCGGGCGCGGGAUCUGGGCACAUCGGCGCUACUGAUGCUGCACAACGGGCACAACAACGCAACCACGCGACGCUCUAUGCAGCAUGCGGACUCACAGUAGAUGAAGAGGAAGAUGGUUCCGAUCAUGGAGAAGAUGUCGUUCAGGUAGGCGCCCGAGUUCUUGGGGUUGUCCAGGCCGUGCAGCGGCUGCCUGUGGGAGCAGCAGCAAGGGCAAAAACACGAGCACUGAGCAAGGGGCAAGGGCACAGGGUCUGUGUGCGCCCCACUCCCUCGGGCCGUGUGUGCCUCCCUCCCUCGUGCGUAUCUCACUUGCGGCUGAUCAUGAGCGAGGCUGCCAAUCCGUAGUAGGCUCCGAACAGGUGGAUGACGAUGGUGCCGCCCAUGUCCAGCGCCUUGAAUGUGUGGAUCACCAGCUGCUGGUUGAGAGCGUACAGCGGAACCUGAAGCGAGGGAGGAGAGAGUCAAGUAGAGGAGAACAAAAAGGAGGGAACGUUAGCAUGGAGAACACCAAGAGAGCAGGAUGGGUGCGGGCGCAGUCACGGUUCCCAGAUAACCAAUGCGGCGGUCUGUCAUGCGGCACGCAGCUUCUAAAACUAGCGAUCGGGAAUCAGCUGACACGCAUGCACCUGCCAAAAGAGCAGCCACAGCAACUGCGUGGGCGUGGCCUUGCCGAUGAUGGCGCCGAAGGCAAUCAUACCAGAGGCUGCGGGGGAGACACACGGGUAGCAUUGAGCCACGUCAAGCGACGCCGCACAGGAAAGGGGACCAGAGCAUGGUACAAUGCGACGUGGGAGUCCGAAACGGCGUGAACAUAGAACAGGGAUGGGAAUGGCACAAGCCCGUGACUUGUUACGCACUGAAUUACUGUACCUAGCUGGCAUGCAUCUCGGCAAGUAACAGCCCAAGCGCAUGCGGCUCACCGGCGCAGAAGGCGCAGUCGAUCAGCAAGGCGAUGUCGAUCUGGAUCUUGGUGCGAUGGUAGUUCCAGAACACUUGCUGUGGGAGGACAGGAAGGAACGGGGCCGCUGGGAUGAAGGCACGAAAUUGGAUGGAGCAGCAGAUCUUCACCAGUCUUUCGAUGUUGUUUGCACGGCCAGGUGCGCCGUGCGCGCCCAUUACAAACUUGCAGUAUGCGGACCCUUAUGUCCCUCUCUUUGUCACGCGCACCUGCGUGGCGCCGAUCAUGAGGAUGGCCUCCAGGAACAUGAGCGCCGAGGCAAAGUAGUUCAGGGCCACAGCGCCGUAGCCGUAGCGGCGCAUGAAGGUCAUCAGGAAGCCGAAACCGAUCCACACCAUGAUGUUGACAUCGACCAGGUCUGUUGGGCAGAGGGCAAUGACAGCGGCAUGUUGCAGGAAGGGGAGAAGCGCGAUAGUGUGUGUAGGGGGGGGGACCAUGCGGAACUCGCGCGAGCCCUACCCUGCAUUUUCAAACGAGCGGCCGACCUAGCGCUUACAUUUGUAAAAGCGAUCGACCUCCUCCUGCGCAUUUGUGCCCAACUCGGUGUACUGGGUCAAGCCGAAAAACAGGCCUGCGACGGAAGGGAAAAGUGCAGGUUGGGCUUGCGGCAUGCUGGAAGGACCUGGACCUAUCCCCAGGGCGGAAGCGGCACAAGAGCUAUAAGCAAUGAAUGUGUUCGGCUCAUGAGGGUUGCGGAAACAGGCGCCACGCUAAAGCGGCCGGUACUAUCGAACGCGCGCGCGCAAGGUUGGUAGUCGCUCGGCUUCUUGCUUACCGACGAAAAUCACAAUCACCACAGCAGCCGAGGGCCUGAAAUGCCACACACAUGAGCCAAUGAAACAGGUGAGAUCAGCAAGGCCUGCGCCGAGCGCGGCCGCCGGACUUGCAUCGGACGCAUUUCUAGGGGGCGCGCGCGGCGGCCACUGGCACGAAGCGGUUAGACAGGCGCGCACAGGCACCGCGCUCGCCCUACGACUCACACAAAGCCAGCCCGCAGCUGCGUCUCGCGAGAGGGAAGGCCAAUAUGCGACCAGUCCAGGCUGUGACGCCGGGACUGGGUUCCGUGGCCCGAUACGGAAGCGGGAAUCUUGGGAGGAAGUGCCUGCAUGGUUGCCGGCCUGAGUUCCGCGAAAUCAAGGUUACCAAAUCUCUCGCCCGACUGAAUUUAAGCCCACGAGGAAAAGGAGGAGGCCCAUUCCGUCAUGUGCGUUAGUACGGCGCCCGGUGUGGGGCUGGUGUGACAGGGGUGUGGGGGGAGGCCCCCGUGUCGAGAGGUUCUCAAACGCAUUAUGGAGAGCAGAGGCGUUCAUAGUAAGUUGUGUGAAUGGCGCCCGCAGAGGCGGGACUUGCUAGCGAGCUUCUGCGUAACCAAACUUCUCGAUUUGCCCUGGGGCCUCCUUCCAAAGUUGUUCCGAUGCCAGUAGUCAUGUAAAUAAACAUAGUAUUGAACCAUGCAAAGCAUGAGGGCAUUUCGGCAACGCCGAGGGGAGUUACGCUAACGAGACCGUCAGUGGGAGAACUUCAGAGAAAACGACAGCGCUUGAGUCUGUGGAAAGCGGUAGUCGAGGCAUUUAAGCAGAUACCACUCAUGACGAUUUCGACGCACCCAGCCGAGGUCGACACGCUAUCCAUGUGCCACACCUUGUGCUCCUUCCCCGACUGACGCGAGGGCUUACGCUUGCUUCUCGGCGCCCCAGCAAGUUACACGCGUAUGGUGUCUGUAGGGGAGGUCCAGCAAAUAGAGGAGGAGCUCUGUCGUGGCGACGCGCAUGGUCGAAGCCCUUCCUUCCACACCUCGAGCCGCGACGGCCAGGCCCGCAGGCACACCUGAAGCAUUGGCUAAAGUCGUGUAUUCGCUCCUGUUCUCAGGCCAGGACAUCGUCCAUGAGGGUGCGGGUCGAGGCAUGUGCGAGGGGCCUGGGCGGUUGUGACGUUGUGUCUUACAAUUGUGGCACCCCCUCGUGGCGCACCCGGGUCGCGCGCAGAGAAGUUCCACAGCGGUGCGUUGGCACUGCGUCCCUGGCUCGCCGGUCCGCCUCAGCUCUCACACACCGGGCGCAGCGAGCGCGCAAACAUCCCCGGGGUCGUUCGCCAUUGUGCCGCCGGCACAGAGCAGAAUGUAACUGCUGGAUUACGGUAUGAUGGGCGGGCUCUCAAGUAGAAUGAAGUGAGCCCGCCCCAGUGCAGGAUGAGCUGUUGCAUGCGCGCGCCGGGCGGCACACGCACAUACCUGUAUGCUAUCACACCAGGCCCCUACAAUGCUAUGGCCUGCCGGCCCGUCACCAUUUCUUCAAAAGUGGGAAUGUGGGAGUACUUGCCAUCGGCAGAGCUUGUGGGCCCGCAUGACGCCACGGGGGGCGUUAUGCAACCACCCUCCUCAGGUGAACAGACCCGCAAUGCCGUCCGGUUUUAGGCGACACCUACCAGUGGGCAACAGCAGAGGCCAGAAGGGUUGGCACGCACCCCAAGUACCUUGUGAGCCUGGAGGCAGAGCUCCUGCGCGGCCCGCCUCGUCCCUUCCGGCUUCCGGCCUUCCCUCACCGCCGGCUAACCCUACCACACCUCCGUCGUCACUAGCCCUGCACGUGCGGCAAUCCGUUACGGCCGUGCAUACCGUACUGUACACCAUUAGAACGUAUGAAUGUGCCCCGGCGUAUGCCUCGCGCAGAUUGCCAACCAGCCUUGCAAAAGCAAACUACACGCAUAAAGAAUUCACAAGUUAUACUAUCUAGCGCAAGCACGCACCGAACGACGCCCCUCGCAGGCUAAUAAGAUUCACCAAUGUCCCAAGCUCCUCACAUACUCUGCUGAUGCGGGGGUGCUUUAAAGCUACAUGGGCACUGCACACCUGUGAAACAGUGCGUGAGGCGCGCUGGCAACUCCAGUCCGCCACUGCCACAAUCCUACCCUAGUACCAGAAGUCUUCCGUGUUAGAAGUCUUUCGUACUAGCACCCACUCAUUGCUUCACACUACUGCCCGCUACAAACAGCCGCAAACAAGCAAGAAGUAUGCUUUGUCCCCCGCUUCAGCAGCCGGUGCUGAAAGACGAGGCCAAACUUGAAUUGCUAUAAAUCGCAGGACAUGCAGUCCCAUAGUAUGAACAUAACAGGGGGUCGAACACACCAUUCCUGAAAGAGAUCAUGACCGUCUUUGGCUUAUUGAAGUACGUCAUACAUCCGAACUGUCCCAGUCCAAACUGCGCGCCAUACAUCGCCGCGCGCGCCGCACAUUGCCGCGCCGUACGUGCAACACCGCACCCCACCUUCGGGCUGUAACCCGCCCCUAUCUACACAUUGUUAGGCCCAGCGGAUGCCUGGCUGUAGGCGGGCUGCUGCAUGGGUUGCACGGGUGCAAGCGCCGUCUCCAUUCCGAUUACGUCAUCACUAAACAAAGGCCUGUCGUUAUUGGCACCGCCGCCUCCGGCCGCGCCGCCCAUCAGCACAGCAGUGCUCAUGAACGGCUGCGGAUACUGGUGAGCCGCCGCGGCCGCCGCCGCCAUUUGCUGUUGCUGCUGUUGGAAGGCGAGGAAGGGCACCGACGCAACGAUCUCGCUGGCAGCGGCUGCCCCGUGGGCUGCGCCCUGCUGGCCGGAUACAGUGAGGCUGUGGUGGGCGACGGCGGCGGGCACGCCCGAAACGGCAAUGGGCGCCGCAGGACAGGCGCUGCCAUGGCGGCGGGGCUCCGCUGGGUUCGGCACCAGGGUAUUGGCCACUGGGUGGAAGCAGCAUGGCACAGGAUGGGUGCAGGUGGAAUUGAUUAUAUGGGGUGGGGCAAGAGGUGCGGGAGACCGAGGGCGCAAACCGGAGACGGCACAGGGAAUUGUGGAGCGCGCGACUCACUGCUGACAGAGGCGUUGGCUGCGUUGCCACGCUGCGUGCUGCCGCCAUCCUUCUGGUGGCGUGAAUUGAGGGUGCUGAGGUGGAUGGAGGUGGAGAUGGGCAUGGGCUCCACGCGCUGGCCCACCCACCAGGGGCCGUCGUCGAACAGCUGCAGGCAGGGCGGAGUCAACAUCGCGGCAUGGUGGGCACAUGCAAACAGCGGCCAGAACGAACCCAGGGAGGAAUUGCCAACACCCGUGGCCGAAAUUCGCUAGGGCCACUCGCGCACAAGAUGCAACUGUAAACGGCGGCAGCAUCACAUGGUCUCCCAAAGCCUCCUCGCGCCUCCCGCAUUGCGCAUUGCGCCAGCCUACUGCGUGCCCAUUCCCGCCAGUCCCUCACCAGCCCCUCUGGUGGCCAAGCCGCGCUCACCUCGGGCAGAGCCAUGGUCUCAUCGCGGCACGGGUUGAACCACGACACCACGAAGCCGCCCAGCAGGCCGCCGGCGAUUGCGAUGCCCAUGGUCACCACGCCCGCAAGCACCUGGUAGCCCAGCUGCUGGCGGCCGGUGUCGUGCUCCAGGUAAUCUGAGUGCUGGCCCAGAGCCGCCAAACCAGCCACCAGCGUGCCGACGAUGGCGGGGAUGCCGUGCAGGUUGUGCACACCUGGGUGCGGGGACAACGUCGAUGCGGGCAAUGGCAGGGCGCAGCAGUCAGUGAUGGCCGGGCGGGAAAGAGGCGUAGAGUUGUGUGCACACACAAAACUAAUGACAGCCUCACCGCAGGUGUCGCCCAGUCCGAUGGUGCGGUCCAGGAAGGGCAUGAGGUACUGGAAGCCCAGGGUGCUGAUGGCUCCCGCGCCCAGGCCCACAGCCAGCGCGCCACCCGGCGUCAGGCGCAGCGUGCAGGCGGCGCCCAUCGCCACGCCACCGGCCAGGGUGCUGUUCUGGAUGUGCACCAUGUUGAAGCGGCCGCCCACCAGGGCCGAGGUGGCGAACACCGAUAGCACCGCCCCCAGCAGAGAGAGGAGGGUGUUGACAAUGGCUAGGAACUGGGCCGAUUUCUGUGCAAGUGGACGAAGCAGGCGGACGGACAGGCGGAUGCCGCAUUCAGAACAUGGAUUGGGGGAGAGGUUUGUAAAUACCAGCCCAAAGUAAACCAAACCCUACGCAAAUCGAGAGGGUGGGUGUACUAGUGCUAGUGCUUCGCCCUCCCCUCCCCACCCCGCCCCGCACCACACCACACUGCACCAAACCGCACCGCCCGCGCACCUCGGCGUAGGUGGCGGACGUUUGGUUCGCAUACGCCACGGAGGCCAGGGCGCCGUUGAAGCUGGGCCCUGCGGCCGGUGUGCGGGUACGUGGUGAGGGACGUGAAGGCUGGGCAAGUGCAGCGGUCGCGAGGGCCGCAAGACUAGGCAGGGAUAGCAGGGGAAAGCAAGGUGCUGAAGCGCAGACAACGAUUGCCAGCACGGCCCAUUGGAACUGAACACGAAAGCCAGCCUGCGCGAGCUAGCUGGCACGCCGCGGACUCACAGUAGAUGAAGAGGAAGAUGGUUCCGAUCAUGGAGAAGAUGUCGUUCAGGUAGGCGCCCGAGUUCUUGGGGUUGUCCAGGCCGUGCAGCGGCUGCCUGUGGGGGCAGCACCAAGGACAAUAACACGAGCACUGAGCUAGGGGCAAGGGCACAGCAUCUGUGUGCGCCCCACUCCCUCGGGCCGUCUUGGGCCGCAUCUGUGUGCGCCCACUCCCUGUGUGCCUCCCUCCCUCCCUCCCUCGUGCGUAUCUCACUUGCGGCUGAUCAUGAGCGAGGCUGCCAAUCCGUAGUAGGCUCCGAACAGGUGGAUGACGAUGGUGCCGCCCAUGUCCAGCGCCUUGAAGGUGUGGAUCACCAGCUGCUGGUUGAGCGCGUACAGCGGAACCUGAAGGGAGGGAGGGAGGGACGGGUGGAGAGAGGCAGGGUUGAGCAUACGGCUGAUACGGUAACCCGGGAGGCGCCUUUGGCAAUGCUUACUGCCCCAGAGUGAGUCAACACGCGGACCUAUGCGGACCUCGCCGGUUCAUUAGUCGCGCGUAGGUGUCAGUAGAGUAUCUAUGGCCGUUGACCCUCGCGGUGGGGGGCGCCUCGGUUCGGUGGCCCUCACCCUCCCCUCCCUCCGUCCGCCCCGCCCCAAUGUAUCCCGUAUUGCCCCGCCCCCCCGUGUAACCCCUACAUACAGCAGAAGACUGACGGGGACAGGCCCGGAGGACGGAGAGGGGGACGAGAUAGCGUGACCUCAGGGAGGGGAAAAGAGAGAUCUACGAGAAACAGGGUGGUAUGAGACAGUGACACGACCUAGCACAUUCUGACACGCACCUGCCAGAAGAGCAGCCACAGGACCUGGGUGGGCGUGGCCUUGCCGAUGAUGGCGCCGAAGGCAAUCAUUCCGGAGCCUGCAACGUCACAGGAGCGGCGUUACCCUGACUUGCUAGUCCGGAGGGGAGGGGAGCGAGCGAGCUUGCUGCUGUGCCCGGCGCCGUGCUCCGGCUGAGUGGCUGACGACCCCGUCAACCCACCAUUCGACCACCAGCCGCCGCCACACGCCCCCGCCCCUGCGCGCUACACGACCACUCGGCAUGCGGCAGCCCAAGCGCAUGCGGCUCACCGGCGCAGAAGGCGCAGUCGAUCAGCAGAGCCAUGUCAAUCUGGAUCUUGGUGCGGUGAUAGUUCCAGAACACUUGCUGCGAGGUGCGUGACGGCAAGCCGGUACACGCUCAGAACAUGGUCUCCCAAAUCCGACUCCUUCCAAAGCAAUGGCGCGGGCUGUGCCGCUUUGCCAUCCCGGCACAGUGGCACACACGCCACCAACAAGUCUGGACAGCGCCACGACAUGCGCGCACCUGCGUGGCGCCGAUCAUGAGGAUGGCCUCCAGGAACAUGAGCGCCGAGGCAAAGUAGUUGAGCGAGACGGCGCCGUAGCUGUAGCGGCGCAUGAAGGUCAUGAGGAAGCCGAAACCAAUGAAUAUCAUGACCUGCACGUCGAUAAAAUACUUGUAGUACCGCUCCACCUGCUCCUGCGCGUUUUCCGCCAGCUCAGUGUACUGCGUCAGACCGAAGAAGAGGCCUGCGGGUGCGUACGUCCGUGCGUGGGGGCGGGCGGCAGGGUCGGACCGUGUCGGACGGGGUAGUGCAUGCACCGGCAGGGUAGGCAGGGGGUGCAUGUCAGGGAAUGAAGUGGAAAGAGAAGUAAUUACAACCUGCCGAGGCAGAUGGUGUAGGUUGAGGGAGCGGGAAUGGUGGUAACACCCCCGCAGGGGCACCCCUGCUGCGCUCCCGCUACCAAGGCAAUCAUGGAAUGUUUGUGUGGCGGUAGUAGCAAGAGUCCCGGUAGGCAAGGGUGCACCAAUGCCGGUACGUGGAGUACAUACGAGACGGCUUACCAACGAUGACCGCCGCGAUCGCAAUGACCGACGGCGCGAAGCCAGUCCGUAGCUGCGGCUCGCGCGGAGGCAAGCCGACAUGACUCCAAUCCAGGGAGUGCCUGCAAGGUUGCAAGGGCGAGCCAUGGCAAGCAAGGAGCUCAUAAUGGGGGCUCAAGUUAUCUGAAGAAAGUGCGGGUAGCAUGCGCGCUAUGGCUUACCGGCGGCUGGCCGCCCCACUGGCCAUCGCGGUGGGGAUUUUGAGCACGGAGGACAUGAUGUGUAUGACACGCAGCCUGUCGAGGCACGAGUGAGUGAAAGUCAAUGAUAGUGUGUUGCAAGGACGCAACAAUGACAAGCUGUCCAUGGGCGGGGCGUUUCCUUAUGCGGACCUGCUAACGGAAAAAAAGCGCAGCCUCGUGCUGACCGAUCGUCGACGUGACAGCAUUCACGUUGAUGAUAUGCUCAAAAGAUACGUAUGGGCAAAACGACUACGAGCGUGACAAGACGCUCCCCGGUAAGACAAUUGCGCCACGAGGGCCGCACGCGACCGCGCCAGGUCUUCCGCGAGCACCCGGGUCCCGCAUUGCCACUUGCCAAGCGCUGAAAGCCCAUCCAAGGCUGGAAACAAACUCGUGGCAAUCGCGCGAAAAAGCUGCCGACGCAUGCGUCUCGGGCAGGACAAACUAAACGAGCACACGACGUGAGGCAGGAAUCCUGAUCGGCGAGACGCACCUGGGAGUCGUGGACUGCUUCGCCACCUGUAGGUGACGUCGAUGUCAGCAGCGCCAAGUCAGCUCGUGAAAUGGCUCCCAAAGUUCAGACAAAAACUCAGCGCUUCAACUACGUGGGGGAACUGUCUACGUGUGUAUAGUCACACCAGUUAUUUAUUGACCUGGGCGAAGCCAAAGCUGGUAAAUUGACGGGAAGAUGAACCGUACCCGUCCACCUGAAAGGAGGAGGGGAGAGGAGGGUGCAUAUGAUCAUGACCGACCGGGUGACCUAGGGCCGAUUGAUUUCCUUUCAAUACAGUAUACCGUUUGCGAGCGCAAGCCGAGUCUCGGUGUAAUCCUGCCUUUGCUUCCGCUGAUAUUGUCGGCCUUCUGACCUUCGCGCUUCCAGCCCUGUAAGUGCCAUUUGUUGUGGAUAUAUUACCACGUGCAUGGCAGGUACUGGCAAGGAGGUGUCGGAACGUCUUGCGACGACCUGAGUGCGCAUUCAUCGGCAUGUCGUCCGUGCCGGAGCAGUCAGCCGUAUGCGGUCGGAACCGGCAUUGGGUACAUAAUGGCGCUUUGAUUCAGCGCCGAGUGCUCGGGUGCUCGGGGAAGUACAGCUAAAGAAAAGACCGUGCACAGGGUGGCGCACCUGGGGGACCUAGCCAGAGCGCCCAUUGCGUUAGCUCCGGCCCCGCCAGUUCCAAGCUCCAAGCCUCGGCGUGCGCGUGUAAAAGCGGCCAGAUACUGGAUAAGGAGUGGUGUAGGAGCGUGGCUGUGAAAGUUUAUCAUAUGGCAUAUGACACGCGCGGGAUGCUGGGAUCCCAUCCUUGGAAACGAUCGACCAGACCCACCCUCCCCCGCCGACUUCACCGCUAAGGUCACCGCUGCUGUGGCUGUAACCGCGCUACUGCCGUUUCGACUGCAUCCCCCUCGGACUUCGGCUUGCCAGGCCUGCUGGCCAGGCCGCGCCAAAUUGACAGAUUGACUUCUACGCCAUGCUUGUGCGGGUAGGUGAAGCAACGCCGUUCGCCCUAUCCCAUCGCACGCACAUGCGGUGUAGUCUAGCCAAGCACACGCACACGCACAGCGUGAGUGUAUACGUGCACGUGCAGUGUCUGCAUGACGUGGUGGAACGAAGCACUGCAACUCCCGCAGCAGACUACGUACGGCACAAUAAUGAAGAUGCUGAGUAUGGCAGGGUCGUGCGCCAUCAAGCGACCUUCGGUGAUGUGCGGUGAAGCCCCGCCUUUUUGUGCCGUUGACUCCAUGACCCCGCUUCCCAUGAACCCAUGCACAGGCAGUGACUAGAAGCGCUGCGUAGCCGGUUACAUAUGGUUCUGGACACAACUGCAGGCUUUGCGGCGAGUCACGAUCGGCAGGUCUGAAGGGAAAGCACCACCAGCUCUCUCACGUUAAUCGAGUAGCACGCAUGGCACACUGUCUUCUGCCCUGCUGUUGUGAACAAAACCCGGUGGCGGCGCCCACCAUUCGCUAACGGUGUCGUACACGGUGGUAUGGAAUACACCGUGGGCCCUAUCCGUGGUACAUCCAGAAGGCCUCACGUAUGAUACAACGCUAGCCCAGCCAAAACAUUCAGGCACAGGCGUGGGCCAACACUUCAAACCCUCAAAACUCAAUGUAGUAUGUACUCUUCUCUCAAGCACCUCGGUUUUGGGCUACGAGCCCCAGCAACAAACCGCAAUCGCUUUACGCCGAGGGAGUGUACUUGGUGGCGAAGGCGAAGGCGUUGUUCACACCAGGGUUGGACAGGUGGUCGUCCAGGUUCUGGAUGGGGCCCUUGCCGGUCACAAUGGCCUGGACGAAGAAGCCGAAGGACGAGAACAUGGCCAGGCGGCCGUUCUUGAUCUCCUUCACCUUCAGCUCAGCGAAGGUGUCGGGGUCGUCAGCCAGGCCCAGGGGGUCGAACGACUCGCCGGGGUACAGGGGGUCCUGCGUGCAUGUGGGAGCAGCGGCGAGCAAAUGCGUCAGCAGGGUACAGCACCUUUCGGCCACGGACAAAGGAUACAGUCUUUACGCAGCAGCCCGUGGCGUAGUUGAUUCAUGGACAUGCCGGCGGUACGCAAGGCACACCCAAGCCCCGCGCAGCUGUCAAGGGAGAGGGUGCAAAGUGCGAGGCGCAUGGGUUGGGGCCGCCUGUGACUUGCAAUCAUCCGUCCCUACCCCACGCCCUAGCCAUCCCAGCUCACCAGGCCCUCGCCAGCGGGGCCGCCGUUAACGCGGUAGCCCUCGACCAGGCCCAGCAGGACGACCUGAGGGGGCAGGAGGGGCACGCAGGGCGGAUGGGAACGUUAAGGUAGGAAAGCGAAAUGCCGGAGAGCAUGGCGGUAUCAUCCCACAGGCAGCCCGUCAAGGGAAGCGCAGUGCGUAGUCGCAACCCUGGCAUGCUUGUUCCCGCAUCCUUGCACAGCCUGGAAGCACUCUUGCACUGCUAGGUGCACGUCUCCCAUGGCCCCACGAUUCUGCGAUAGAACCCCUAUUGCCAAGCAGCUGGUGCACUGUUUCCCGCCACCCGCCGUACCUGCACGGCCAGGGUGGCGACGAUGUUCUGGGCGUGGAUCAGGGAGGGGUUGCCCAGGUAGUUCAGACCGCCCUCCUGAAAGAUCUGGGCGCCGGCCUUGAACCACACGGCCUCGCCGAACUGGACACCGUUCUUCUGCAGCAGCUCGGGAGUAACAAUGCCCAGGGCGCCCAGCAUAGCCCAGCGGGCGUGGAUCAGCUCCAGCUCGCGGUAGCGCUUGAAGGUCUCCGGGUCAGCCGACAGACCGGCAGUGUCCCAGCCGUAGUCGCCGGGGAACUCGCCAGUCAGGUAGGCGGGGGUCGAGUUCUCAGAGUAGGGGCCUGGGAGAGGGGCGGGAAGCGGAAGAGGACAGGGGUCACAUGACUGCAGGCGUAUGCGCUAGAAGUUGGGGUUCAGUCACUAACACAUUCAAGUGGGCACGCUAACGGGCACACGUAGAGUGAGCGAACGGAAAGGGCAUACCGUGUCAGUAGGGAACACGCGUGCGAGGACAACGCUCUAGCUUGUAGCAUAAUCGCAACCUUGGCCUUGCACCCAGGAUUAAGGGCAACGUGCCGACCAACAGGACCUUUCGCGUUCUUUCCGGAGACCUGGCAUCGAGAACCCGAGGCAAUCACACGAACCAGGUUUCCAAGGCCAACGCACUCACCCAGCCACUUGGCGCGGUUGGGGCCAUAGAACUCGAUACCAGCGCCCUUGGGGGCAGCGGCCUGCGCGGCAAAAGCGGACAUGGUCAGUCAGUUGCGCAACCGACCAUCGAGCGCGACAGAAGCAGACCCGGUCAGGGCGCCUAAUUUCCGUUUCGCGCAAGUGAUGAUUGGUACAUGCAUGCAUUUACCUUGGCAGCGGUCUUCUUGCCGGUCGCCUUGCAGGUGACCUGCAGCGCCUUGCGGGAGGAGGCCAGAGCGAAUGCCAUCUUUGCUAGUGGGAGUUGUGAGUGGACCAGAGAUGCGAGAUAACUUGUCCGCUACCUAUUCAGCUUAAAUACACUGGAAUCUCAAGAUCUCUUGCUGCCGGCUUCAAGGACAGCAGGCCAGAGAUGAAGGGCGAGAGGCCACGGUGCCGAGGCCGAGGUCGCCAGACCCCUUCGUCUCCUGCGCCCUGGCCAGCUCCGGCCCCCUCCUACCGUCCCCACUUUUCCACCCGCGGCCCCCUUCCCAUUUAAUUUCGCCUUUAGCAUUAUUGUUAGCUCCCAAUCCCGCUAACUUCCCUUCCCUCCGGCCGCACGCACUGAAUUUGCAACGAUCUACACGCAUGCACACACCCGCGCCUGCUUACGUACCGUACGGUGCCGCAUGCGGCAUGCCAGGUCUCAACCCCACUGCUUCCCGACUACAUUACUAUGGCCUAUGGACCACUGUCACUUUUCCAUUCAAAAUUGUUCCCCAACUAGGUACGGUAACAUCAACCACGUCAAGGUUGCGCACUGCCAAGACCUUCGGCCCCUCCCGCCAACCGCUUGGGCUUUGCGGUGCGUUGUGGCAGGGGUGCCCUCUUGGUUCUGGUUGUUUUCCCUGUGCCAUUACCCUACAAUACCUUUUUCCGUGCACCUUUUUCCGGUGGGGCUGGCAGGGCAUGCGUAGCGGCAAUGACAAGCAGUGCGGCUGUUGACAACUGUGCUGCGUCUGGCUGCGGUUGGCUCUGCUGGGCAUCGCGGUUGCUAGGCACCUGGUUUGGCUAUGUGCCUGUGGAAACCGACCCCGGCUAUGUCCGGGCGAUGAGGUUGUGCGGCCUCAGACUGUGGAAGGGCUCAGCCCCUUUUCCCGUGACCGGGGAACACUUGUCCGUGCACUUGCUUGAGACCAUGUGCUCAGACGGUUUGGUGCGAACGCAUAGGGGGGCGGUCAACCUGGGUUGUUUCACUGCUGGUCGCAGGGGCCGGGGGCACUAGGCUACACAGGAUCUGCUGGCAGCGCUCGUCCGCUAUCUCCCAGUCGACCAACAUCCUUACGGUACGUAUCUGCUAGGAAUCGAAUGGCUGCGUCACAGCGUCAGCUGCCAACUGCUGCCGCGCGCGGGGCAUGUAUGGAUGCCAACGGGGCCAUGGUCUGCAAUCAAGUCACGGCAGAGACGCGGACGAAAGAAAUGGGGAACAAAUUGACCCGGGCCCCUGAUACUUUUGAGUUCUGACAGUAGCGGGUAAGGUGCGUAGUGGCGUGGUUGGGGGCCACGUGGACGUGGCGGGUGCGGGGGCGUGCAGCAGGUUCCGUGGGGCGUCAUGGAAUGCACCUGCUGGGGGGUGGUGCACGCCGGUCCAGUGCGCAGGCGCCUGUGAGCCGCGCCUACGCGCCCCGCUGUGAUGAUGCCCACUAGUCAGCAUGCAUUAGCGGCACUCUGGGUGCCGGAAAUCGACGUGCUCUGGCCACGCGGUGGCCGGGCGAUCGGCUCUGCCAGGAGAGGUGGGACGUGCCGACGUGCCUAGCGCCUGCGUGGCGACUGCACAAAUGGCAUGUACCGGUUGCUUCAUCCACUUGUGCGUACAGGCGUACUUGAAGCAGUCCGGCCGGGCAAAACGCGCGCACCUGGCGCGUGCGCAGGCUUGCCGACAUGUUUGGCGGGUUGGCAUUUCGCUAGGAUUCGGACUACCCCCACCUCAAGGUAGCUUGUUUGUGGUAUUUCACCUGCAUGUAUGUGCUUACAGGGACUUGCAAAGUGAAUGGCCGGUUCUGGGAGCCAUCGCGCGGGGCAAAAGUACACGGUACAGGGUCAAUCGCAUGAUUUUCGGCUUCGCGCCGAAUUGCACACGCGAAAAGUACACGGAAAAUACAGAGCUUGUAAGUGCUUGGAAAAGGCUAAAAUAGCAUCUGCUAAUCGAGGUCUACGCAGCGCAAGUUGGCGCGGGGCCUCGGCGACCUCGCGAACCUGUCUGCACUCCCCCCGGCUCCCCCCCUCGCCCCCUCUCCCACCGCAAACACGCCGCCGCUCCCGCCCCGGGAUAACCAUGGCAUAAUCGGGGACUAAACACUCUGUGGAAGGUCUAGAGGGGGCGAAAGCGGGGCUGUACAAUUCGUUGCACCAUUCGCUGUGCAGUGCUCGCCGGGGGCCCGGAUGAGACCGAUUUCGCCCAAAAGUACAGCCCCCCCGCGCGAAACCUGCGAAGCAAUCCGGCCAUUCACUUUGCAAGUCCCUGUAUGGAGGAAACGACGCCAGGAAAGUGGCGACUUUCAGGCUGACCUUGCGUCGCGCAAGCGAGGGUCGGUCGGGCUGAACUGGGCUGAAAAUGCAAAACAACUUCUGCUGCCCACCCGGAUGCUGCCUGCCCAGUAUGCGACACACGUAGGUCGCAUAAACGUUUUAUAAAUAUACGGUACUUGCAGAGAACCAGACUCACGACGCAGCCCAUGCCGUCGCACGCAGUCCUCGCCUUGCCGCCGCGGGAGAACCAUAGCCUGCCAGGCCCCUCCGACGCGCGCAGCUGCGUGUCCCGGCAUUUCGCACCACUCCUCUAACAAGAGUGACAGCCACCAGCAGCGUACCUCAAGGCAGCGCACAGCAGACAGCACCGCGGUAAGCGAUGCUCGCCCCUGGUGCUCCAGGCACCCAAGGGGUGUGCGUGCUCCUGCGUGCUGCGUGUAGGACGGCCUGGAGCCGUCAGGGGCCGCCAGGGCUGCCAGGUCAAGCGGCCGGUGCGUCGUGAGGCUUUGCUACAUGCCAUGGGCCACACAGCGUAAAUGAACGCGGGCAACCGGGAGUAUGCUACUUGCCCAGACAUCCGCGCAUCCUCUUCCCAUCCCUUGCUGCCGCCCGCAUGCGAUGCGUGAAUGCGAUAGUAACCGUGCAGGUGUGCGACUCCGCUUGCAAUAUAAUACCGGCAAAGGUGCGCCAGGCCGUGCAGUGACACGGGGCCCUGACUGUGCCUCGGCUACCCGAACAGGCCCGCACCUACCCGCGCCAGGCCCGCCACGCCCCCAUGCAGCAUCCUGCUUAGCGCCCAGGCUUCCACACGCCUCGAAACAUGCUUCCAGCAGCCAGCAGGACCAUCUGUCAGCCACGCGAACUGCACAGGGACGCCCCUGCAGGAGUGCGUCCCCGCCUAACACUUGGCCUGGAUCUGGCAGGGGCUACCAGGUCUGGCAACACGCCAACAAGCGCCCGCAUGACGGGGUUGGGUGGUGCAGCUCCUGCGUAGCACACUGCAGGAGAGUCUGGGAAGGACGCGGUAGCGCUAAUACGGUAGCUGACAAUCCAAGCACACCGCCACCUGUCCGUUGCUGAUAAGUGCGCAGUGCUCCAGCGGGGCAUCUGCACCCGUGGGCCGGGCACACGACUUUGCCCUGGUGCGCCAGUGCCCAGACGCGGUCAGGAUACAUAGCGGCGUGGUCCGGGUUGAAAGCGGGCGAGGCCGGGGGGCGGGAGAGUCACAGCAGGUUGGGCCUCUGGGCCAUGCCACCCUGGCUACUUGGACGCUGACGAGAGACACGGGGAACAUCUUGAUGCACGCCUUGCUACCCCUGCUAUCAUCGGGCAGCGCUGCUUUCCUAGUUCAUGCACUGCUGCCCAACCAUGCAGCCAUGCAUGCUCGUCGUUCCCUGCUGCUCAAGCCCCAUGACUACUUUUGCACAAUCACACGAACGGUCAAACCUGGUGUAGGUUCUGGCUUGUGAAUAAUUAGAUGCCCACCCGUGCGCUGGGCAGCCAUGAACAUUGUACGUGAUGGUUACAACAAGACGUGUUAUGCACGCGCUUGCGCUGCACUCCCACAUGGGGGCACUCUUGUGUCUGUGUCCUCUCUUCCGUGCUCCGCACCACUACCUCACCACCGCCUUAAUAACCGCGUUAUGGUACAAAAAGUAACAUGAGUACAAAUCCAGCCAAUGUCAGCUGUAUGUCAAAAUUGAAGGCACAACAUUGUGUGUGUGCAUGUGGCAGUGUAUAGCUCGCAGUACAUCACACAAUAUACUGUGCACCCAGCGUUAGCCACUAGCCUCAAGGGCUAGCGUUGCUCGCUCCGAAUAGACUGCACACACGCGCGAAUGCCCUUAUUAUCCUCAGCAUCCUCGUAGGCUACGAGCCCCAGCAACAAACCGCAAUAGCUUUACGCGGAGGGGGUGAACUUGGUGGCGAAGGCGAAGGCGUUGUUCACACCAGGGUUGGCCAGGUGGUCGUCCAGGUUCUGGACGGGGCCCUUGCCGGUCACGAUGGCCUGGACGAAGAAGCCGAACAUGGAGAACAUGGCCAGGCGGCCGUUCUUGAUCUCCUUCACCUUCAGCUCAGCGAAGGUGUCGGGGUCGUCAGCCAGGCCCAGGGGGUCGAACGACUCGCCGGGGUACAGGGGGUCCAGGCCCUCGCCAGCCGGGCCGCCGUUGACGCGGUAGCCCUCAAUCAGGCCCAUAAGGAUGACCUGAGGGGUGAAGGGGAGGGGAAGGGGGUCAGGUACGGUGACACGGGGCAAGCACGAAAACGAGAAGCACUACUGCCGUGCGCUGGACAGCUGCCGCGGAGUACUGGGUGCCGCUUGCAUGAUUAAGCCUGCUGCAAUCGAACCCAGGCUCUAUCCUGAACCAGUGACACCUGCCCACCCUUGGAAUCCCGCUUCCCACCCGCUCAACGAGUACGACAAAGCAAGGGUCACCUGCACAGCCAGGGUGGCGACGAUGUUCUGGGCGUGCACCAGAGAGGGGUUGCCCAGGUAGUCCAGGCCGCCCUCAGAGAAGAUCUGGGCGCCGGCCUUGAACCACACGGCCUCACCGAACUUGGUGCCGCUCUUGGCCAGCAGCUCGGGGGUCAGGCAGCCCAGGGCGCCCAGCAUAGCCCAGCGGGCGUGGAUCAGCUCCAGCUCGCGGUAGCGCUUGAAGGUCUCCGGGUCAGCCGACAGACCGGCAGUGUCCCAGCCGUAGUCGCCGGGGAACUCGCCAGUCAGGUAGGCGGGGGUCGAGUUCUCAGAGUAGGGGCCUGGGAGAGGGGCGGGAAGCGGAAGAGGGUAAGGGCAGCACACCAUAUCGCAACGGACCCCAGGGCACGUAGCGUAAGCGGAAUGUCCGCCAGGCACUGGAGUCAUUGUAGCGCGGCUGCCCUGGGCAGGUAUGCCGUGAGGUAUGCAUGCCCACUUUCCCCGGACCCCGGGUAUUGGCCCUAACAUGCUCGCGGCGCCAGCACAGAGCGGAAUUGUACUAUGUAUGUGCGUCUGCCCAUGAACAAAUGCGCCCUCCCGCUAGCGUUUACGCGAGCGAAAGCUUUGCACAUGCCCGCCCGGUUCUAUGCCAACAUCAGCACCUCAACCCGCGCACUCACCCAGCCACUUGGCGCGGUUGGGGCCAUAGAACUCAACGCCAGAGCUCUUGGGAGCAGCAGCCUGCAUUUCGCGUUCGGCGAAACGUUUAGAUGCGAACCAAAGACUUGCUGAGUGUGUAUCUUGGCUUGCAAACUAUCUCUAUCUGGUUGUAACUUAUUAUACGCGCCUUGGCAGCGGUCUUCUUGCCGGUCGCCUUGCAGGUGACCUGCAGAGCCUUGCGGGAGGUGGCCAGAGCAAACGCCAUUUCUGCUGAUGUAUGUGCAGCAAGUGAGCGAGUGAGUAUACAUUACCCCUCGUGAAGCUGACUAUAAGUAGGCAGCGCGGGAGAUUGCUCCUGGCGUCGUACGAAAUUUCUUUUUACGCGAGAUGGCCAGAUACGCUGCUCUGUCGUUGAUCUGAGGUUGGUCUAUAAGUAAGCUAAGCAUCAACAGUGGGCGACAUGCUGACCCUUGCAGCGUCUAGUUGCCCCCGACCGGGUUCGCGCGCAAUUGCUCACGCGGCUUGGUUGAAGAACCAAUGGUCGUCAAACGUUCAAGAGAUACACACGUAAAGCUACAUGUGUAGCAGUCAGUGUAUCCUCGUUUGUGGGUGCCCUCUAGAUUUGCACGCGAUGUCGGGGGGCCAUCCCUCCCGCCCCUUCCUGGCUCCGGCAUCUUUGGACGUGAAACUUACACCGAAAGGCCGGAUUGAGCACCAAGCGCAAGCGGCACUGGUUUUGGUUCGCCUUUAGCGUCCCUGUGAGCGUCCUCGGCACUCUCGGGAUAGGGGCGUGUGAUGGGCAGGGUCCCGUUCCCCUUGACGCUCGCCCGGACCUGCGCUCACGACGCCACCCGUGUCGUUGUUGAUUCUUGGCUGUGUGAUCGUGGUGCAGAUCUGGAGGGAAUGAGGGACACAUAGCUGUAUUCGGAUGCUGUGGGUUCCAUGCUAGCGGGCCACUGCGGAAGAGAGCGCCGGCUCACCGACAGUCUUUGCCAUUCCGUAUGUCAACUGAACUCGGCCGUCACCGACUCGCCAUCGGCCAACCGACAACGCCAGUAGUCACUUGUGCAUUACAGCAUUAGUCUAGGCAUCAUGCUCAUGGACGUAUGAACACCACCCUUCCCAGAAAAUGCUCCCUUAGAACUGCACCCCAAAGAAAUGUAGGCGCCAUCACCCUUGAGGCGCCAUUGACUCCUGUCAGUCCUGAGAGCACCCCUGCUCGAGUCCUUGAGACUAUGGCACGUCCAUUCUGAGUAUAGCCCCUCCGUCGCCAUUCGCCUAGGGCAUCUCUUAAUACAGUCGAAUUAUUCCUGGGGUGCACGCGCCACCUCCACAGUCCAUACGUGCCAUAAUAGUCACCGCCUACGGUACUCAUAGCUAGAUGCGCACACCGUCAUCCACGGCGUCACCAUCUCCGCCUUCUCAACCCGCUGCCGCCCGAGCCGCAACCCCUGGGCUCACAGCUGCCCCGCCAUGGGCCCAGCUGGCCCUCCACCCCCACCCGCACCCGCUGCCUGCGACCUGCGCGCCGCCGCUGCCGCCAUGGCCUCCUGCCGCGCCGCCUCCGCCAGAGCCGCACGGCCCGAGGUGCGGCCGCCGUCGGUGCCCGGCAGCGGCGCCUCCGGCACAGCCAGCGCCGCUGCCGCCGAGCGGCGGGCGUACUCCUCCUCCUUGCUCAGCAUUGCCGCCGCCUGCCGCGCCGCAGCCACCGCCGCCGCGCCCACACCCGUGCGGGGCUUGUACUGGUCCACAGUGUCCGGGCGCCGGUUCUCCUGCGGGUGAGGCGGUGUCAGUGGGCGGUAUCAGGGGCCGGGCGGGGUUAAGGCCGACACACAAUAAGAGCACACACACACACACACACACACACACACACACACACACACACACACACACACACACACACACACACACACACACAUACACACACCUACACACACCUGCACACACACGGUAAGACCGGUGGCGGCUCAGCAGCACGUAUGCGUAACUAACUUCAGGUUCCGUAUGCCGUCGCGUUGCUGCAUCGCAUACCGUAUACUGUCUUUGCCCUUUGUUUUCCUUGUGCUCUUUAACACACGCACACACACGCACACACAGGCGCCGUCUGGGCGGGCCUUGUCUUUACACACGGGGUUUGGGCGGAGAGGCGGGCAGUGGGCGGGCGGGCGGGCGAUGACGGUAAGAACGACACGGGAGCCCGCUCCAAUCCCUUCGCCCAGUACAACGCCACGAGGCAGGUCGGGCCCACUCUGGCACGCGCCAUGCACACACCGCCCUCUCACCUGCUCCUCCAGCUCCUGCCACAUGCGGCGCCAGCGCGCGUCCAUGGCCUCCCAGCGCUCCUCGUCCUCCGCCAGAAGCGACUCCUGCACGGCCUGAGGGCGCCAGACAUGCAGCACACACGCACACACACACAUAUACACACGGCGUCGUCUGGGCGGGCUUUCGUUUCGUUUGUUAACAUACACACACACGGAGGGCCGGGCCGGGCAUUCAGGGGGCAGACUGGCAUGACUGUGCGCCAGCCAUCGGACGUGAUCGUGAGGGUGCAGUUGCGUGUAGUCGUUGAGUUGCAUGGCGGCUCGUGUAGUGCACUGCAGCAACACCCUCCUGUUAUACAACUCAGCGCCACAACAAUGCCGAACUACCCCUCUCCCAUUCUAUCCGUUCUUUAACGCGGCGCUGCCCGGUUGCAAACUCCACCGCCUGCCAUCCGCUCCUGCGGCAGACCCCCACGCGCCACACCGCGGCGGCAGCCCCCGCACCGCCCACCUGCGUGUUGAGGCUGCGCAGGUGCGUCCACCACUUGCCCACGCGCGCGUCAGUCAGGCUGAGUGCGUGCGCCUGUGCCGCCCGCUCAGCACGCUCGGUGCCCCGCGGCGGCCGCGGGAAGUCCUGAGGGGCCACGUCUGGAGGCAGCUCCUUCAGGGGCCGCAUCUGCAUGGAUCGCACGUAAAAUGGAGGAACAGUUGCUGGGUUCAGGAGUAGAUCUGCAGUUGCCGCCAAUACAGGCAGGGGCGUCGGGGCCAGGCCGCCCAUGCGAGCCCUCAGCCGUGUGUCGCAUACCAGGCCCCGUAACGCCAUAUCCUGUGCCCUUUCCCGUUCCACCGGUUCCCCAGGAAAGCGCCGACUCCCGUGCGCACACGCCACGAAACGCCUGCGCAGCCCCUCCCCCACCAAGGCCCACACGCACACCUGCUCCAGCUGCACGCACAGCGUGUCCACCACCACCAGGUUGCGCUGCCGCGUGUGCGCGUCCGCCAGCCGCGCCGGCGCCGAGGUGUGGUAGUCGCGCAGCAACUCCGCCAGCCGGGCGUCCGCAAUGCCGGGGUCGGGGCGCUUGGCGGCGCCGCGCGCCUUGGCCAGCGCCACGUGUGCAGCCAGCUUGCCGUCAACCUUGGGGUAUGCGGUAUGCCCAAGUCCAAGGAGUAGGACCCAAUCGUGAGUAUGUGUGUGUGUGGGGGGGGGGGCGGCGGGCAGUCCUGACUAAUGCAAUGCGGCGGUGGUGCGGGCAGUGGUGGCAAGGAGCGCGGGAAGGCGCAUGCGCAAUGUGGCGGUGAGGGUGCAGCGGCGUUGGGUGGUGGUGGCGGCGAGUGCUGCGCGCCCGUCCGCACGGGGUCAAGACGCGUAGCCUCGUGUGCCGGACCGCACAACCUUUCCAACCUCCGCGCGCCCACGCCCCAGUGCAGCCCUCCCACCCCCGCCCGGCCCCCGCCCACCUGCGCCUUGAGCUCUUUGUACCUCCGGGGCCCCAUCACACUGCUGCCGCGGCCCACGGCGCCCUCCGCCGCCGCCGCCGCGGCCAGCCCCGUCACGCCCGCCGCUGCCUGCUGCUGCGGGCUCAGGCCGCCUCCUCCCCGCGCCGACUCGGGGCUGCCCUGCAGGCGGGGGCUGCCCAGCAGCACCGACGCGCCGCUCUGCCGCAUGAGGUACGACUGCCGCUGCGCCGCAGCCGCGGCCGUGGCGGUGGUGAGCGGGUUGCCGGCGGCGGCGACGGCGGAGGCGAGGGCGCCCGAGGCGCGCUUGGAGUGCAGGAUGCGUUUGAAGGCGGCUUGGAUCUUGAGCGCUGCCUGCGCGGGCACACAGGGGCACAGAAGAGGUGCACAGCCGCGUCACAGCGAGUUGCCGUGCGUGGACGUGCGGGAAAUAGCAGGUUUGGCAAUUAUCAUCAUACUGACGGCGGGUGUUAAACCUUGGACUUGCAGUGGUAGUAAGGCAGGUUGCGCACAGACGCCAAGUCCAAUGCACACGCGAGCCCGUGUCCCUCGUAGUCAUUGCCAACCAACCAGACACCCGAUUCCCGCCCCCGUGCCCAUCCAAUACGCGCGCUCCAAUACCAUACAACCCAAGCGCCCACCCAAGCACCCAUGCUCCACCAACCAUCCGACCGCCACAAAGUCCCCUCGCCGAACGCCAGCCCACCUGCUCUCGCCGCGCACGCUCCGGCGACUUGGCCAUCUUCCGCCGCGCCACCAGCCCCCGCCACGCCGCCUGCACGCGCACGGCCGCCAGGAAGCGGCGGCGCUCCCACUCCUCCAGCUCGGCCCCGGGCAGUGCCAGCAGCGCGCGCUUCUCCGCCUCCAGGAUCUGUGAAGGGGCAGAGUGGGGUAGCGCGUUGGAGGGAUGAGAUCCAGGCUGCUUGGGGGCAGAAGUGGAGGAGCAGUAAGGGGUGGUAUUGGGUGGAACGGCGGUUGCGGCAUGCGUGCUGUCAGGCAAGCACCGCUGGGCCCGCAUCAGUUGGCAGGCGCGGGGCAGGCGCGCGCCCGAACCUUCCCCAUUCCGGCCAGCUCUCAACCGCGAGCGGCCCCUGCCACCCUUCCUGGUCCUCACGUCCACAAUACGGUGUCCCACACCUCAAUCACCAAUCGCUUGAGUGCAUGUAGCCAGCACCUCUAUUUCCUUGCAUACGAACGCCCCCUGAAAAUAUACCAUGCAUGUGCGCACGCACGCACACACGCGCACGAAGAGACACACGUACACGCAUCACUCACCCGAAUCUUCUCCCUGUGCUUGUCCAUUACGGUAUGAAAGCGCUGCUCCAUCUCCUGCCGCCCGCGCUGCUCCGCAACCUGUUUGCCCACCAGUACAAGUCAGUGAGCGGGUUGGCACCCAGAGCAGCGACGUCAACAAGCCGGAGUACGCUGUACUGGCCUUCCUGCACGGCGGCCGGCAGGCGCACUGAUAGGCCCAGCUUUGAUAGGCUGACCCACCUUCUUGCGGACAUACCAACCCUUCGCCAUGGUCUGGAUGCGUUGCGCUGCAUUCUGCGUGCAUGACCGCCAUAAGAAACGCAGGCUGUCGUAGGAAGAUGCGACACGGUCGUGGCAGCUGGACGUGGCAGGUAUUGCCGAGUCCUGUCGAUCCGAACGCACUUCAGGCAUCUGUUAUGAUAGUACACGUACCCGUAUCUUCAAGAAGGCCUUGCGCCCUCGGUGCGCGCGCCAUGCAGCCUGCAGCCAAGAGCCGAGUACACGAACAGUCUCAUUGCAUAAGCGCAGCUUGCUCCACCCUGCCUUUUACCGCCCUUGCCUGUAUUCGCCGGGCCGCAGCGUCGCGGCGACGAUACAGAGCAUCGUAGUCCAUUUGGGGUUCAGCUGCUGCUGUUGUCUUCGAGCUGAACGAUAUGUCAGAAGAAAGCACAUACUGCGCACGAAGAGUAUUGGCAAUCCAUAAGCGCAAGGCGCAUUCGUUUUAGUGGGGUGAACAAGCGUGGACGAUUUAAGAAUGUCCUGCCGCUAUAAAGGAUACUAGACCUAAUAAAGUAUAAUUGGCGUGCAGUAUAAAUUCUCAUUCUACGCAUAAUCAUAAAAGCAACAAUGCGUGUUGACUGUCGCUGGGUUCUUUCGGAUCCAAGCGGAAUGUCGAGGACCGCGCCCCGCCUGCGUGUUUCAGAUUUUUAGCAGUGACACGCCGCAUUCAUCAAGGCCAGCCAAGCAUGCGGGCUGACGGGGUCUAACCCUACUCCCGCGCGAGUUUACCCCGACCGAGGGCUGCAGUGGGCUGCCGAGGGCAUGCGAUGGGACAGUGUUUAGGCAGAGUUGGUGGCGUCCCGUAGGGUUCAGCUGACGCCCAGACCCCAGCAGAUAGCAAAGAAUUUGCAACGGCAGGGCAGGAGUGCGCGGCUGGUCGAACGCCAGAGUUACUGUACCGACAAGUUGCUGGCUGGCUGGAAGUUUGACGCACAUUCCUCACGCUCCGGGCGCCCGGCCAGGUGAUAGCACCACAGACACACCGCAACGCCACACUCGCGAUACAGAGCCGCAGCGCACCUGCAGGAAGGUGACCAGCGUCCACGGAUGGGCACCAGACACCAUCAGAGGCCUUAUGAGGUUUCGGCUUUGCUGUUGGCCGAUUGCAGCUAAUGGAGACCACCAUUCACCUAGAAAUGCCAGGCUUUGCCCCCUCUGCAACAAAGGAGUAGAGCCAGGGGUCGUAUCUUGUUUUGGGGGUAAUGUCUAGCUCCAGACAAAAACGGCCGGGUGGCCGCCGUCUUUUGUCUGGGCACAUGGCGGUUUGGGGGCUUCUCCAUAGGAAUUGAGACAAAACCCGCCCCAAACCCGGGCCAACAAAGUCUCGCCCUAGACAUUAGCCCCCGGGAGGAAUGUCUAGAAAACGGCCAAAAUGACCAAUUAAUGUCUGGAGACAGUUCCAGGGGACGAGGGGCCCUUGCGGCUUGGUUAGUCUCGUUGCAGGUAUUAGGAAUGCACACUUCCAAUCCGUGCUUCCAAUCCUGUAAUACACACACCAUAGUGCUGCCGGGGGCGGCAGUGUGGUGCACGCAUGCGAUGGGACAGGUGCCACGCUGCAGUGCAUUCCCUGCCCGUAAGUCCCUGCCCACUGACAUGGAAUGCAAUGGUGCGUAGUUACAGGACUCGCACCUGCCAGUCUGUAAUGUCUGCUAACUAUGUCUACCAGACACCUAACGGUUCCUCACGCUCGGGGCGCCCGGCCAGGCGAUAGCACCACACACACAUGCUCAUGCUCACGCUUUUCUUUUUGCUUGUGCUAGCUCACUGGCCUCGGCUCUACAACGUCAUGUUCGCUUGUGCGUGUUGCGUUUUUUCAAGCACGUCAACAUUUCUCCCGUCGUGUCAUGAAGACACACACACACACACACACACACACACACACACCAGCGCCCGCGCCGGCGCCUUUAUAGUGUGGUGGAGUUUGCAGCGUAUCUGGUCGCCAAACCUGGCUAUUCAUUGCCGAUUCCAGUGACAUCGAGCAAGCACACGUACCCAGUCAGGUCGUGCAGCACAGUUCUUUACAAUCAUGCAACGUAGUCCAAUCAACUAGCAGGCCCCAUGGGGGUUGGUAUUCGGUUUGCGCAAUAGGGUCAUUGCGCCGGUUCGUGAACUUGUUCCAGCACUAGUUGCACCCUCCAACGUACCCUAUGGCAGAGACACAACAGCACAUGAGCCCAUCUCCAACAUGCGCUGGUGGCCGAUUAAUCGCAACUUGUGAGAAACACAAUUGCAAACUCUUUUAACACUGAAGGUAGGAGCGGACAGGCUUGAACACACCAUAAGAAUCGCGUCCGAACUCCAGUCGGGCGGGUCAAAGCUUGCGCACCUCUCCUGUCUCUGUCAGCGGCUCUGCGCAUCCGCACAAAUAAUACCUUGGGUCUCUAUACAAGGCAGUCCUCACCAGUUCCAAGACCAAUCACUCGAAAGAAGGAUGGUAAGCCCGGGCCCCGCCUGGGAAACGCAGCUUGCCACAAAGAAGAUGAGCGCCUCAACACACCCACGCAGACUAAUUUAGGUGCGGCCUGAAAUAUCCUCAGGAAGUCAGAUUCUUCUGUCCGUCUUACAACUAUUCCCAGCUCCACGCCCACCUCCAGCCGCGCGCCUGCUGCAGCAACCCUCGACCCCUUCACAUUCUGCACAGUAGGGCACAUGUAUCCCACCUGCCCACAGGCGAGGCCAAUCUCAACACCGUCGCGUAGCGUAAUAGUUUGCUUCCUGUGUUCAUAGUGUCGCUUUUUCCUGGCCUUCCAAGGAUACAUCCCCUACCUACUGCCGUGCGAAAGUCUCGCUGGUACACCUGCCACACCGCCGAAUCUACAUAGGUACACUUCUGCCUAGGCAACUUGGCCACCGCAAACUCAAUCUGAGCUAUCGCAACAGGCGGCACAGUAUCGCCUGCGCAUGUCCAUCACACAAGACAACACCCGGAACUUUAACUUGCCGACCACCUGAUACUGAAAUGUAUCACCACACGUCUUCAGCAACAAGCGGAGCGCAACCAGUGCAGCCAGGGUGCCGUAAUGUAAGAUUUGUACGCGCACUUUACGUCACUUAGUCUGAAACAGUCAAACGCCCAGACAUGGAACGAUUACUGAAACAGCAGGUCAAUCCCGCAGCAGCUCAAACACGCGCUCGGUUGCGAGACGAUCUACAUUCAUGACUUUUUCUGAAGCUACUCUGCAAGCCGUAGGGGCUCACUGCUCCCGCUGCCUUUGUGGCGCUGCCCAGCGGCCAGGGCUCACGCGCAGGCGUGACCUCGAACCUACACGGAUUAACAAGGCAUUCCCCCGCACAUGUAGCUUCUAAAUUACCCAUGUCGCCGCGCUAUACUCAUUCGUCCUUGCGUCUCCAGCAUGUGCAUGUAUUGGAACCGUAAUGGCAACGGACCGUGCAGGCACCUGCCACACUGUAACCUCAUAUAUUAAUUCACGCAUCCCUGGCCUGGCCCUAGCUCUGGUCCUCCAUCUUCCACCUGAGGAGUAGGCAUCGCCCGUGUCUGUAAUAUCUUUGCCUGUUGCGCGUCAUCGUUAAGACCAGGAGUCUAGUCUAGCCUACCGCGACUGCCUACGGUGCCAAGUUUCCACCCUUCAUUGUCCCACCGCCCCCAGCGCGCAGUGCUCACAUACCGCUCUGGCACGCGGUACAAGUUCAGUCCCGGUCAUGCAAUCCCACCGACGCAUCCCCGUGCUCUGCCUGCCCUUUGCCUAACCGGUCUGCCCAUGCGGGCCCCGCUCGGCAAAAUUGGGCGGCGGAGCGACUCGUAUGCUAUGCUGCAUAAAUGCGGCCAACCACCCACAAAACCACAGCAAAACGUGCUUCUUGCGUGACUGGUGAAAACGGCAUGCGAGCAAAACGUACGAGCGCCAGCUGCUAGAACAGCUCAGAGCUCCCAUCUUAACCUUCAACGACAAGAGCGUGCUCAACAGACUUCAACAUACUAAAUGCAAAGCAGGUGCCGACCUUCGUUGAUACACAACAAGUUCGAAUACAGCCACGUACUAUUUGGCUGGUCCCUUAUUACUGCAAACAGUCCGAGGUUACAACUACUCUUCAGGCGCAAGGUCACAAGUUGUGGCCCGUGUGUGCGGUGCGUGCCACCACGCAAUCAUUGCGACCACCACCGCCAACUAUUACCAGGUGAGCGCUGCCAUCCAACAGCUCGUGCACGGCGCGCAGGCGUACCAUGCAACGUUCCCGAACCUCUUGCGCAAUGUCAGUGGGCUACGCAGCUUGCAGUAGCUGGCCUGUGCUGUAGCCAUCGCAGCCUCACAGGAGGGUAUAGCCGGGCCGGCAGCUGACCCUGCACGUGCGUAACUCCUCAUUGUCGCGCUGUCGCCUGGCGCGAAGCGCCAGCCACACCCGCACGCGUAGCCGUCAAUCUACAUACACCGACAGGCUGUAAGCAGCCACAAACACCGUAGCAUGGCGCCGCCCCGCAGCCUGCUGCUGCUACUGCUGCACCGGCUGCGACUGCUGCGCCACGACGGAUUUGUACAUCUCGUACAGCCGCUCCACGGAUGGCAGGAGGCCCUGCAGCUCGGUCUCGGACAUCACCGUGCGCAGCGAGUUGACCACGCACACGUUGACGCCGGUCUUGAGCUCGCUCUCCGCCACCAGCAGGCACGCAACAGCCAGGCGACUGUAGCUCACGCCCGUCAGCGCGUGGUCCAGUGUGGCCAGCUCCUGCGUACAGACAAGAGCGCGGGAUGAAAUUUUGAUGACAAUUGCUAAACGCCAAAAAUAUGCCUGCAUGUUGUCAAAUGCUGCGUGGCGUGCACGUGGGGUAGCUGGCAAAGCCCGAUAGUCCCGGCUUAGACCCCUGGUAGCGGCCUUUCACGGACACGUCCUCCGCCGCCAGCUGCUGAUAGCACGUGCGCAGCCGUACGAAGGUAUCCGGACGCAAGCACGCACUGGAUCCUCAUGCGGGCACACACUCACCGUCAGUUGCUGGACGGUAGCGCGGAAGGCGGCCUCCUUGCCGGGCGGCACCACCGCGCCGUCCUGCGGCCGGUUGGUCACGCGGUGCACCAGCAUGGUGGCGAAGGUGUAGAGCGUUGGCACCCGCAGGCGCCAGUCCAACGCGGUCAUGAUCUGAUACUCCAUGCGGCGCGCGGCCUCGGGCUGCGGGGCGAGCAGUGGCGGCAACCAGGCGCACAAGCACACACAGUACGUAAGCAGUGAGAUGAAGGUGACCGGGAGAUUGUACGGUACGCACAGGGCAGUGUGAGAGACAGGCGAGGGCGAAUGCACUACAUGUCACGGGAAAACGUCAACGCCGCAUUCUGCUUACCUCAAACGGCUUGCCGCCCUCGUCCUUGGCCAGCUGGAACAAAUUGUCGGCAGAGCAUUGCUGCGGGAGACGCAGUAAGCAUAUGGAGACGGGCAGGGGGAUAAGUGGCGCGUACGUGGGUGCCAGCGGAGAAUUCAUUGAGCGCGGGCUCGAAACACACGCGCCGGGGCCACAACCCUGCACCAUGCACGUCCAGCCCGUCAGCGGGUCCAAAGACCCUACCUGCUCGACCUUCACCGCCAGCGUCAUGCACGUUAGCGCCGCAAGCUGCAACGCUGAGAGCGGGACAUUCCCCUGCAGGCAAACAAAGACGUCGGUUUUAUGUUCCACGAGUAUUCAGGGCAGGAUUUGGCAAUGUUUUCUGCCACCGUGCGCCUAAACAGCUCCUACCUCGCCACUGGCGCGUAGAAAGCGGUCGAGGAUCGACGCCGACGUGAAGAAUGUCGCCGGUGCGAAGCCCUGCAGCACGCAAGACUGCCGCAUCCACUCGACGAGUACUCCACGAUACUCCGGAAGGAUGGGCGGCGAUGUGUGAGGCCCCAGCUCGCGCUCCUUGGCGAACUCCGUUCUGCAAUACAAGAAGCCCUUCGUUUCCGAGCCGUCACGCGCCCAGGCUGCUAACUAGAACGCACCUUAGAGCCUCCUCUGCGUCCUCGUGAUUAUAGGACGUGCUCACGAAGGUCCCGGGCCGGUAAAAGCGAGUUGCGUCCUCGUCGUCGUCUUCCAGCACAUCGUCCUCGCCGCAGAAGAGCCCCGGAGAGCCAGGGCGCAGCGAGAGGUCCUCCUCGCUUUUCAACGUGGAGGAUGAGUUCAUCCAGCAGUAUGACGACUCGUUCUGCGGGCAAAGUUCGGGGGUCAGAAUUUCCACCCCCCAACCCCUUCAGCAACCAGGCCCUGUAUCUUCGCCAGGACCUCACCUCUGAGUCAAAUGAUCCAACAUCACUGCAAGUCUCUGGCGCUGACGAGCAGGACGGCGGGAACGCGAGUGUCUGGCGGUCGCGACUGCACAGACCGAACAGCGACUCCUCUUCCAUUUUCGCGGAGCCUCCUCCGAACAGCUGGCGUUGGCACGGCACUGGCGAGCAUUCUAGCAUGCUGCCGACAGCGACGGCAGCCGCAAAUAAGGGGCUCGAGCACUCCAUUAAUCCCCCCGCCAAACACGACCUCUCUGGCCUGUCCGGCCGGCUGAAAUUUCGUACCUAAUUGUAUGAUGUAGUAUCCACUGUAAACCUAUUCCCUGUAGUCACGGAAAGUGUGCGUUCUGGCGAGCUCAAAGUGAGUCCUGCCAGUUGAAUCCAAGCGCCUCCAUCCGGUCGCUGGGGAGCCAGGGACUGUGUUAUCUCCUGUAGACCUGUGCAUUCCAUGUAUUGCAUUGCAACGUAUUGAUUACAUAGCAUCCGGGGGCGAGCAGGAGGCGGGUGCCGGAGAGCAUGCUUGAACGGGCGCUUGCGCCAGCCAUUCCAAAAGUCUCCAGAUACAAAUCGAUUAUUACAGUUGAUUUUUCUUAUUCACGCAGUCCUGGCUAGGCGAAGUCGGAGCAUCACCUUCGGCCCGCCCCCGUGACGCCGAGGUGUGAGAUAUCGGUUGUGAGGCCCGUUUGGACCUGGGAGCAUCACGAGUAAUGUAUGCAUUAGAGGGCAUGGCCAUUUCACUUAGCAUGAUUGAUGGCCUGAAUAUGACAGUUAAAAAGACGUCAUUCAGGCUGGCCAGGGCCUUGCAGCCCAAUGAACUGGUUAACCCCGGCUUGGGAGACGAAGGGCAACUCAGCAUCAUGCGAGCCCAGCUAUAAGUCGCUAUAGGCGCACGGGGCCGCGAUGAGAUGGGGGUGCAAUGUUAGGGUUUCCCUCUCUAGGAGGGCUUUCACGGAGGGCAUUCCCCACUGGGGUUUCAGUUCCCUCCCGCAGAGCCAUCGAGCCGCGAUGGGAGGGGGAUUGUAGCAGUACCUAGCCCACCUCGGACAUAACUCAUUGUAGAGACUGGCAAGGGGUUGGAGAUGUCCAACGGAUGAGACUUGGGUGACCGCAUAUUCAUUAGAAGACUCGUAAGAGGCAUAAGUUAGGGCCUAGCCCUGUCUCGAACAGGGAUCGUAACAGUAGAUCUAUUACAACUGGCCGGAACACUGGGCGUGGUGAUGGCUUAACGGCCGUGCCUUUCAUCGUGUCUCAUCUUGGCGGGCGUUCCGCCUACAGGGAUGCAUGGGGAAAGGUUACACUGGGUGACUGGAAGAUCACCCAAAAUUAACAUUAGGUCCACGGGUGCCAACACCAACUGCAACAUGAUGGUGCUGCCCGCUUGCAAUGAAUGGACUUUACAAACCGGCCGCCGGCGCGCCCACGCCAUGAGGGGCCAUCUCCGGCCCAGAGAGAGAAACCGCCCUCCCUCUGCUUGGCUACCGACCUUCACUGCACUGCAUUACGCUAGCCUUCACACGAAGCGUGUCUGGGGCACAACGGCAUGCGUUGAAGCCAAGCCUCAGCCCGCCACAGCCUCACAAUGCUGAGCGCCAUGGCCCAACAGCAAGUGGCACUGACGCAGCAACAUGCACUUCAGACCGUUGGUCUGCGGAACGCCCAGCCAAACAAAAGCACCACAUUAGUAACUACGUUCAACUAAGACAACGCACCACAACGCACCACAACUAUGAUUGUGUAUGGGGGAUCGGGAUUGAGUUGGGGGGUUCUGAAAUAACUGAAUUUACGGAGGCGGGGUGGGACUGGGCGGGCAUGAUGGGGCAGGUGGCGAACAUUGUGUCCUGGUCUCAGAGUUGACCGGGGGCCUCAGCCCCCCUCUUUUGCUCGGUUUAGUUUGGGCUGGUAUCUACACACACACACACACACACACGCACACACACACACACACACACACACACACACACACGCACACGCACACGCACACGCACACGCACGCACACACACACACACACACACACAUACACAUACACACACACACACAGGACGCAUACAGGUGCAUCGCGGGGUCAGGCCGAAUGGUCGCCCGUGGGGUUACAGGCUUAUCGCGGGUAAGUAUGACUACCUGGUUGACGGCAACCACGCGACGCUCGGUAAAUUGGUAGGUACGUAUCGGCGGGCGUCGUCUGGGCGGGCUUUCGUUUCGUAUUUUAACACACACACACACACACACACACAGAGAAAUGAAAGCUAGUGUGAAUGCAAAUGCAAGACGCCCACACACACACACACACACACACACACACACACACACACACACACACACACACACACACACACACACACACACACACACACACACACACACGGUAUUUGUUGGUAACUGCGCGCGCGUGUAUGGCGGAAUUUUGUUCCGUUUGAUUCUUUGUUUAACACACACACACACACACACACACACACACACGCGCGCGCACACACACACACACACACACACACACACACACACACACACACACACACACACACACAAGCGCUGCGCGCGCCCAAGGCUGCCCCCCACCCGUAUGGAGCGGCCACCAUCCAGCGACGGGACCGCCUUCAUCAUAUAUACCGUACCUGUGGGAUGAAGGCCUAACGGCGCGUAAGUCACUACCCUAAGGGUAGCCCCGGCCCUGUCUCGAACAGGGAUCGUAACAGUUUUAGGGUUUUUAGGGUAGAUCUAUUACAACUGGCCGGAACACUGGGCGUGGUGAUGGCUUAACUCGGCGCCAUCGGCCGUGCCUCUCAUCGUGUCGAUCCCUGUUCGAGACAGGGCUGGGGCUACCCUUAGGGUAGGGACUUACGCGCCGUUAGGCCUUCCGCCCACAAUAUCCCACACCGGCGGCGCCAGCCGUGCAGGCGGCUGGACGAGCCAUAGAUCAGCACGCGUAAGAAACCCAAUAAAGGCCACCCAUGGUCACAGCCAUGUUCUCCCGCAGAGCCCAUGCCACAACGCAAGAAAUGGUGGCAGCGGUCCCCGUCGUUCAUGCUCAUACCACUUGCACGACAAGGAGGCAAGGCAACUCCAAACGCACGCUCACGAGGAGCCCUCGGCACCGCCCAACAAGCAUUGGUCGCCAGCUCGCCACCCGCCAAAGCGCCUCCGGUGCCAGGUUAACAAUAUUUGCUGGCACGGUGGGCGGUAAGCAGAAUACGGCUGUUUAAUUCGUUGCCAACUGUGCUUGUGCUUGACAGCGGGGCACGGCUGGACAUACCGUAUGGCGGGCGGCGGUGUCUGUGCAAACUAACCCUGGCUAUGUUUGAACGAUGAGGUAGAUGUUUUUUAGAGUUCUGAGGUACGGUAAGCACUUUUAGUGAGAGAAGGAAGGGGAAGGCGCAGCACCACACCGGCACACAAUCUGCAACGCGAGCAAGCAGAACACCAGGGACAACCGCUCAAGCCACCGAAACCCAAGGGCACCCCUCCGGGGCAAAGCAAGGGCAGACCUAAAAAAGGCGAAGUACCCACCAUACUCACAGGACAGAGCAAGAAAAGAAAAAAAAAGAAGGAGAAGCACGGACACCCAGCACCAAGCCCAAACCACCGCGAGAACGGGAAACCACCACAGGCACACACGCACACCAGCGCGCCGGGCCCCCGCACCAAAACACUGCAAACCGGUCCCCGGUCCCAAGCAGGCCAGGGAACACAGGCAGCAGCUACCCGGCGCCACGCACGCACGCUGAACCAAGCGGCCGCGUGAUCUGACCCAGCAACAAAGCAGUCCAAAGCGACUACACGGGAACCACCGCAGGCGCACGACCACGCGUAGUCACACACGCCCCCACCUGCAGCAAAUAGGGGCAGGGGCCCCACGCAAACCGGGGCACACAGGCAGCAGCGAACCAACUUCCACAACAAAGCAGACCAGCUACCGCACCGGAACAACUGCCGGUGCACGAACAAACGCAGGCGCACACACACGAACACGCCACCAAAACAGGACAGCACACUAGAAAGGCCCCGCCCAGAGCGCCCGCACCAACUCCGCGUCCGCGCGCUCCGCAACCUCUAGCAGCUGCGGCACCAGGCCCCGCGGGCACACGGGAGGGCCACGCACCGUCUGCCACCCAUUCCCGCUCCCAGGCGCGGACGUCCCCACGGAGGGACCUCAGGAUUAGAGCGCGCCCAGUGCCACGACAGCACAACGCGAACUGAUCACUCGCAUCCCACAGGGCCUGCUGCAGGACCGCCUCAAAGGUGGUGCCGGGGCUGGGAGCCUCAUCGUGGUCAGCCAGCAAGGCCACGACGUCCGCCGCGGACGGGAGCGAGGUCCCGUAGUCGCACUCGCCACCACCCAUAUCAGGGUCCGGGCCCACCCCCGCUUACUUGCCGCCUCAGACGUGGCAUGGCCGCAUCCCACUUUUCCCUUAAGGUUUGUUGUCCCCAUUGUAAGGCCCACAAGGGUGGACUCGAACCCAUGUAAAUGCUCAUGCUCAAGGGCCAGAGCACCACCAAAGGCGCAGGCAGCCACAGCCGUCAGUCCCCGCCUCCGGUUCCCCAGCAAGAUAUACAUACUGCAGGUGUUUAGCCCGCAGCGCAGAUGGCUGGGGGACCAGCUGCAUAUCCCUCCCUGUCCCCACAUUGUACUCCGUCAACAAAGCUGCGGGCCCACGUCCUGCGCCCAGCCCCGGCCCCGCACCACUUGCGCCACGGUCUAAGCCGCGCCGUUGUGCAGCGCGACGUUCUGGCGCGGCGCAAGGGCGGCAAGACCCCGUGCCAGCCGGACAGUACGCGCGGCUUCCGUGCAUCCAGCAAGGAGAGUAGCCACCGACGCAGCAAAACGCAAAGCCGCCGCCUGCGGCGACACAAGCCCCGGGACCGGCGCAGCGGCGUUGCCGCCCGGUGCCAGGCCCGCAGCCACGCAUCCGCCACCUUCGUCCACGGCGGCACGUAUAAGUCAACAAACCACACGCCCCCAACACGCAGCGGAAAGGCAGGCUUGCGUGGCGUGCCUGCACGUGUGCAGCAGGGGCAGGAGCCCGACGCCAUCACACACAGGCGGGGACUACCGUAGGGGCAUAUUAGACCGGCGACCGGCGCCUAUCAACCACAGCAGCCAGAGCCACGAACGCACGGGCUGACCCAAAAAUCUGCAGAAAGACCAGCAAACUCCAAGUGGUAAAGCACCUUGCUUAUGGUGUAGGCCGAAGCCGCUGUCGCCAUACCAAGCAUCGUAGUAGGCCCCCUCACCAUCGCACCAAGAACACCCACCACCGCCUCAGAAGCCACACUGCCACACGCGGGGUGACUGUCUUCAAAUCUCCAUAGUGAACACCCAGCGACUUGGCGGUUUGGACCACCCGCUAUCCAGGAGGCAAGUACAGGCGGGCCCGCCACACCGGCCGGUAGUAUGGUGCCAACUGCCAGCAGGGCUUGUGCAUCAGCAAGGCACGAUAGGGGCGCCAGGGGACCACCUAUCUAGCCGCACCCCGGCCACCAGGGGGAACCCACCACGACACACGCCCAGUCAUUCACCAACGCAGCGCCACGUGUAUCAGUGAAGAAGUCACGACACCCACGACAAGUAGCCCGCUCCCACCCCAUGCGGUCAAAGCAAUCCAGGAGGAAGGAUCAGGACUUAAUGGGGGUUGUGCAGUGCCGGGAUCUGAGUGGCUUCGUUGUGCGUUGCCGGCCUCCUUGCCCCCACCCCUCUCGCCCACCGCCGGCUCAACUCACUAUCAGCAAAACGUUUUGGCGGGCCCGACUGCCUGCCUGGGUUGGGUUGGCCCAUAGAGCGGGAUAGCCGGACAGGCCGUCCAGCCCGUCCUUAAGCAGCCAGCAUCAGUGGCCGGGGUACCACUUGGGGUACCAUACGCUGGAUGCCCGCGACCCUCCCCUGCCGCGACGGCUGAAUGAGUCUCCAACUCUGAUGCGCUGGAUGCCCCACGCCCCUGCGACAGGUAACCUUCCCGACUUCGGUGGGCCAACCGCGCGUGGCGGUGGAGGGGUGAUGGCACGCGCCGCAUGCUAUCACCGUCAAUCCUGCACAUACGAGCGAGCCCUGCAUUGCGUAACAAGCUGUUUUCAUACACAUGCAGUAAAAUGUUUAAUACAACAACAAAGCUACACAUCUGUCGCGGUGUUUCACUUUCAAUCUGUAACACCUGAACGAGAGCGAGCAUCUGCCAUAUUAAUUUACUGCAAUUAUUGAUAGGUAAUCAUAAACGAAGUCGUUUCAAAACACAGGUCCGAUAAGACGCCUGAAAACCAGCCACUCCGAGCUCAACUGGGCUUAGGACAUGGCAUCGCAGUCAGCUGAAGCCCAGAUCGAGCGUAUUGUUAAGGACAACAAUCGACCAUAUGGCCUGCAACAGCUGGUGGACCUCGCGGCGACCAUGAACUUUAAAAAGGCCCAAGUCACGAAAGCGGUCGACGCGCUUGUUGCUAAAGGCUCUAUUCUGGCCAAGGUGCUGAAAUUGUGGUAGCACCACUUGCUGGCAGCUGUGGUGACUGACUGCUGGGCUGAAUCGCAGGAGUUUGGCAAGACCAAAAUCUACUUGCCGCCGCAAACGGGGCGACCGGUACUGUCGAAGGAGGUGAGACAGAAGCUUGGCGGCCGCGGAUGGAAGGCAGGGUAGAUGAAGGGUGCGGGAAAGGUCGAAAGGACGUGGGUAUGAUGGCGUGUGCUAUGCUACGCUGGCCACUUUCAAUGACGCUCUUUACCUGGUCGCAUUCAUAGGACUACGAGGCGAGCAAGCAGAAGACGCGGGAACUGCAAGAGCAAUGCCAGAAGGAGGCGGUGGAGUGCAAGCAGCUGGAGACAGGUGCGUUGACGUGGGCCACUCUUCAGCGUCCUGGCGUGGUACGAUAGCAGCUGCUCUCGUUGCAUCUGGGUUGCAUCAUUAUCUUCGGCGUUGCUUGUUCCCGAUACACCAAAUUGAGCGCAGAGCUAUCACAGCUGCGAAGUGUGCUGUCGGAGGCUGAGAUAUCGCGGCAGACGGAGGAGCUCAAACGGAAAGUGAGGCAGACGGGCCCAGCGCCGCCCAGCUCCGAGGGUUGUUCCCUUAAAUGCAUUGGGAAUGCAUUUGUUGUGGGUGACUUGGUGGUCUGUGUCGGAUUAGUGACGAGGAAUGCAGGCCAAUUUCAAACCGCUGUUGUUUCAGUUUCAACCCCGUGCACGCAGUGGGCACAGACUGACCCAACCCACUCGACCCACAUCGGCCCCGCCCGCAGCUGGCGGCUGACGAGAAGAAGCUGGCGAUGCUCAAGUCCAACGCGGUGCUCAUCACCGCCGAGGUAAGGAGGAAACAGGGGCAGAGGCAGAGGCGACGUGUCAGAGAGCACAAGGGAAGGAAACACGCAAAAGUUGUGUAUUCGAGGCGGUGCGCAGCGGAGGCGUUGUGUGUGCGGGCGGGCGGGCGGGCAUGGGCGGAAAGAAAGGUAUGCACAAUGCAGGGAGCGGGGGCUGGCAUCGUCUAUAAAUGUAGCCGGUAUAGCUAUCACGGGAUACCGAGUGAUGCGUUACAGGCGCGUGAGCUACUUGCUUCUACCGUAUUUGUACUGUUUAUGUUCACCGCGUGAACGGCAACGGCUCUGGUCCUGGUGCAGGAGCGCGCGGCCGCGGAGAAAGCGCUGGCCAGGACGCUAGAGGCGUGGCGCAAGCGGCGGAGCAUGUUCAAGAACAUAUGGUGAGUGGUGAGGGUGCCGCGGAGCCUCGUGUGGAACAUGAAAGGUGUUGGAUGCAUAGGCGCGGUAUGCAUGAGGCGGCUAUCCAAUCGGUGUGUGCACGGUGGGAGGCUGCAUGGCGCUGAACAUGGCCUGGGGUGUGGUAUCUAGGCGCCUUACCACAUCAACAAAACACCUGCGUCUGCGUGUGCGAGGCGGCCGAGUUACCUAGCUUACACGACCUCAUAAACCCAGCCCGACUCAUCCACGCCUCCCAAGCCAACCAUCUUGAACCCCCGGCCUCGCCCCCCCGCCCCCCGCCCCCCUCCCCAGGGGCGCCAUCAGCGAGAACAUGGACGGCAAGCAGGCGGACCUGUUCGAGGAGAUUGGCGUGGAGACGGACGAGGCGGCGGGCGCAGACAUGGCGGAGGCGGAGCGCCUCAUGCCGGGCAGCAAGCGGAUGCGCCGCUGAGCGGGGAGGGGCGGGUGCAGGACAGGGACGCAGUUGGGGGGGGGGCUGUAUGGGGGGGGGCAGGCGGUGGGGAGUGGGCGGAGUAUAGCCGAAGGACGUGGUCAUGGGCAGGAGCUUGGGCGGGUUGGGCAUGCGCACAGUACUUGUAAGUACUGAGCUAAAGCCGUGGGCUAGCAAUCGCCGUGUGGCGAUGCACGCGGCCAGGGCAGCGGCGGAAGGGACUGCUGGCAUCGCCUUGUGUCUAUGUGGGUGGCAUGCAGGACUUGAGUUUGCCUAAGAACUGGUGGUGGGGAUCCGAGUGUUGUGAGGCAACAGUGACGCAGGAUUGUCCAUGUGUACAUCACCCUGUACGCCGGCUGAGUACGCCGGUAUUCGAGUGUACUUGGCGAGCGGGUUUGUAGCCGCAUAAGGAGGGUGUGUCCUGCGAUCGCGGCCAUCCAGGCAGGGUGCCUGAUUCUUGCAGGAUGCGAUUGGCGAGUGCCUUCGUUGGAGGGUGAUCUCGCCAGUCCUUUCAGAAGAUUGGCUGCGGCGGUUGUGUGUGUCGAGCCCGGGUGAGAGGUAGCCCCACAGCGGCACAGCUGUAAGUGAGGUCCACGCCGGCGGCCCGGCGCGGUGCAUCCACGUGUGUGGUCUACCGUCUACGCCUAGACCAGGGGAUAAACGGUGCCACGGUGUGACUCCAGGUGCUUCAGACCUGACGUUGACCGGGCUUUACAUUGGCGCCCAGUCGGUCGGCCCAGUGGGCAGGCUUCCAGACCCCAUCAUGCACCUCGUGGAAUCCCCGAUUCCCUGGCAUGCACAGUAGCACAUCGUCUCAGUAAGCUUCGGUGUUAACCCAAAAACCCAACAGGCACGCGCAGUCUUGCCCGCCACCACUGCCACCACAAGAAGAAAGCACGAGGCCCCGCCUUGAAUCUUGCUUGCGUGCCCAACCCGCAUGGGCUGUUGUCCAGGCGGGUCUAGGUCACACACCAACCUCUCUAUGAACCGUCACACUCUAUGCAUAUUGCGCCUUUGCAGUCAUCUGUCCUUGCAGUUCAGACUUCGAGUCUAGCACCGAGGCAAGUCGCCCCUGCUGCAGCUGUGGCACUGUGCCGUCUCUUCUUCAGUACAGGCACUUCCAUCGGUGUGACGCAGGCCGUGACUACCCGCCGUACGAGGAAGCGCCUUAUCCUGAUCAUGCCCGCAGUAGUAUGUGUCUUGUCAGGUCACGCCCAACCCCGUACAUCCCAAAAUCCAACCAUGCACACACGCCGUGAUGCAAACAACCGACAUCGACAUCCUCAACAUGUGUUCCCUUAUUACGCUGCGCGUCGAACAAAUGCCUUCGUCGUACAUGCACCGCGUUGCUCAAGUAGUGCCGGUCAGCAUCCUUGAUCGCCAGCCGUCCCGACAACGCGUCACGCGAAGUCGCGCAUUAGCAUGGCCUUGCCUCCCGGCCCGCGAUGCAGCACCCGCCGUCCCAGCUAUCUGGCCCCCGCAAGUCUUCACUGCGGUCAUGCUAGUUCUGUAUCAUACAUUCGUAGAGCUGGCACACGCUCAUUGCAUGGCCCAGUCUCACACAACCCCCCGCACGAUCUGCCUGCCUCGCUGCGCUUUGGCCUUGCGGUAAACUGCAGCGACUGUGCGUAGCGUCUGGCAAAUGCUCAAAACGGCACAUUCCGGCACGGUCCGCAAGUCUGUCCGACGCUUGUCAGGCUGCAACCACCUUUGUGCGGCUCGUCGUGUGCAGUACACAAUGCCUAAGACAACUCGUGCACGGGUUCAGGGGCUAGUAGCGACUACUUCGCCAUCUGCCCUACGGCAUGCCGCAUUUCCUGUAACCACAUUGACUCGUAUCUCACACCAUACGCUUGCUCCUGCUUCAUUCGUUUCAAACACGGUAUUGCGCUCUUCGCUGCCGCCUGGCCGCGUGGCCAUGCACACAAAACAUGAUACACUCAGUGGCUGUAUGCAAUUGUAAAGUGCAGGCGGGGUUACUAAGGAAAUGCCACCAAAGCGCGAGCACCCGGCUUGCAUGUUGCAUGCGUGGAAGCUGGGUAGUUGCGAGCGCGCAACCCCACGCACAUAACACCUGCCAAUCAGCAUGCUGCCUCCUCCUCCGGUCAGACUUAGGUCAGUCAGGUAGUCAAACGCACGUCAAAGUAAGUAGUUCAACACACCCACCGUCCUGUCAUACAAAGAAAGAAAGAAUGCGCCAGCUGGCGGAGCCCGUACGAAGAUGCAGCAACUGCUGCACGGGCUGAUGCCGGGAGUAUGUUGCUGUCGCCGAGCGCUGGAAAUUCCCGUAGCCACUGGAGCCGCUGGGUGCCAUUGCUGUGGUAGUGCGGGCUCUGCGCGGUGCUGCAACUGCUAUACGCAUAGUGCCUAGGCGGCGGCCAGUCGCAAUCGCGGCUAGCAGCCACGUUGCGUCCACGCUGGCUACGGCCCACUAGGCCCACAACCCAGCCCCACCGAGCUGGCAUAUGCCGUUGCUGCUAUUAGAGCCACCCACUCGCGGCCAUCCCCAUGCAUCAGCAGUGACCCCUGACCAGGACAUGUCGGCCAGGUGCCCAACGGUCUGCAGCAUUCCGCUGCCUGCGCGCAUGCGGGGAUGGCCUGGCCUGACGCCCCCGAAGCAAGCAGAAGACAGCUCCCUGCUAAUUGGCAGCUGAUGCGCCACCAGGCCGGAGGCGCCGGCACCAGCAGCAGUCCAGCGGCAGCAGCCGCCGCUGCUGCUGCCGCAUCCACCAUUUUAGCCCCCGAGCUCCCGCAGCCCGAGGUUUGCCCCGAGCACGGUCCGCACGUCGGGCGCGUGCUCCAGCUCGUUGAGCACCGGCAGCAGCUCCAGCAGCUCCUGCGCACCCGCAAAAACGAUGACCAAGAGGUGGUCGGUUCAGCAGCCCCAAUCGCCGCGUCAGCGGACAGGACCGUCAUGGCGCGCUGUGGGUCUCAUGGGCAUCCAAAACCAGUGCCCGCUUGCCUGGCUGUCCAACUCCGAUACUCGCAGCCCGUUCUGUUGCUAGAGCAGCCAAUGCUGACGCUGACGCCAUUCCGCACUCCGCUGUCCCUUGUGCAACCAUUCUAUCUUCCACGGGCCUUACCCCAUUGCAACAAUGCCAAACCCCUUUGCCUUGCCCCGCUUCCCGUCCGCCCCACCUGGUCGUCCAUGUUGUCGAUGAAUGUGCUGAUGGGCACCGCGUUGGCGGGCUGGAACACGUACGAGUGCGGCGAGUUGUCCACUGCGGAGUGGCAGCGCGUACCGGGCGGGUCAGAUUCAGAAAGGUAAGGGUAGGUGGACGCAGCGCGGCUAUGAAACUGUAAAGGCCGGCCUGAGAUAACAAGGGACCGAUGAUCCUGGCGUGGCCGAACAAAGAGAGCCUACUCCGUUGGCGGUGCAUCAAGCGGUGUGUCCCACCCCCACGGAAACCACACCAUAGCACAGCCGGUGGCCCCCUGCCGCCGCAUAGCGCCCCGCCUGCCGCUGCCCCUCUGCACAGAGGCAGCACGCGCCAUGUGUGCUCGCCGCUAACGGCGCUCACCGAUGAUUGUUUGCGACAGGUCUCGCCCCAGGCAGCUCAGGUCCUUGACGUAGUUGCCCUCGUAGGGGAAACACGAUUCCCGGAAUAGCCGCCACCGCACGAGCUGCUGCUUGUCGAGGAGGUCUAAAAGCGGGUCCGCGUACUUAGCGAGGCUGGCCGUGAACACCACCACCUCGAAGCGCGCGCCGACGCUCUCCAUGAAGUGGUCGCACCACGGCCGCUUUAGUACGUACACGUCCACUAGCUUGCCGUCCACCUCCACCGGCAGGAUAUAGUCUGAGGCAGCGCGGACCGCCAGGAAAUGUCAGCGCAUGCGUGACCGAGAUGCUCACUAAAGCGUGCACUGAACAGCAGCCGCGCGCCCGACACAACAAGGAUCUAUGUCCAUGGAUUGCUGGCGACCAUAGCAUUCUUAAGGAUGCAAUUCGGAAGCCCAACCAGCCGGCGACAUGGAGGAGAUGGAGCGAGUGCUCUCUCGUUCCUGCCCGACGAGACCCACCCGGGUUGGGGAUAGGCUUGAAGGAGGAGUGCACCAGCGUCUCGUCGAGGUCCAGCACCAGGGUCUUCUUGCUGUGGUCGUCGGACCGUUUCGGCCCUAUGAGCUGCUCCCGGUGCACCUUGGGGGGCUGUGGCGGAACAAAGCGACCGCCGCUAUACUCUCCGUCUUGUGCAUGCCGGAAGUACCCCUGGCUCUGCGGUGCGAAGCAGCAGAGGAGCGACCGGAACCGCCUUCGCCAGCUUUUGGGCUGUGGUUGCUGGGCUACGCGGAAGGGCGCCACCGGCCUGUGCGCUGUGACGGACGUGACCUGCGUAAUAACGCUGGACACGUCGACGACGCUGGGCUUCUCGGGAGCGCCGGGCUGACUUGAAAGCGUUGUUGUGCCAUCUGAGUCCUCCGCUGGCGGGCCUUCCCCGUUGACCAGAGGCUUCGCUAGUAUGUUCUCGUCAUUUUGAGGGUCGUGGGAGGAGCUUGGGGGUAACAUCCUCCCCCGAAGAGAGAAUUUGAGGCAACGGACUUCAACUCUUCGUUGGUAGAAGCUCUGAAAGGCAAGGGAAAAGUAAUACAGUAUUCGAACAAUUGUUAAUGCCCCCUCCAGCCAGUCCCGCCUCGACAAAGUUUUGCGGGAUGAGUCCCCCCGCCAGCCCAAAGCCGGAGCUGUGUUUCGCCCGUGCAUGCAUUACGCGCUAACAUUACCCCUACUCACUUUAUUCUAUUGCAGACUGGAAGCUUUUGUUACUGUCGAGCAGACUUUCAAGGCAAAAUCCUCUACACUCCUUCAUUUCUUUGGGGUUUCCAGCUCCAUAUAAUUGCUAACAAUAUAAAUACAAAAACGCGAUUCAUUAGUGUUAUUCAAUUCUGCCGGGCCUUGACGCCGUGGCCACAUCGGCGGCAGCCCUGCUCGCCCCCUGACAUAUCCAGCGUCAGCCUUCCGAAAUUCAACACGCUUUACACUCAACGAAGUGGUGACUGAGGCGAACACAUAAGCAGCAUGGAGUUUGUCUCGCCAGAGGGGCUGCGGCUGGACGGCCGGCGGCCGCGUGAGCUGCGGCGAAUAAACUGCCAGCUAGACGUGCUGUCAAACGCGGAUGGCUCGGCCAUAUUCGAGAUGGGCAACACCAAGGUGUGUGUGUGGGGGGGGGGGGAGGGGGUAGAGUUCAAGGGGGGCGGUAGCCCAGGCAGGGGAGGUGCGGGAGCGGGGGCAGGGGGAAGGCUUGGGUGGCAGGCUAGCUGCAGCCACCACAUUCAUGGAUUCACCCACGGCCCAGUCGCUCGAGGCUCAUGUCGCAUACAGCUAUGCCCUCAAGUACGUGGCACCCGGGCUUCAUACAAGCGCUCGCCCGGCCAUGACUGUGUGUCUGUUUCCACACACUGUUCCCACACAAUGCUUCCAGUAUGUGCCUAGGCCCUUUGGGGUAGCCCGGUAAACCAGCCGCCCCGUGUCGGCUCCAACCCCACCUGACCACACGCCCUCACGACCCCGGGGCCGCUCCAGGUGCUGGCAGCCGUGUUUGGGCCGCACGCGGUGACCCGGCGCUCCGAGCUGCGGGAGGAGGGCGCGCUGGUGGUGUGCGAGUACUCCAUGGCGGCCUUCAGCACGGGUGAGGGCGCGACAGGGCUGGGGAGAGGGCUGCAGGGAGGGCUGGAGAGAGAGGGCUGGAGGAUGGUCUUGGUCAAUGCCAUAGGGCACAAAACAAGCCCCGAAGCUUGUCAGGAGGCCCGGGGCGGGUGAGGAGGGGUUAUUUGGCCGUGCACAUGGCGCAUGCCAGAGCCGGAAUGAAGUGUGAGGACCCAAAGCGGCUCCGCCGCCAGGGCACGGAGCGCUGGGCAUGAGAGCUAGGUCCUGCAGCUCAGCAGUCCAGCUCCUGCUCCCCCCGCUCCCAUGCUCCCACCCCGCCGCUCCUCAACCCGCCACGCCUGGACGCACUGCGCCCCCGCCUCCCCACGUUCGCGUGCCGGGCAGGCGAACGGCGGCGUCGCGGCAAGGGCGACCGGCGCUCUACUGAGCUGAGCAUGGUGAUCCGCAACACGCUGGAGCAGGCGGUCAUCACGGAGCUGCUGCCGCGCAGCCAGAUAGACGUGUACGUGCAGGUGGGCGAUGCAGGACAGGCAGGCAGGCAGGGGAGGGCACAUGCCCGAGCCGUGCGACGAGAUGGGGAGUCAGAGGCGAGGCAGGCAUAUGCGCGCAUGCGUGCGUGCGUGCGUGCGUGCAUGCGUGCGUGCGUGCGUGCGUGCUGUCGGAGUCCAGUCAGCCACCUAGCGAGCAUGCCCGAACAGCAGCGGCCAGAACUCGCAGCACGUGCAAAUGGCUCGAGGCAAGGCCAGCGAGCAGGCGCGUCGUAGCAGGGCCAAUAUGAAGGUAGCCGGGUUUUCGAAUGUGCGCUGACGUGGAAACCAGGCGGAAGUCAGCGGUGCCAGGGCGACCCCCGAACUCGUCUGCGUGCACACACACAUACACGCAUGCAUGCCUCAUGUGCCAGCCAUCAACAUUGCACACGCCGCGGCGCCCAGCAUUCCCCUCUGCACUUCGCAUCUGCGACAUGAAAGAGAUCCAACACUCCGUCUUGCAUGGGCGCCAUUUAUCAGGUGCUCCAGGCGGACGGCGGCACUCGCUGCGCCGCCAUCAACGCGGCUGUGCUGGCGCUGGCGGCGGCGGGUGUGCCGCUGCGGGACCUGGUGGCGGGCUGUGCGGCGGGGUACCUGGACGGCACAGCGCUGCUGGACCUGAACUACACAGAGGUGCGGGAGGGAAAGGGGAGAAGGUGUUUGUUUGACAGUUCCCGGUAGUCCAAAACCAUUGCGGAAGAAAUUGAGGCCCAGAGGCUCGUGACCAGCCCACCCUUGCGGAGGAGGUGGGGGCUGCGGGAAGAGACUGGCGGUGUGGGCAUUGUCGGCGACCCUGUGGGCUUACCCUGUUCCCCUGUACGCGCACCUUCUCUGACGGGGUAUUAGCCGUCCUUGAAAAGGAGGGCCUGUCCACUGUGCAACUGUUGCCCAUCUUUGCACCGCCCCCCGCUACCCCUCUCGUGCGCACAUGUUCUUUGCAGUUGCCCCUCAUUUGUGCUCUCGCGCUCUCAUUCUCAUACACACAUGCACAUACAUAGUCUUGCGGGCUUCCUUCCCUCGCGCACAGGACUCUGGCGGCGGCCCCGACCUGUGCGUGGCUCUGGCUCCGCGGCUGGACUCGCUAUACCUGGUGCAGAUGGACAACCGGCUGCCCGUGGACACAUUCCAGGUGGGUGGGGGGCGGGGAGGAGGAAGAGAAGGGGGCCAGGACAGGACGGGGGGAGGGGCAGGAAGGCCGGGACAGGAAGGCUGGGGCGCAGACAGGGAGGGUAAGCGAGGGGUGGGCUCAUGAUGGUGCCACAAGCAGCAGUGCGGGGGCUGGUGGCGAGGCAGGGGCACGCAGACGAUGCAGAGAGCGUGGGCGCAAGGGCGGCUGCCCUCUGACAGCCAUCCCCCCCACCACGGUAUGGAAUGCGUCGCGUGUGCCCGCUGUACCUCUGGCCGUCGGCACUUCACUUCAUAUUUGAUACACACCAUCCCAUGGAUGGCUACCCCCCCCCCCCGCCUGUGCGCUGCACCCGCCCGCCUGCAGGCUGUCAUGGAGCUGGCUCGUGAGGGCUGCCGCACCAUCAGCGGCGUCAUGCGGGCGGCGCUGCUGGAGCACACACAGCGACUGGCGGUGGCGAGAGGCAUCACUGCAGCCGUGUAGCCGCGCGUGGGGGCGGCGUGUGGGCGGGGGCUUUGGGGGUGCUGGGGGAGUGUGGGCGGCUUUGGGGGGUUGUGAGCGGGCUCUGAGGGGGGGAAGUGCAGGUGGUGGGACACGCGAGGUGCGAGGAUCGCGAGAGCCUGAAGCAGAGGUGGCGUCCGCUGUGUUAAAGUGCGGAUGUGCGAGCGAGGGUUCCGGGGUGGUGGUGGUGGUGUGCGGUCACGGCUAGGCGACUGUGUGUGCAGCGGCUGCUCGCGGGGAUGGGGCCACAGCGCGACGCUGCAUGGCGGGGCGCCGGGGCGCGGUGCAGGGCUUGCCGCGCGAGGGGCUGAGGCAGGAGGCGCACUGUGUGUGGAGGGAGGCAUGUGGUGCUUACAGCAAGGAGAUCAGUGCGCGGAGGAUGAGUCAAGUCGCUUUCGGACAGGUUCCCUGGAAGGCUUCGACUUACAUGUUGUUCGAGAGGUGUUGCGUGCCGAUUGCGCGGCGUGACGGAUGUUCAUGUUGCGGGCGCACAAUGCUGGUAGCUUGAUUGGAUGCAGGUGGACACCAGUGCAUGCUCGCAGGGUAGUUCAUGGGCGAGAUGGUGCACUCCAGGAGCCGAAGACAGAACCGGGCGGGUCGGCGGGGGUGGCGGGCAGUAAGUAUUGCACCAACCGUGUAAGCCACGGGCACGCGUGCCGUCGAACCUUUCGUUCCGUUUCGUUUAAUUGCGAUUCCCGGGCUUUGGACGUAUACAUGCUGGCACGUAGAAGCCCUUAGACACGGGCAGAACGUGCUAUGAGCGCAUUCGUAGCUCGCAAAUUUCUGGGUUACCCGGCUGCAGUGCAGCCCGGGCUAACCCGGCCGGCAUCAGCAAGAUGCGUUGCUGCCCAUGCUCGGCGAGCUCGCAAGGCCACUGAGGAGGCGCCCAUGGAGGAGAAUACCGCGGCGGCUGACGCGUCCAUUCCCACGCGUACGCGACGGACUCGUGCGACCGCAAUAAUUGAGGACGUUAAUGCAGUGGACGCGGGUGCUACGGCAAAGCCCGCUCGUGCCACCAGGCGAAAGGCUGUUGACGGUGAAAUUGCUGCGGAAAUUGCGGUCGAGGUUGAGGCUGAGGCCGCAGCCAAGCCCAAGCGGGCCAGCCGCAAGAAGACCGUGACGGAAUCGGGCCCUGAACUAAUUACCAGCCUCGGCGGAGACUCGGGCGCGGGCGAGGCCGGCGCCGGGGCCGAGGCCGAGGCCCCCGCCAAGCCCAAGCGGGCUGGUCGCCGCAAGACGGUCACGGCGACCCCCGAGGACGCCGAGGCCGCAGCCGGCGGGGCGGAGGCGGAGGCCGAGCAGCCCAAGCCGAAGAAGCGCGCCAGCGCGGGACGCAAGACCAAGACCGCGGCAGAGGCGGAGGCGGCAGAGCCGGAGAGCGUGGAGGGACUGCCCGACGUCACGUCGGCCCGCGCCCGGCGCCUGCUUCCUGACUCGGGGCUGAACCUGGGGCUGGACCUGUCGGGUGGGGCGGCGGCGGCGGCGGCAGCCGGCGGGGCACGGCGCGGGCGCCGCACCACCGUCGCAGUUGCGGAGGAGGCAGCGGAGGCGGGCGCAGCGGCGGAGGGCGCGGCGGAGGAGGCCGCCGCCGCCGGCGCGGCGGUGCGGGCGGCCCGGCGGCGGGCGGGCGGGCGGCGCGCGGGCGCGGCGGCUGCGGCGGUGACGGAGGCGGUGGCGGAGAAGACGUUGUCAGAGCUGGCGGUGCGGAAGGCGCCCAACGGGUGCGUGCGUGUGGGGGGGGGGAGGGGUCCAUUCAUGUAUGUGUGGGGAGGGGUGUAAGACUGACAGGGUGGUUGGUGGUGUGUGUGUUUUGGGGGGUGGGGAUGGGAUGGCGCCUGGUGGCUGUGGGUUGGGGAUGCGGGAGCCAAACCCGGAAGGCGCACCGGGGUGCACACUGCGAAUGUCUGGCCGCUGCACGCGGGUGGUGGUGGUUGGCUGGGGCCGGGGGGAAGGGGCCGGGGAGGCGUGGCGGGGCACGGACAGGGGCACAGGGGCACAGGGGCGGGGCGGCGGCGUGCAGGUGCACGCGUGCGCUGUGUACGAGUGGCCGCCGCCCACAUGCUGCGUUGUGAUCUCCUCUCUAACCCCCGCCCCCCUCCUCUCCUAACCCCCCUACUAUGCUACUGUACCUGGCUACGCCUUCACUUCUUAACUAAUCAUGAAUGUAACCCCCUCCUCUGCUCCUCUCCUACCCCCUGCUGCAGGACGGUGCUGGGCAUCAACCGGGCGGCUCUGGGCAUGGGCAAGCGGCAGUGGUGGGCGCUGGGGGUGAGUAGUGCUGUUGGCGCCUGGGAGUGGCGAACUUACCGGGAACGGUGAGAGUAAACCGUCAUCCUGUCCUCCUACUCAUACUCGGGCUUGGACUCCUACUACUCCUGCUCCUACUUCACCGCCGCGUCCCUGCUGACCCUGUAACCGCUGCCCCCCUCCCCCCCUCGGGUCUGUAGGUGAGUGCGGGCGGCGAGAAGCGCUGGGCGGAGCAGCUGCGCACCAAGCUGGUGGACCGGGUGCCGCAGCUCAUGGACCCGGAGACGGGUGAGCACAGGGGGGGGGGGAGGCGGACACACGGGGGGGGGCGGCGGACACAGAGGGGGAUGGGCGGACACACGGGAGGGGGAAAGUGGCCGGGGAGGGGAAAGGGGGCGGGGAAGGGAAAGGGGCCCGGGGGAGGGGAAAGGGGGCGGGGAAGGGAAAGGGAAAGGGGCCCGGGGGAGGGGGAAGGGGGUGGGAGAGGGGAAGAGGGGCGGGGGGAUGCCGGGGUAGUCACAGCCGCCCCUGGAGUGAGUGGUGACCCCAGGGCGGGAAUUCCUGCUUCUGGUUGCAGUUUGGUAGUCAGCAAGCCGCAAGUGAAGACGUAGGGAGUGAGCAGCAGAUGAAGCGAACGAGGGCGGGGCGUAGCCGUUCGUGACGAAGGGAUGGGGUACCGCAGUCAUCUGCAUACCCGAUUCAACUGAGGGUCGGCGGCGUCAUUAUAUAUGUCUCGGUCGUGACGGAUGAAGCGGUGGAGCCCGCAUUGCAGGGUUGCGGGUGCGUUGGCGGGCCCUGUGUGAGAGAGCAAGGGCCUCCUUUCCCUGCUACAUAAUCAUGGGGCCCAGCCCUUAGGGAAUUGGGGGCACACUAACCCUUCCCUCCUCGCCGCCUUACCCGGCACGCCCCACCUUCCCCCGACACGCCACCCCCUGCACCGCUUUUUCAAACAUCCUUGCAACCCCCACAGGCAAGAUGGCUCCCUCGCUGUCCCUUGUUGAGAUCUGGGUGCCUGAGCGCAAGACCAAGACCCUGGCCAAGAAGACAGGCAACGUCAUCUCCAAGAAGGUGGGUGGAAGGGAGGGGACGCCGAGGGGGGAGGAGGGGAAAAGGGCAGCGGCACAGCAGGGGGGGCGGAGCGCAGGUGUGUGUGCCAUGCGGAAGCCGCUUUCGGCGCACGGACGCUCGCCGCUCUCACCCGCCCCGGCCUGCGCCCACGGUCUGCGCCCUUAACUUCGAACUUACUGCCGUCCCUGCCCACCCCACCCCACCCCGCCACCCCACCCCACCCCCUCAGGUGGUGUACAAGGAGGGCUGGGUGUACCUGAACGCGGUCCUGGACGAGACCCUGAUGGGCGUGGUGGAGGAGUGCCGCGGCUUCACGCUGUGGCGGGGCGAGCAGGACUACGUGCUGGAGGACGUGGUGGGGCAGGGGCCGGGGGCAGGGGGGGCGGUGUGCGUGUGUCGGGGGGGGGGGUCAAUACCAGCCCAAACUAACCGAGCCCAAUGCAGCAAGGAGGAGAGCGGGGGGGGACCUUUGGAGUGAUUAUUGUGGGGGAGGCAGGCAGGGAGCGAGGGAUUUCAGCUUCAAGCCCAAAGUACAGGACAGGGGAAGCGACAGGCCGCUGUGUGUCGUACGACGCGCCACGCAGGGGCCGCUGGUUGCCCCGGCUUCCUUCCCGCUCCCACCGCCUCUAGUAUCGUGCUCACACACACCCAUGCGCACACACUCACCCACCGCCACCCCCCAGGGCGCGGUGAAGCUCAUCCAGCCGCUGUCGGAGGAGAUGGUCAACCAGAUCAAGGAGUGGUGAGUGAGGAGGGGCGGGCGGGGGGCGGGUGAGGGGGCGGGCUCGCGGGCUGCAGCACGUCAUGCAGGGAGGCAAAUGGACCCGGCUGGCCAGCCCUGCUGCCCGCCCGCCUGCUUUCACGGCGGCCCUCCUUCCCGCGCACCUGCUGCCCCCUGGCUGUCCUGCUUCACUCAAAAACCUUUCACUUCCCCGCUUCUCCCCCUUGCGUUCGCCCGCACCCGAUAUCGCCCACACCCCCCUGGCUGCGCCUUCACUUCUUAGUUGAUCAUGAGUGUAACCGCCUCCUGGGCCCCCCCAGGGAGAAGCUGCCUGAGGAGGAGGCGCUGGAUCCCGAGGUGCUGGCCGCCAUGCGGCUGGAGCAGUUCGGCGCGGCGGGGGGAGGCGUGCUGGGAGAGGUGAGGAGAGGCAGGGAGGGAGGGGGGGAGGAGGGAGAAAGGGAGGGGAGGGGGAGGGGAGGGGAGGGAGGGGGAGAGGAGGGAGGGGGGAGGGGCAAGAGGUUGAGAUGGAGGUGGCAGGGUGGGAGGGGAACGGGGCACAGGGCGUGCCCUGACUUCCUGGGGUCGGGAGGCGGAGCGAAGGAAAAGGGAUUGGGUUGGCCGUACUUGAGAGAAGGCGUAAGUAUGUGGUGAGGUGCUUGGUGUUUGUGUCGGUCCCGCUGGGGUAGCGACACAAGGGGUCACACCCGCGACCCACCUCUCCCCCCCCCCCCGCCUGUUGCCCCCCCCCCCCCCCGCCAUGCUCUUCCAACCAUCCUUGCACCCCCCCCCCCUCCCUCCCCUGCACCGCACCCUCCAGAGUGAGCGGGCUGAGGACCAGGAGGGCGCUAUGGAGCUGGACGACAGCGGCCGGGCCCGAUACCGCAACGAGUGAGCCGGGCGCGUGUGGGUGUGUGCGUGUGUGGGUGGGUGGGUGGGUGGGUGGGUGGGUGGGUGGGUGGGUGGGUGGGUGGGUGGGUGGGUGGGUGGGUGGGUGAGUGGGUGAGUGGGCAGGGGAGGCGAGGAGAGAGGUAACACGUGCACCAGCCUAACGGAAGUACGGGACUCCAAAAGGAGGCUUGGCCGUUGGAUGGCGUGGCACGUCGUUCCGGUCAGCCUAAGGUGUUGGUGUAGGGAAUGGAAGAGGUUACGAGUACCAAACCUCGAGUGCGCUGGGGAGGGAAGGGGAGGGGACGUUGGCGCCAAGUACAAACUGACUGAAACGCAGCACCAUGCGGAGGCGGGGUGGUGGUGCGGGGAGGAGCGAGGCUCUUGAGUUGGUGCAUGCCCGUGCGCGGCGGUCCCACGACACCGGCCCGCCACCCACGUAGCCGCCUUGAAUUUGCGUCCGCACCCACCUGGCAACCCCCACCACCACCACCUCCACCAGCACCACCACCACCUUGCCUGCCCUCGCUCCCUCACCCACACACCUCACAAACCUGCACAGCCUUACAAACCUGUCCACCUCACACAUGUGCACCCCCGCAGCUACUACACGGGCGGCCGCGACAACCCCAGCAACUGGACCGCCGGCCGCGGCGCCGCCGACGGCCAGGCGGAGGAGGAGCCGGAGGAGGACGUGGAGUCGCUGCGCGGCGCGGACGGCCGCGGCCAGGAGAUCGCAUACGCGCCCGUGCCACCGCCGCGCCGCCCGCGCCGCGACGAGCGCGCGCCCGGCAACGACCGCUUUGACCGCGGCGGCGACCGCGGCUUUGACCGGGGAGAGCGCAACGACCGCUUUGACCGGGGAGAGCGGAAUGACCGCGGGGACCGUGGCUUUGACCGGGGCGGCGAUCGGUUUGACCGGAACGACCGGUAUGACCGGAAUGACCGCGGCGGCGACCGCAGCCAGCGCGGCGAUCGCGGCAGCAGCUGGGAGCCGCGGCAGCAGCGCGACAGCGGCUGGGGCCGUGACGGCGGCGGCGACCGCGCGCCGGCCAACCCGUACGGCGAGGUGCCGCGGACCGCGGGCGUGAGGUGAGCCCGUGACUGCAGCGAUGAACACGCCACGCAGUCACAGGCGCCGUGAUACGCCAACAGCCAGGCUGCGCUGUGCGCCCGCUCCCUCUCCUGCUGGUGUGCGGUGCAUUUCCCAUUCCCAUGAAUGCCCCAAACCUGUGCACCACUCACUCACUGCUGUGCAGGCCCUCGGUCCGCGACGGGGCUCCCGCGCCCCGGCAGCAGGCGCAGCGUCAGCCGGCGGCACCCCUGCCCGACCUUGACUUUGAGGAGUGGGACGAGUCAGGCAGAGAGCCGGCGGUUCAGCCGCCCAUCCCGCCGCCCCCGAAGGCAUCGGUGGCUACGCCAGCCACGCCGGCGCCGGUGAACAAGACGGCGGCCGCCGCGAACGCGCGCGCAGCGGCGGCGUACCCGCCGCCACAGACGCGGGAGGAGGUGUACGGCGAUGAGGAUGACGCCGUACUGCGCGGCGGCAUGACGUUCGACGACCUGGAUCCGGAUUUCGACAGCCGCCGCGGCGGCGCCGCUGGCGCUGGCGCGGAGGACCCGCUCCUGGGCCGCAUUGACGGCCCCGCCGGCGGCGGCCUGGAUAUGGAUGACUGGUUCAGCGCCGGCGGCGCGGCGCCGGCGGCGGCCGGGCGCGGCGGGCGGCAGCAGCAGCAGAAGCAGCAGAAGGGCGGGCGGCAGCAGCGCGGCGUCGACGACGACCUCGGGGGUUACACCGGCGGCGGCUACGGCGGCGGCGACCCGCUCUCCUUCGACAACGAGUUUGACUUUGACCUGGGCGGUGGCGCGGGCGGCGCCGCCGGGUUCGGUUUCGGCGACGACGACCUUGGCGACUGGGAUGCGCCCGCCGCCGGUGGCAAGCGUCAGCAGCAGCAGCGCGGCGGCCGUGGCGGCGCCGCCGGCAGCUUCGGUGGCGCUGCCGGCAGCCGCCUCGGUGGCGGCGCCGCCGCCGCCGAUGAUGACCUGCUGGGUGGCGGCGCCGCCGGUUUUGGUGACGACGACUGGGGUUACUUUGGAGAUGACGACCUGGGCGGCGGCGACCUGGGCGGCUUCGGCGGCGGCGACCCCUUCGAUCUGGAUCUAGACAUUGAUCCGUUUGGAGGAGGCGGCGGCGGCGGCGGCGGUUACAGCGGCGGGCGCGGCGGCGGACGCGGCGGGCGCGGCGGCUACAUGGCGGGCUCAGGUGCGUGCGUGUGCGUGUGCAUGUCUGCCGCGGGCCCACGUGUGUGAAGUUGCGCGUUGCAGCUUGCACGCCGCCGUAGCCCCGCCUUUCUCAUGGGACUGUUGCAAACAACCCCCGCGCACCUGGUGUCCUCGUGUCUCUGAAUGCGGCGGCUGUGUCACUCCUCAACCCGCCCCCUAGUCAUGAAUGUAACCCCCCUUUUUGAUUAAUCAUGAGUGUGACCCCCCUCGCACCGCACCUCACCCCCUCCCCGACCCAGGCCCAACCUAUGUCGACGACCUGCCAGCCUCCAGCCCGCAGCAGACGGGGCAGGGGCAAGGCCGCGGCGGGUGGCAGGACCGGAGCGGCGGCGGCGGCGGCCGUGGCGGCGGCUACAGCAGUGGUGGACGCGGCGGCUACAACAACAACCGCGGCGGUUAUAACAACAACCGCGGUGGCGGCGGCGGCGGUUACAACAACAACCGCAGCAACUACCAGGGCGGUGGCGGCCGCGGUGGUGGUGGACGCGGCGGCUACAACAGCGGUGGGCGUGGCGGGCGUGGCGGAUACGGCGGCGGGCGUGACGGCGGUGGCUACGGCGGCGGCGGAUACGGUGGCGGUGACGCGCCGUAAUACAACGGCGUUUAGGGAGCCGUUGACAUUCGCAAGGUUUAUAGGUAGUGCUAGUGCUUGGGCAGCAAGUGCGUUACUGACUUACUGUGGUGGGUGCAAUGUACGGCGCCAGCUGGGGAUUGCUUUUUUGCACAAUAUUCGCACAUCUCCGCUGGCUGGGUUUGGGCGUGUAGGCUUUUCUACUACCGUACAUGGAUGGCGGAUGGGGGAAAGUCCCGCUUGAUGACUACGGCGGGGUAAGGGUGACACCGGCAGUGGACAGCUCCGCGAGCAAAGCGGUGGCGUGGGCGCACGCGGUGUGGCCUGGGGCAGGGGCUGGCAGCUGCAGGGCUGGCGCGCUGAUGCAUUGAGCUGGAAUACCGUGGGGCGGGGGCGGGGCUCUGGGCUCUGGGGGAUGUGGCGACACGAGGUGCGGCUGGCGUGUUGGCCGCGGGCGUGUGCAGCGCUGGGGCACGAGCAUGGGGCAGACGAGCAGCCGAGCGCGCCGGGUCGUGGCGGAGGCCGACGGAGGUGACCGAAUGCAGUGCUGGAGCCUGGAGCGCUGUAAGACAUGGCGGUUGACGGUGGCGGGAACUCGUCUUUCAUCCCCUCUGCUCCUGCUUGUCUCAAUGGCGGUUGGUGGUGACUCGGUGAAGAGCAGCACGGGCUGCACAGCGGCGUGUGGGCGUGUGGUCCACGGAUCGGCGCCAUUUGUAGUAAGACGACCGGCAGCUGACACAUUAAGAUGCCCACAGGGCCUGCAGCGGGGGAGGGGGAUAGCUGUUCAUCACUUCAAUCGGGACUCCGUCGCCAUUCGCACGUGCGGAUUUGCGUGCAGCAUUCCUGCAGCGCUGCUGCCCUACUUGCAGCUCCUGGGCAGGGCCCCCGGCGCAGCCGUGCAGAGCUGCAGCCCGCAGGCCGCCUUGUGUGCUGUAUGCGCCUGCAGCCAGUCCAGACGCCUCGGCACCUGCGGGGGGUGCAUGGCUGCGGGGCUGCGGGGCUGCGUGUCGGGCCAAUUUGCUUGGCUGGCAGUGCAUAACAGGGCAGGUACCUCACCUGGUGCGUACUGCCCGUUCCCCCACCACGCAUUCAAGCUACCCGCCGCACACAGCGUCAAAGUCAGGAGCCAUGCGGUGUCCGCUUCGUGCGUGUUAGCUGGGCUGCGAACGGUUGUCCUUAGUACCUGUGCGCUGGCACCUGCUGUACGGCGGAGGGCCCCAUCCGGCGGAAUGGGGCGCAGGAGCCAGGCAGCGCAUAGAAGCCUGGCGCGCUGCAGCGUCGACUUGUAAGUCCCUUGCAUAACACACACACUUGUCAUAAUGGCCAUGCUUGCUCAGCGCCAGGCUUUCUCGGGCGUCCGGGUGGCCCCCAAGGUGAGCGAAGAGGAUUCCCUUACAACGGGACCUUCAGCUUCCUUUCAGCCCGGAUUACAAAAUAGGCAGCCACUUCUAGUGAAUCGUGCAUUGAACUGGCUGUGGGUUCCAAUGCGAAGCUCCCUUCGCUUGCAUCGUCAUGUGGUGACCUGGCGAUAAAAGCGUCGGCUGCCUAUGGCGCCACGCGACCAGGCUUUCCAGCAUGAUCAGGCUCACUGCUUAUGAGUUCCGUCAGCUGGAUCCGCAGCGCCUUCAGCGGCCGCGUGCACGCGACAUGCGCUGCGGUAGUGCUGCAAGCAUACCUGGCGUCCCCUGCUGCAGUUGCCUGCCGAUUGGCGCUGACGGGAUCUCUUGUCAUAUAUUUGCAGGCCCCCGUGGUCGCUGCGCGUAUCUCGCGCUCGACUGUGAAGACCCAGGCCCUUUUUGGCUUCGGUGCUAAGCCCGCUGCCUCCGGCGGUGCUGCUGCCCCGGCGUUCAUGAUCUGCAUUGACUGUGAGUAGCUGCUGGCCUGCAUUCGCAGUCCACGGCCUAAAAUUAUAAGGCAGAGGUCGCCGGUGUGCGCACAUGCCACCGUGUCAUGCCAUGCGCGCCUGGACAGUCUCGCCUCCGGCGACCGCAAGGCGAUGCACACCUUACUAACACCGCGUACUCUUGCACAGCCUAGGACACAACCACUGGCCAACUCCCGCCCACGCUGCUUGUCUGACCCCCCCCCCCGCGGCAACCCUGUCCUUUCCCCUCCUCCUAAUCGCUCCUCCUCUCCCCUCCUCUCCCCUGCCCUCUUCCCCUACCUCUCCAGGCGGCUACAUCUACGACGGCGGCCAGGAGUUCAAGUCCCUGCCCGGCUCCUACAAGUGCCCCGUGUGCUCCUCGCCCAAGAGCCGGUGAGAGCAAGGGCCGGGGUGGGGUGGGGCGGGGUGGGGUGGAAGACGGGUCGGGGAGCGGGGGGCGGGGGGCGGGGGGAGGAGCUGUUCCGUAUGGGCCGUGGCAGGGGAUGCCACGGCGGUGUGUGGUGCUGUGCGAUCAGAUGAGCACGACGUGUGAGGGAGACCGCCAUACGUGCCCCCAUUGCUCCUGCCCGACGCGCCACGGCUCCUCCCUUAUCGCCACGCAAGUCGUACCUUCAUCCAGGUCAUCCCACCAACCCAACCUCACCCCUUCACCUGACACCUGCCGGCCCGCAGGUUCAAGGUGUACAAGGGCACCGACGUCAAGGGCAAGCCCAACAAUGCCCCCGCCACCAUGAAGAAGCGGAAGGACGCCAAGCAGUGGUAAACUGCUGACUGGCCAAUAAGCUAGCUAGCCUGCUAGCUGACCAGCGGGGUGUGGCAUGAGUGCGUGAGGACGCUGCCGCGUCGGGCCUUCACCGGGCCCUGACCCGGCAUGCCGUCUGCGUGUGGUGCGUGCGAGAGCGCCAGCCCCGAUCUACCUCGAGGAGGCAUCGGAGGCAGCGACAGCUACGAAUCGUGGCCGUGAUGACUGUUUGGCAGUAUGACUGUGGCAGUCGGCGGCUGCACUGCGCUGCGGCUGUGCGGUGUGCCUGGCAGCGGCGAAGGAUCAGGAGGGCUUGGGGCCGCGGUGCCUGGUGCUUUGCUUUGCGGUGUCGUAGGACCUCGGCGGGAGACUUCGGUCAAAGGCGGUUCAGAAGAUUAUAUGCGGCACCAGGGAGUGGCGGUGCAGCGAGGUGGCCGAGGCGGCGCGACUUGCUUUUCGGGGCGGGGUGUUGUUGUUCCCCUGGCGGCGGUGGUACGUCAGCGGCCGAGCGCGGCACCUAGGGACAGGAGGACGGGGGCACGGGGUGGUGGAGGACCGGGCGCAGCCCGUGCAACCAGUCGGGUGGGCUGGCCCAAGAGGACUUGCGUGUGUGUGCUUGGAUGUGCGUGUGUGGCUUGCGUGCGCGCCGCGGCUGCGGUGCCGCGGCGGAGGGCUCGUGGACCUUGUAAUCAGCAGCUCUCACGGCUCCCAGGGUCACAGCUUCUGCACCACGUGGGGGCGGGUUGGGACGCACUUCGACAAGCGGGCUGCAGCUCACAGCAAGGGGCACACCGGAGUAGUGUGGACCCAACCCAGGUGGCGACUCGCGUGCGGGACAGCGCUUGGGGCUUUGCCUGAGCUGUCAGCGUCAUGGCCUGUUCCUGGAGCUGGGCGCACGUGUGCCCCAAGAGCAAGAGGGGAAUCCGGGAAUGCAUUACCGCGGAGGUGAUAAGCGCAGGUGAGGGGGCCUGAAGCUUUUGAGUCCUGUCCUUCGUGUCACACACUGCCACACAGCCACACACUGUUGUUUUAUUAAAACGAAACGUUAUUCUUUCUGUUGUGUGGAUGCGAUGGUCUUAGGAUCGCACGGAUGGGGCGCCGCGAUGUCAGGGUUGGGAAUGCAGGUUUGGGGUGGCAGGUUUUUGGGCAGGCUUGGGUCGUCAGGGUUGGGUCGUCAGGGUUGGGUCGUCAGGGUUGGGUCGUCAGGGUUGGGUCGUCAGGGUUUGGGGUGGCAGGUUUGGGUCAGGCACAACAACAACAACUGCCCCCCUGCCCCCCGCCCCCCCUGGCUGUACUGCGGCGGCUGUUGAGCUGGCAAGCAUGUGUGUUGGUGGCUGUGGGCCAUGCGUGCUAGACAGGUGGUGCGGAAUAGCGCGGCGGCUGUGGAGAAUUCUUUGCUCCUGCGCCUGUCUACUGAUGGGGGGACGUGGCCGUUGCAGGUGCUAACGUAGAUGGCUCGGCAGCUUGAGUCGCGCUAGGAUGCGUGAGUUGGAUGUCUAGGACGUGGACAUGGCCGUGACGUGCACCAUUGUUGGUGCGCGUGCACCGAGCCCGACGGGAAACCUGAGGGACAUGCGUGAUGCUAGUAGUACCCCGGCGGGCAAACCACGUCCUUCGUGUCCGCAGCCACACGCAUCAUGGACCACCCCCUCAUCGAGAUUCAUCGCGAUUCAUCCUGAACUGUAGAGCACAGGCGCCAGACUGACCAGUAGCACCAAGCACACUCAAAUUCACCGCACACUGCGCUUUAAGCUCUCAGGGGCAAGGGAAGAACACCGACUUGUACCGGUCGAUUAGCGCAUACCCAGCGAUACGCCGAGGCAAUUAGCUUCAACUGACGCCUAGAUUCUAGCAUAACAAUGCAGACGUUGAAUCAUCCAGCUCGGCAUUGCCCUCGGGCUUUCUCCCACGGGACUCAGCGGCGGAUUUCCUGCCGGGCGAACGGCCCUUCCGUAGCGACCCUCUCGACUCGUGUCUCAUCGAGCAAACUACCAAGCCUUCCGGUCCUCGACAGUGAGCACCGGGCACUGUCUGUCGAAAUGGGAAAGGCCAUGCAAGCACCCUGCUCAAACAGACACCCCAAAUGGAAAUUCACGUUGCAGAUGCCUACGAAUCGAAAGUUGCCUUCACGGAGUUCGCCAACUGGCUUAUCCCCGGCUCGGUGAUGCUGGGCCGUUACCCCUAUGUGGAGCCCAGCCGCUGCCUGCGCCGUGAGCAGGGCGAGGUGCAGCUGAAGCGGAUCCUGGAGACCGGCAUCACCACCUUUGUCAGCCUGCAGGUGCGGGUUCUGGAGCGCCUGGAGGGGCGCGUUCAUGGCGCCAGGGGGACGUGCACGGCCGGACUCGGUGCCUGGGUGAGGGAGGCAGAGCGACCGGCCGCGGCCCUGAGCUCCGCACGGGUGCUGUGGUGCCGGCAGCGCAUGUUGGUUGCAGUACCAGUAGCAGUAGCAGCAGCAGUAGCAGCAGCAGUAGCAGCAUACGGAUCUGGCGCGACUGCGGCGGACAUCCUGUCGCCGGCUAUGUGACACGAACCGCUGCAGCAGCGGCAGCGGGGCAGGCCUUGUGGCUAUCAGUGACAGCUUUCGGGAUGAGUGGAUCCUGCUAUUGGCAUGCGCGGCCUCAAGCCAUGUUGCGAGCAGGCGGCCGCAGCCUCAGCAGCUGUGUGCAGGGGGGGGGGCGGGGCGUUCGCAACCGGGGCCACAACGCUGCCGCUGCCGCGGCAUCGCACCAUCGCGCGCCUGCCCCCUCGCCCCACAGAUCCCAUGUGGCUGGGGGCUGGGGCGGCGUCCGGCCACGUGCAGUGAGAUGUGGUGUCAGGGCCAACGGCACGGUUCCACUGAGGGGGGGGGGGGCGCCGGCGAUGCGGGAGUCCCAACACAGGGUACUGGCUGGUCAGCCGGGUCGGAUAGGGUCGAUCUUCGCGUUGCGCCUGUUGCACGCGCCCUCAGCCGCCAGCCCUUAGCCGCCCCACAUCCAGCGCACCCUCGACCACCUCCUCGCGGGCGGAUGGCGCGGUGUUGGGGCCGUUUCGCUCGGCUCUUGCGCAGGAUUCAUUCCCCCAUCCGCCGACUCGUCACGCCGGGAACCCCCUCCUCACAAUCACACCCGCACACAGGCUGAGCUGCCUCCCCAGGACAAGAUGACGCUGGCCGGCAAGAAUGGCUUCCUGCCGUACAAGGCCACCGCCGACUUGGUGCGCGCCUCCUUGAACGGGUGAGAGCAGGAGGCGUCGGUGGGAGUCAGUGGGAGUGAACGGGAGUCAGGCAGCAGGAGUCAGCAGCAGGCAGCAGGGGUAUGCAGUGUGUGGUGGAAAGCAGCCCUGUGUGCCAGGGACCAAAGUGGCGGGGGCGGCGGGGCUUGAUGGGUGGCUGUCGAGGUGGAAGGGAGCUAGGUGUCAGGGCUGUGGCGUCUUGGAGCGCGGCAUGGACGCCGGGCGAGAGGCACACGCAGCAGGCGUGCCCGGAUCAGCUGCAGCUGCGGUGCCCCUGUCAUGGCCGUGCAGUUGGGAUGGUGGGUGGGCCCUAUCACCCUGCCAUUCAGCGCAUCCCGGCAACACCCGCUUCACCCCGACUCCAGCAACACCCAACUCCAGCAACACCCGCAGCGCCCCGAGUCCCGCCCGUGCCCCUGCCUCUUGCGCGCCGCCUCCCUCCAGGCCGCCGCCCAUGGAGAUUGUGGAGGGCCUGCGCAACCCAUCACUCGACAAGUUCCUGCCGACGCGGGUGAGGGCGUCUGGUUGGGGGUGGGUGCGGGCGGGCAGCGGAGCUCCGAGCCUUUGAGGCUUGAGGCUUGGGAGGGCAGCGCUUGCGGCGCUGCCCUCCAACGGGGACUGGGGAGUGGUGGAGUGGACAUGGCUGGGGGAAGCGCGUGCGGAUGAUUGCUUGCAGCUGGUGACCCUGUGACCCUUCGUUUGGUUUAAUAUGCGCCAUCCAUUGUGGUCACCGCCCCGCACCCCCUCCAGAAGCGCAAGGGCGUGGAGUACCACCCGGUGGAGCUGCAGUUCUGCCACAGCCCCAUCGAGGACCUGGGCAUCCCGGCCGCGGGGCCGCUCAGGGACCUCAUUUCGGGUGAGCGCCGCUGGGGGUGCGCGGGGCUAAUGUACUGCUGCGGGCGGUUCCGGACCUCGCGGCCAAGCGGGCGCAACAGCUGGGGUGAAGGCAAGGGCAAGGGGGGUUGGCGCAGGCAGUGUGGCAGGGGCGUGGGGGGCAACGUGGGCGCGUACGCAAGGGCUCUCGGUAGGUCUACACACCGCCUAUUCGCUGACCCUGAUCUUGCCUCCCUACCCCCCUCCCUCCCGCGCCUACAGACCUGGAGUCGCGCCUGGCUGCCGGCGAGAAGCUGUACGUGCACUGCUGGGGCGGCCGCGGGCGGGCCGGCACCGUGGGCGCGUGCCUGCUGGCCAGCCUGUACGAGUGAGUGCCGCGACGGCCGGUAGAAGGGAAGGGCGUAUAACGGGGGUAUAACCAUUUACGUGUGUGUGGGGGGGGAGAGCGUGUCUGAGGGGGGAGGGCGGGCCGGGUUUGGUUCUACCGUUUGCUGUAAGCUCCAUCAGACAUGACGGGCAGCAUGCGGCGGUUACGGGAGCACAGCGUGCAACGUUUUCAGCAAGACCCAGGAAGGACACCGCUGAGCGAGCAGGCGUACACUCCGGGCGGUGGCAUACGGACACAGCUAGCCACAUGCGUUGGUUGGGCCCGCACACGGCUUCGCUCCCACCUCACAACCCUUGCCUCGACCCUUGCCUCCGCCCUUGACUCUUGCUCUUCACUGCAGCCUGCCCGCCGCCGAGUGCCUGGAGCGGGUGCAGCGGGCCUUCGACACGCGGCAGGACGGCGGGCGGCGCAGCCCCGAGACGGAGGAGCAGGUGGCGUUCGUGGAGAGCUACGUGCGCGCACUCAAGCAGUGAGCGCACGGCCGGAGCGGGAGGCGGUAGCAGCCGAGUGGAGUGGUGGGUGACCUGACAACCGUGGCGAAGCCUGCGCGGCUGCGGCAAGGUUCGCGGGGGCUGGGUGUAGGGUUCAUCGCCCAGAGUGUGACGGUGCGCUGCACCGGCGAAGGGGGAAACGGCGCGGCAGGUCUGCAGGCAGCGGAUGGCGCAAGCGAGCAUGAAUGGUAUACCCUCGCGCGUGCACUGGUGUGCGUCCUUGUGCGGUUUUGCGAUGUCCUCUUUUGUCCCUGUUGUUUUAUUAUAACGAAACGUUAUUCUUUUUGUUGUGUGGAUGUGAUGAAUCGGUAAUGCAGUGGGCAUCACGGCAAGGCCCUGACGGUGGCGAGGGAGAUGGGCACGGGGGAGGCCGGUUGCGGGCAGGGGUUGGCCGCUGGCGCAUGUGGCACAGGAACACGGUAACUGCAAUCGCUGAUAGGACUAUCCAAGGCCUGUUUCAUCUUGAAUGUCCAUCGCAUGGAGUUCUUUGGUAGAAGGAUCUGGUGCUGAAGGUUGGUUGGAGGCUAAGGUUAGGCUGACCUGGACCGGGCGUGGCGUGCCUCGUGGGCCUGUCACGGUUGAGCCUGGAGGUUCUUUCCCUGGAUUCAGGUCUGGGGACUGACGGGUCAAGAGUAUUCAGAACACCUCAUUUCAUGGUUGUGUGCAUGCCUUCUUGGAAGCAGUGAAGUGAAAAUCCAGUCAUCCACUGUGCGUCACAAUCGGUCGCGAAACGCACCUGCAAAAUAAUAGUACUCGCUACAUGCACUGCUUGCAGCCACAGCUUUGGCUCAGCAGAACCGCUGCUGUAUUGCGUGUGCCGACCUGCAGCUUGAACUGAACUAGCUUUGUGUCUACACAGUAAAUCGCUCUGCUUACAUUGAUACUGCCUUCGGUGCGCCAAGCUUUGUCACUGCAAACAACGUGUCGCCGGGGAGCGCCGCCCUCAAAAGUAUUUCAAUGCGCUUGGGCCGCUUAGGGAGGCUUCAAAAUCAGAAGUCGCGCUACGGAAGCCAUAGUCGGAGGACUAGGCCAGUAAUUCAGGCCAAGACCACGUGAGUCGUCACUGCGCCCGGCUUGCACCUGCAAAUGGGCAUCGCCAGGCGCGCAACCGCCCGGAUUAGUCGUCCGCAAGCCCAAACACGCAUAAUUUGCCCACAGGAUGACGAACAUGGACGCUCCUUCCACCAGCAAUGGCACCAGCACGAGCGCGCAGGACGCCGCAGCUCAAAAACAGCCCGUCCGCCGCGCGCCGCUGGGGAUAGACACCAUUAACAAGCGCGUUAUCAAAUCGGAGUAUGCUGUGCGCGGAGAGAUCGUGCAGCUGGCCCAGAAGAUCGCCAAGGAGGUCGAAAGUGGGCAGCACAACCACCCGUUCGACAAGGUGGUGUGGUGCAACAUCGGCAACCCGCAGAUUCUGGGCCAGAAGCCCAUCACCUACUUUCGCCAGGUCCUGGCGCUGUGCGAGUGCCCGCAGGUGGGCGGGGCGGGGGCGGCGCGUGCGUGGGGUUGAUACGGGUUGAUGGGGUGGAGGGUGCUGGCGUGGGGCGCAAGGUAGGACACGCGGAGGUGCGCCAGGAGCAGUCGGUCCGGAGGGCCUGGGCUGUUGGAAGCGCGUAAAAUGCAUGGCAUGGGCACUACACGCGCGACACAAGCCUGCAGCAGCAUGAUUACAGCAGCAGCAGCCUGGGGCACACCGGCUCAGCAACCGGCGGCCGCUUGCGGCGGGGGCAGCAGCACUGGCGGGUGGGCGCUGUGCCGACGACUUGUGUGCAGCGAGGUGGCGGCGGGGCGGCGGUGCGCCCAGGGCCUGCACAGGGAGCGGCACAGCGGCUGACGGUGCAGCGGCUGACGGCGCAGCUGGUGCACGGCUGGCCUGCCAGGCUAGUGGCGACUGGCCGGCAGGGAAGGAGGGGUGGGCUGGGCGGGCGCAGGUCAGGCGGCACGCAGCAGCAGCAGCAGCAGCAGCAGCAGCCGGGCGGCGGCGCACUGCCUGCUGACCCCGGGCCUCUGCGGCAGCACGUCCAUCAGGCCGGCGAUCGGGCGACGCACUGGGGCCGGUGCAGCUGCGGCCCUCCUGCACUGCACUGCACGGCCGGGCGGCUGCGGCCGGGCGCGAGCUCGCACUGGCACAGGCCUCACAUGCGGCCCCCUCACGCAGCCGCCUAGGCCCCGUCAGCGGUUGCAGCGCUGGCGGACCUGCAGUACCUGCGCUUCGCCGCAGCGGCAGUGUUCCGGUGCAGUGCAGUGCAGUGCAGUGCAUUGGCAGGACGUUCAGCUGCCUGGCGGCGGGACGGUUGUCUGCGCUCUGGAUCUUUGUGGGCGUAUGCGGGCUGUGAGCGCCACCUCAUGCUAGGGCGGGCUGCCCUGGCGCGGUCGUUGGCCCGUCGCUCCUCCCGCCGCCUACCGCCCUCUCCCACAUGUCACCACCCCACCACCACUUUUACAAACACAUACACACAAACACACACGCCCGCGCACCCACAGCUGCUGAGCCACCCCAACAUCCGGGAGCUGUUCCCCGAGGACGUCAUCGCGCGCGCGCAGCUGCUGACCAAGCAGAUCCCCGGCGGCCUGGGCGCCUACAGGUGGGGGGGGGGGCGGCUGGGGGCUGGGGGCUGGGGAGAAGGGCACGGGGCGCGGAAGGGCGUGCACGCGCACGUGCAAACCAGGACCGAGUGCAGCGCACCCCCCUCUCACCACCGCCUGUCGCCGCCUCAGCUGCCCGUGCCUGCCCCGACCUCGCAAGCCACCCUCACGCCUGCACACACACACACACACACACACACACACACACACACACACACACACACACACACACACACACACACAUAAACGCAGUGAGAGCGCGGGCGCGCUGAUCAUUCGGCAGCUGGUCGCCGCCUCCAUCACCAAGCGCGACGGCUACCCCGCCGACCCCGACAACAUCUACAUGACCGACGGCGCCUCGCCCGCGGUGCACUACAUGAUGGACCUGCUGCUGCGGGAGCCGGUGAGGAAGGGCGGGGGGCGGGGGAGGGGCGGGUGGCGGGGGCGGGGAGGGGGUGGCGGGGAGGGGGUGGCGGGGGCGGUGAGGGGGUGGUGGGACGGGGCGGCGCACGGUCGCGGAUGUCGGGAUGUGGGUGCAGUGCGCCGCGUGAGGACACGUCCCGCAGCUGGCGCCUGCGGCUCAUGCGCCACUGCCCCGACCGAGACACUCGCUACCCGCCUGUACCCGCUGUGCCGGGUGCUCUACUCCCCCUCCUCUCCUUCUCCCCUAACCCAGCUUCCCGUCGCGUCCCCUCCCCUCCCCCCGCCCCAGACGGACGCCAUGAUGGUGCCCAUCCCGCAGUACCCGCUGUACAGCGCCACACUCACGCUGUACGGCGGCACGCUGGCGCCGUACCUGCUGGACGAGGGCGCGGGCUGGGGGCUGGACGUGGAGCACCUGCGGCUGCAGCUGGCCAAGGCGCGGCGGGAGGGGCUGUGCGUGCGGGCCAUGGUGGUCAUCAACCCCGGCAACCCCACCGGUGAGAGAAGGGGAGGAGGGGGAGGGGGAGGGGGAGGGGGAGAGGGAGGGGGAGGGGGAGAGGGAGAGGGAGGGGGAGAGGGAGGGGGAGAGGGAAGGGGUAGGGCGAGGGGGAGGAGGAGGGGAGGGCGGAAGGGGAAGGGGAAGGGAAAGGCCGGAAAGGGAGGGGGAGGGGGAGGGGAGAGGGGGAGGGGUAAGAGGAGGGUCAACCACAAGGGAAGGGGGCGGGGAUGGAUACGGGGCUGCGCUGGAGGCACCUUGGGCGUGGGGGAGGCGGUGCUGCACGGGGCAGGGCCGCGGCGGCGGAGGCGGGUGGCCGAGGGGUGCCGGGGGCAGGAGGGCAGGGGGGGCAGGCGGAGCAAGAGCCGCAUGUUUCGGCGAUACGGGUACACGGGAUGGAAGCAGCAUGGCCACACCACGGCCUGCCACCCAAGCCCGCAACCCGACGUCGCCUUGCCACCCUGCCUCCCUAACCACACCCCUAACCACCACCACUCUUAACCACCCCUGCCUCCUCCUCCCCCCCGCCUGCAGGCCAGUGCCUGAGCUACCAGAACAUGCGCGACGUGCUGACCUUCUGCCGCGACGAGCAGCUGGUGCUCAUCGCGGACGAGGUGUACCAGGUGGGCGAGCGUGGGGGUUGGGGUUGGGUGUGGGGGGGAGGCGGGGGGGGGGGGUGUAGAUACCAGCCCAAACUACACCGAAGGGGGUGGUAGAUUCCAACCCCAAGAUGAACCAAGUCCAAGGCAGAACCAGGGGGGCGGGAGGCCGUGUGGGAGGGGGGGGCGGGGGCGUGUGUGGGUUGAGUCGGGGCUGCAAAAGGAUGAGAGAGCAGCAACGCGCCGUGUCGCGUGAACUACAGUGAAGUGUCCCAGACGUCACCCGGUCUGCGUCUGUCAUUGCGCCCCCCCCUCCCCCCCGAUCGCCUACCGUCUUCCAUUGUCUUCGCUAAUCAUGAGUGUAACCCCCCAACGAUUUCAAGUCUACGGGGCGUGGGUUUGGUCUCAGGUCUGGUAUCAACGGCGCGCCCUCACCCUCCCCACCUCCCCUUCUCCCACCACCAUAGGCCAACAUCUAUGUGGGCAACAAGGAGUUCUUCAGCUUCAAGAAGGUGGCGUGCGCCAUGGGGCUGGAGGACCAGGUGCCGCUGGUGUCGCUGCACUCCAUCAGCAAGGGUGAGAGGGGGGAGAGGGUGUUGCAGGGGGAGGAGGAGGGUAGCUGAUUCCAAUCCCAAGUGUAGCAAGACCCAGCACCGGGUGGAGGCGGUGGGGAGAGGGGCGGGGGAGCCGUAUGUGCGUGUGUACUGAUGAUGGUGCUACGGGUGGAGGGGGGUCUGAAUGACGGCGCGCUGGUCCCGGACCUCCAUUUCCCACGCCCACCUGGCCACCCCUUCCAUCCCAAUCUUCUACCCGCCCCACUCCCCCACUCCUCCUGCCUCCCCCCCUUCCUACGCGUUCACUUUUUAAAUAAUCUUGGAUGUAAUUCACACACCCACACACACCCACACCCGUGCCUCCACACACCCCAGGCUUCAUCGGCGAGUGCGGGCGGCGCGGCGGCUACAUGGAGGUGACGGGCUUCCCCGAGCCCGUCAAGGACCAGAUCCUCAAGCUGGCCUCCAUCAACCUGUGCCCCAACCUGUCCGGACAGAUCUGCUGCGCGCUCAUGAUGAACCCGCCGCAGGUGCGGGGCGGCGCCAGGGGUUUAACUUUGAACCAUGAGGAAGCAGUCGCGCCCGCGGGGGGGGAGGGGGAAGGGCGGGGAAGGGGCGGGGGAGGGGCGGGGAAGGGGCUGGGGACUGCAGGGCGGGGAGUAGUGAUUGGGGCACUUGCCGGCGGGGAGUGGCUAUGCGUUGCAUGGCCUGGCCUGGCGUGAGACCGGUAGUCUUGGAGGGGCUUGGAAGGGCACUGGAAAGGGAGUCAAGCCCGACGAACCGUAGCCUGCACACCUGCGCCAUCGCAUUCCCUCCCCAACAAGCCCCAACCCAUUCCAUGACUAUUGGGAACUGUAUCGUUGGGCUGGCGCACAUAACCCCACCAAGCCCCACCUCGCCCCCACCCAACCGCUGCCAACAGCCUGGAGAGGCCUCCUACGAGCUGUACCGGAAGGAGAAGUCCGACAUCCUGGGCUCCCUCAAGCGCCGCGCCGAGCUGCUGGUGAGAGCGGGGCAGGAGGACGGGGGGGGAGCGCGGAGGAGGGCGCGGAAGAGGAGCGCUGCUGAGGGCUGCUGGGACGGCGAGGACAGGGGCUCGCAGGGUUGAGCUGGUCGAAAUGGAGGUGGGAUAUGGGAUUUGCGUGGCGUGGCGUGCGUUGCCAGGCGACUGGAUGCAGAGGACAUGCCAAGCCGGCUUCGUGGCUUGCUUGCAUGUGCUGCCCACCUCGCUCGCGCCAACCAAGCGCACCAACCAACGCCGCCGCACCACCGCCGCCCCCCGCCUGGCGCCGUCACCCGCCGCACCCCGCGCGCAGGUGGGCGCCCUGAACCGGCUGGAGGGCGUGUCGUGCAAUGCGGCGGAGGGCGCGCUGUACGCCUUCCCGCGCGUGACGCUGCCCGAGGCGGCCGUGGCGGCGGCCAAGAAGCUAGGUGCGUGGGCAGGCGGGCGGGCGGGGGUCGGGUAUGUGGGUACGGGUGGGGGGGGCGGUGACGUGUGCGUUGUGGCCGCUUUCGCUCCGCGCCCUCCCGACCACCAACGCCGUACCUACCACCUGCGGCUCUCUCCCCCUCUCCCUCUCUCCCUUCGCCCGCUCCCGGGCUCCAACCCCCUUUUACGCCCCUGCCGCGCCUCUUGCGCACUGCCCACUGGACGUCCGGCACUUCAUACUUUGUAAUUUCAUCAUUCCGCCCUCCGCAUUUUCACGGCUACCCCCAGGCAAGCAGCCCGACUGGCUGUACUGCAAGGAGCUGCUGGAGGCUACGGGCAUUGUGGUGGUGCCCGGCAGCGGCUUCGGCCAGGCGGACGGCACCUUCCACUUCCGCACCACCUUCCUGCCCUCGGAGGAAGACAUCGGCCGCGUGGUGGAGGCGCUGUCCGCCUUCCACGCCGCCUUCCUCAAGCGCCACGGCGGCCUCACCACCGCCGCGGUGGCCGCCUCGGCCGCCGCCGCCAACGGCACGCACGCCGGGCAGUGAGGCACAGGCGGGGGCGGGGGCGGCGGCCAGGAGGGGUGGCCGCCAGGAGACAAGGUCAAAGGGCAGGAGGAGCAGGAGCAGGAGGAGGAGGAGGAGGAGGAGGAGGAGGAGCAGGAGGAGGAGCAGGAGGAGGAGCAGGAGGAGGAGGAGGAGGAGGAGGAGGAGGAGGAGGAGCAGUGCCAUGAGACAGGGGUGGAAGCUCGGCGGCCUUGGGGGAGUUGAGAAUUGUUGAGGGAGGAAAGGGCGUGACAGUGCCUGUGACACGCUUGCACCACGCUUGCAAUGGCAUGCGCACUUCUUUGGGGUUGGGGGGAGAACUGGAGUCGAAACUCUUUUCGUCCGUGUGCGAACUGCCGAUUGCAGUAUCGGUUUUUGUUGUUGUUUUGCAUUCUUACGCCGAAAGGGCAGCACCGAUGCACGCGUGUUCGUAUGCCCUGUGUUUUGUGAACCGCCUCGGGAACGCAAGAUUGGCGCGCGUAUGCGCGGGCGAUUGCCAGCAGUGAGGCAGGUUCAAAUGGAAAAUAGAUGCCUUGCAGGCGGUGGCCACUGAUGCCCGGCGCUGUGACCCUCGUAGGUGUGGUGUCAGCCGUAGCAAAUGGGCGUGGCAGGGGAGCAAAGGCGGCGAGUCAUGUGGGGAGUCGGGGCACGCGGGCGGGCCAUGGCAAACACAACUUGACGGCAGGUUGUGAGGCGGGCUGCGCCAAGGGGGGCAGUCAUAGGCAGCAGGGGAUCUCCUGGCCAUCAGUGCGCGGGGGCUGGCGGUCCUGCGUUCCCAGGUAUGUGUUCGAGUGCAAGGGCGGGCAUUGUUGGGCAUUGGCACAGGUUGCGAGGAGGCGGGAGGUUGUGUUGAGAGGAGGGUUGCGGGGUGACGGCGGGGACAGUCAAGGCAGGGUAGGGGCGGCCGGCGUUGGCCCGGCGGCCGACGAGAUUCAUGCUGGGGCUGCUGAUGCGAUGCGUGUGUCUGUAAGUUGUGCAAGUCACCGCCCUUGGGGUUACCAAGCAGCAGCAGCUGAGUGGUCGUCUGUUCUAGGCGCGAACUCAACACAUCGCUUCGGCGUGUGGGGACGCCGCGUUGGCGAGAGCCACGGAUGGCCCGAAUCCACCGUGGGGGCAUGUCGCACCCAUGGAGGGCACUGUAAUUGUGUAUUGCGCUUGCCCUGUGACUGCUGACAGUCCGAGUUACAAUUGAAGGGACAAGCGGGGGCACGGUUAUCGUGGCUGCGCAUAACCACCCCUGCGCAUAACUUUGCAAGACGCUAGAGGCGAAGGAAUUGGAGGUUCGAGGAUCCGGUCGCGUUCGAAGCGUUACCAAACCUGCGCUAACAUCAUUAAUAACAAUCGCACGUAGCGCGAUCGCUCGCGAGCCCUUCCACCCCAGGCCCCCCUUGCCCAGUCCCCUCAGCAUCAUUGCAAUGGGAUUGGAGAGGGGGGAUGGGGGAUGGGAUUGGAGAGGGGGGGUGGGCCUGGAGGGGCAAGCCGGGAUACCGCGUGUUUGAUUGAGAACUGGGGGCUUGAAGGCAGUUCUGGCUAUCUACACGCUGACCAAUGCCGCAAACUCCCGUCAGCCUAGCUGCGCCCGUGUGUACCCGCUCCGAAUUGAGCUACGCGACGAGCCGAUGUCUUGGGGAUGUUGGGGGUGGUGGGCCGGUGGGGGCCUGGGUGUGUGUGUGGCCAGUCGACAGAAGAUAAGGGCAUGAGGGCCGUGAUGAAAUAUGAAAGCUCCCUAGUAGCCGAGAUAGUUAAAUGUCGGGUAGUGCUCGACCAUCGCAACAUGAUCGCACGGAUCGGGCGCCGCGAUGGGAACCGCAGCGGCCACAAGUACUCGCAGCCGCGCCGGUAUCGCUCCUUUUCCGCCUGUGCGUGAGCGGGCGGGCCAUAAGGCUCUGCCAGCUCCGCAAGGAAUAGCACCGACACACAGCUAUCGCAGCUGCAGGCGCCGCGGCCGCAGGUGAGACCGCGCGCGCAACGUUGCCGCAUUUCGGCGCCUGCUCUUGCCUGCGCUCGCUCGCUCUCUCUCGCGCUCCUCAGUGGAUGGUGAUGCUGACUCGAGCGCCUGGCGCUCUGCUGCUGCCUGCUCUGCUUCUGCUCCGCCACUCCGCCUCCACUGCUUCUGCGCUGCAGCCCACGGGUCGUCCCCGCCCCAUCUCUGCAUGCUCUCGCCCGCUACACAAACACGAAUGCUCAAACGCUCCCUUCCCGCACGGGUCCUUCCGGCUGCGCCGGUCAAGCCUGCCCUGCUUAAAAAGGGCAAAGUUCGGGCUGACAAGGAAGCAGAGCGGAUCCUCCAGAGCCUCACAGACCUCAAGAAGGUCGGGUUCACAAGCAAAUGACGCCUGCUAAGCAGGCUGCCACGCUGCUGACGACUUUUCCGGCGGCAACGACCUGGUUAAGCAGGCGUCAUUUGCUUGUGAACCCGACCUUCUUGAGGUCUGUGAGGCUCUGGAGGAUCCGCUCUGCUUCCUUGUCAGCCCGAACUUUGCCCUUUUUAAGCAGGGCAGGCUUGACCGGCGCAGCCGGAAGGACCCGUGCGGGAAGGGAGCGUUUGAGCAUUCGUGUUUGUGUAGCGGGCGAGAGCAUGCAAACAGUCUACGACUUGACGAAAUUGAGCAAGUGUUUUGGACGGAGGCGCCGCGGCGGGUGAGACCGGGUUGGUUGUCCCCUUUGAAGCAGGAACCGCGACCUGAACGCUGCGGCAAAUAUCCGCCUCAUCACCGAAACGUCAAUGGGGGGGCUGUGCGCGUUCAGGGGUACACAGUGGACGUUCGGGACAGGCGUUGCAGAUGGGUGGGAGAGGACAGUUCGUGCGAGAUUUUGUGUGGCAGGCACGGUAAUGAUGGGGGCGCCUGAAAAGACAGAUGAGCCAGUGCGGACCGGAGGAGGGAGCGAUUGGACUUGCUGUACGCGCGACUGAAGAGGGAGGGUCGUGGGUACGGCGUGCCCCCGCUUGUCGGGCUGUCCGUUCAAUUGUAAUCCGCAUCCAUACGCACAUGUCAGGACGGCUGAGGCUGCCAGUCAAGACAUGCGUGACGAUUAGGCCCGAACAGUGUUUACACGCUGCCAACAGAGUGGUGAAACUGAGAGCACCCUUCAACUCAUACGUCACGCAUGCAUGAGGGGAACUGGUGCGUUGCCCCGGACGCCACUUCACGUCUGAACCCCCGGGUCCUUUCACCAAGGCCCCCUGCCCCAUGCGCAGCCCAGUGCGUGCAUCAGCAUCCUGCCAUCAUCACUCAACCUGUCAGCCCACCCGGACCGCAGUCACCUCGCCUGUUUGCACGAUCCCUCUGCCGGCAAUGCCGCGAAGGCGGGCCCAACCAUGCGCCCUAACCAUGGGGCGCAGAACGGACACACCCACACACACCGAGUCCAACGUCGGUCCUAGCCCCCCGGUCGAGUAUGGCUCCCCGCAGCUAUCCCUAUUCAUCUGUUUCCUGCUUCGCCGCUGUCUUUCCGCACGUCAAACCGCACGUGGUAUGCCGCAGCCCCCGCCCGCCCCACGUGCUCCACCCCGCCCGCCCCACACACAGCGCACCGCCUGGUCCGUCACACACACACACACAUACAUUUUCGGACGAACCCAUCCUAGCUGCCCAGCCGCCUACAGCCGCCCAGCCUGAUUCCUACACAGCCGCGAUCACCUCUCGCAACCAUUGGCCCAUUGGGCAUGAGCACGCACACACACAUACACACACACAUUUUGCGGCCGUCGGCCGUUUAGUGCACCUUGGGCAGCUUGACCACCUUGCCAAUGGCGAUGGUGCGGCCCUCAUCACGCAGCGUGAAGCGGCCCAGGCUGGGCACGUCGCCGAAUGCCUCGAUGCAGAUGGGCUUGUCCACGGUGAUGCGGCAGAUGCAGAUGCCGCCCUGCUUGAUGUACUUGGCCUUCUUCUGCUCCUUGGUCUUGGGGUCGAUCUCCGCAACCAGCUUGGACACCUGCGUGUGUGUGGUCGUGUUUGUGUGUGGUUGUGUCUUUUUGGUGUGUGUGUUUACCAUAUGCGGAUGGUGAGUGGUAAGUUGAGGUCAUAUGGUGGCUACGGUGGCGGCAGGUGGGUGCCACCUGCCAGCUGGAGCACCAACUGCCGUCGCCAGCGCGCUGCCGCAGCUGUCCGCAAUCCGCAUCCGCGGGGCUCCCCCGUGGUGCCGGCCCCUCGAUCCCCUCCCCUCCCCACAGGCCUCCACAGGCCCCUACCAGCCCCCACAGGUCCCUACCGGCCCCCACAUGCCCCCACACGCCCGCAGCAGAGCUCACCUCGCACUCCUCGCAGGCGGUGUGGAUGUGCAGCAUGGACUUGUAGCCCACCGUGAAGAUGGGGUUGUGCUCCAGUAGCUCCACAAUCACCUGGCGGCGGCAGCAGCAUGGGGGUUGCAAUCAUGAAUACUAAUGUAAAGCGGGGGGGGGGCAGCAGAGGGGCGACGAGUGAGCAGGUGUGUGGGCGCGGCUGCCACUGAGGGACGGCAUAAGCGUGGGGUUGCGAGGUCGCCGGGUAGAAAGGCAGGAAGAGACACCAGCGUCGCCCAACCUCCGACACGCAGCCGGCGCCAGCACGUGUGCGCUCACUACCCACUACCCUAUCCCCUCCCCUGCCCUUUCUUCCUUCCACCCGUACACGCGGUCGCACGCACGCACGCACGCACGCACGCACGCACCAGCUGCGCCUCAAACUGCGUGACCACGGGCACGGGGCUCUUGACGGAGCUGAGCACGAAGCCGGGCGAGAUGUCGGUCUCCUCACAGCCGCUCAGGCGCAGGCGCAGGUUCUCGCCGCAGCGGGCCGACUGCGUCUCCUUCUCGUCGCGGUACACGCCGUCCACCUUGACACGCAGCCUGGCAGGGGGUGCGCGGGGGUUGACACCCAUGAUUGAUUCAGAAGAAGCGCAGUUGUAGGCGGGUUGCAAGGAUGUUUGGAAAAGCGGUACAGGAUGCACACCCCCUCCCCCCUCCCCCGCUCACUUGUUGGGCAUGAUCUGCAGCAGGUCGCCCACGCGCACGAAGCCCGCCUCGGACUUGCCCAUGACGAUGGUGCCCAUGUCCUUCCAGCGGUCCACGAUGGGCAUGCGGAAGGGCUCCAGCGGGUUGCGCUCCACAGGCUCCAUGUGGUCCAGAACCUGGGAGAAGUUACAUUCAUGAUGGGGGGGAUUACAUUCAUGAUUAUUUAAGAAGUGAAGGCGUAGCCAGGUACAGUGGUAUAGCAGAUACAUACGGUAUAUGAUGCAUUCACAAAAAUGGAAGGCAACAGCGAAAAAACCAGCUCCAUCAUGCCCCGCCCUCACUCACCGAGAACAGCGUCUCGCCGUCGUACCAGUCGCACAGCUCCUUGGACACCGCGUCCCGGAUGUUGUGGCCGUACAGCGCCGCCAGCGGCAGGAAGGUCACCUCCUUCUUCAUGUUGUAGCCGCACUGCUUCAGGAAGGGCGUCAGGCCGUUCACGAUCUGGUCGAAGCGAGCGCGGUCCCACUUGCCUGCCGGGCCGAGGGAGGCAGGCGGGAGGGAGGUGUGUUAAAGCAGUGGCGGGAGGAAGGACAUCGGGUGGCACGAAAACGGGGAUAGGGGCGAGGUCAGGCGGCUAGGCAGUAGCCCGCAGGCUUGCAAGCGCUCCGGCGUGCGGCCUACUCCACCCAUUCACUUUCAGCACGUCCUCCUCGGCCCUCUCUCACCCUCACAUGGCAACUAGGCACCCCCCCUCCCUGCCCCCCUCCUCGCUCUUUGCCAUGGGUUUCGGUUCAUUUUGGGCUGGUAUUUCAACCCCCGCCCCUCUCCCUCUCCCCCUCUUCCCCCUCACCGUCCACCGCCACGGAGGGGCAGUCCAGCUUGUUGACCACCACAAUCAGCCGCGUCACGCCCAGCGUCUUGGCCAGCUGCGCGUGCUCGCGCGUCUGGCCGCCGCGCUCAAAGCCCGUCUCGAACUCGCCCUGCAGCGGGGGGGGGGGCAAGAGAAGGGGGGUUACAUUCAUGACUAGUGAAGUGGUAGACGGUAGAUAAUCUUGGGGAAGCGCGGGACGGGAGGGAGGGAGAGAAUGGGGGGAGGGAGGCAGGUAGGCAUGGCUGGUUGGACGACCGCAGCGGAGGCGGAGAGGGGCGCGUAGCGGUGGUGUUCGUGUGCGUGUGUGUCACGUGCUACACGGCGCAUUUCUCCGCGCGCGCACCCCUGCGCCCCCUUGCAUGGCUUGCGUUGGCCGCACCCCCGCACAGCCACGACAUCCCCGCGACCUCCCCGCCCGCCCUCUCGCUCAGCCCGCCCGGCAUGCACAACCCAGGCGCCGCCCUCCUUCCCGGCCCCCCGGCCGUGCCCCACCUCCCUCCCCUCUCUCCCCCAGCACACCUUGCGCGCGGAGAUGACCAGGAUGGCCACGUCCGCCUGACAGGCGCCCUGGAUCAUGUUGGGCACGUAGUUCUUGUGGCCGGGCGCGUCCAGCACCGUGUAGCGCUUCUUGUCCGUCUCGAAGUGGGCGCGGCCCACCUGAGGAGAGUGUGUGAGAGAGAGGGGCACACAUGCGUGCUUGCAAAGAUGGUAAACAGAAGUGUAGCGAGGUCGACUGCUGCGGGGCUCGCUCCACUGUUGCCACAUUGCAGAACCCAUGCCUGCCAAGCGCCGACCGCACCGCCGCCGCUGCACAUCCUGCUGCCCCUGCCGCCCCCCUGCAACUGUCGGCUCUGCCUGCGCUCCGCUAGUUUGGCGGCGGUUCUUUGUUUACACAACUGCUGUCGCGGGGACAAUUGUCGCGUGCCACUCCGUUGUCAAGCAUAGGCCACGCUCUUCUCCUCGCUCCAUUGCAUUGGGUUCGUCUUAGUUUGGGCUGGAACCUACACACACCCCUUCAGCACCUGCCGCGCCCUCGCCCCGCCCCCCCCCAGUCCCCCACCUCCACGGUGAUUCCCUUGACUCGCUCCUCCUCGUUGGUGUCCAUGAUGUAUGCCAUGUACCAGCCCUCGCGGUUCUUCUCCUUGGCCUCACUGCGGGGUUGCGGGUUGGGAGUUUGGGUGUUGGAGGAGGGGCGGGCGCGGCAAGUAGGGACAGCCAGUCAGCCGGUCAGCGACCCGCCUUGCCCGUCUUCGUCCUGAUGCCCACUCCUGACGUCCCCAACCCCGGGCGGCCCCUUUUGCCCCCGUUUCACAUCCUGAGAGACACAGUGAACACAUUUACUCAGCCUCUCAGCCCCUGUCACGGCCACUCACCGCUCGUACUUCUCAAUCGUGCGCUUGUCCACACCGCCCUGCGAGCGCGGGAGACCCGGGGGAUGCGCGGCCGGGUGGUCAAGCCGCGAGCAAUGCACACGGGGACCAGGCACGUACGGACCAGGCACACCGCGCCCCCAGGCACCCGCCGGCGCGGGUGCUGACAGGCACUGCUGGGGCAGGUGCUGACAGGUGUGUGGGGGCGGUACUGUGUGCACCGCGGCGUGGGGUGUGAAAGGCCUGCCCCAGCACCCCCCGCCAUCCUCCCCCCCGCGAGCUGACUGGCAUUGCCAACCCGACACUCUGGCAGCGGCUGUGCAUGGCCGCUGGACAACUUCAGGCCAGCUGGCAUGCAGCCCCUUCCGCCCCCCGACUGAUUUGUUGGGCUCGGUCAUUUCCCCCCCCCCCCCCUUCCGCCCCUCCCUCCCUCCCUCCCUCCCUGCGCUGCCGCCUGAUGGGCUUCCCGAUGCCGUUAGGGUCCACUCGUUGGGCGCUCUCGCCCUCGCAACGCUGCCCCGCCGUUAACCCCCUCUCCCUCCCCUCUUGCUCCCUCCCCUCUUGCUCCCUCCCCUCUUGCUCCCUCCCCUCCUCCUCCACUCCGCCUGCUGCCUGCUGCCGGCUCUCACCGUGAGGAACAGGAUCUGCCCCGCCAGUGUGGACUUGCCAGCGUCGAUGUGGCCAAUGAACACAAUGUUUAGGUGGUCGCUGUUGGGAGGGCGGGAAACAGGGGGUGGGGGAGGGGCAGACACAGGGAGAUACGGGAAGGUGCGUUGAGAAUUCCGUCACAGCAUCAUCAGAAAGCGCGCCCAGCGGUGACGGGGAGGCUGGAUAGCGAAGGCGAGGACCGCCGGACACAUACACGGAACGCGCAGUGCGCGGCUGCGCCUCGUUUGAGCCCUGGGCCCUGGGGGGGGGCGGCCAUGGCCUGCUGGGGCUGCGCGGAAGCUCGGCGUCGCCCGGGCCCCACGGAGGCACCCCAGGCCCAAGCGCCCCCGGACCCGGCACCCGCAGCUGCUGGCUGCAACGGAGGUGCGACUGGGGUUCGCCAGGUCGUUGACACCCACCCGUCUGAACUCCUAUGGGCUGCAGAGCCGCAGCCGCGCACACAGCUCUUUUGUUGCUGACGCGGACGGCUUGCCGUGCCCACCCCGCACACGCGCCGAACCGCACCCCAGCCUUCCAUCGUCCAUCGCCAUCCCUGCUCGGCCUGCCCAAACCCCCGACACGGCGCCGUCACACUCGCGUGCACCCUCACCCGCGCGCCGCAGGCCUUGCCCCAGAACCCAGGCCCAUGCCAGCGCACCCCAAGAGCCGCGCCAGGGCCCCUCGCCAGCCCCCACCGUGCUCACCGCGGCUCCUCCGCCAAGCACUCCUGGAACGCCUUCAUCACAGCGCUCUCAUCAACGGGGGCGACGGGCUCCUCCACGACUGCGACCGCGGCAGGAGCGGGAGCAGCAGCAGCGGGCUCCGGCGCCGGGGGAGACGGCUCCGAUGGCGCCGGGACCGAUGGCGCGGCGACCGGCUCUGUUUCCAGGAAACACGACAACCGCUCAGCGCCCAGUACCGAGCACUCGCAGAUCAUAAUUUAUUUAUACCUGGCUCCGGCUCCGGCUCCGGCUCGGGCUCCGGCUCGGGCUCCUUGGGCGGCUGAGGAGCGGGCUCCGCUGGAGGUGCAGGAGGCGGCGGGGGAGGAGGUGGAGGAGCAGCAGGCGCUGCUUGAGAUGAAGCAGGAACGAAGCCCCUCCCGGGCACGAAAAUCAUGCUGUUCGGGUUCAGGGCCGGCGCGGGCGCGGACGGAGGGGGCGGGGGAGGAGCCGCAUGCUCCUCCCACGAGUCGGCCAUGUUUUCUUUGGUAAGGAAAAAAGGAACCCGCAACGAGGUCAACGAAGCUUCACAAUCGUCGCGGCAAAAGUCUGCGAGUGGACUACUUCAGAAAAAUUUUAGCGGCUACUGUAUUCCUAUCUGACUUAUGCCCAGAUCUAAAGAGAGGUGUUGCAAACGAGCAAGUUUGCACGAUGAUGGUCGAUGAUGGUCUUUCCCUGGCUCUAUCGCAUAGCUAGCUCGUCGCAAACGAUAUUCACAUCGCUUCAUAAACACGUGAAAGCAGAGUUUUCAUGGGCCAGGCUCACGGAAGGAAAUAGAAGAUGGCGUUGUCGCGACCCUCGAGCUCGUGGCAUUUUGCGUUCGUGCUCUGAUGUUUAUUUGCGCGUGUGCGCUUGGCGCUUAAUGUUGGGGCACGAAGGGUGGGGGCACGGGUUCGUGGGGAUGCUUUGGCACAGACCAGUCAGGCUAGGAUGCGCUGACAACGAAGGUGGCUCUCCCUCUCAAGUUAAAGUGGGCUGCGCCCACGCCACGUUGCUGCAAUGUUUGAGGCCGAAGGUUUCGAGGGGGCUGGUGGGGACGGGGCGGCAAGGCAACGCUGUUGGCGGCAGCCUGGCGACAGGGAUGUGCGCCUGGCCAAUUGGGGGGGCACGUACCUUGAAGCUCGGCCAACAUUGAAGCUCGGCCAACGUAUGCUAAGCGUACAUCUUAUCGACAAUGCUUAACAGUGCGAAACGUGCAUAUCGGCAGCCUGGUCUGGUAGCAACUGGUCGUGUGCUGCUGCAGUCCGGCCCCUCGCAUCAGGGUGCAGGCAGUGCCGACGUCGCAGCCGCCCGUAGGCUGCACUACACCUAGCGGCCCUAAUGCCCUAUCCUCCCCAACGGUUGGCACUUGGCACACAUUGGCAAACGGCACGCAUGUACCAACGGGUCAGCACGGGUCUUUGGUGACCUACGUGCCAAAACCUAAACGCCCGCUUCCUGCCAGGCCGGGCCACAGAACCCCCGGCGCCCACCCCUGCCUGUCCAUCCCAGGCCCCAACGGGACACCGCCCCGGCACACUGCCUGCGCCACACCCACCGCGACCCCCGCCGCCCCCCCCCCGCCCCCGCGGUAUCCGGCUCUCCCUCACCGCCGCCAUGGCUCCUGCCGCCCACUGCACACACGUCCUGACGUGUUUGAAAAAACGCAACACGCACAAGCGAACAUGACGUCCUGCUGGCCACUCCGCUCUACUCCGCUCGCAACCCCUGGGCACUAGGCACACCGCAGCCAGCCCUCACAAUCAGGUGCUCAGGUCACAGAUACCACCGAUGUUUGCCAGAGCGAAACCGAGAAAGAAAGCGAGCAUAACCCUCGAGAGGCUCACAGGUCACCUGGUAAGGUCAUCACAGCAACCGCCCACGGUCUCAUGGGUCCCACUGCCUCACCGCGACGCCACACCCGCCAGUGCCGGCACCCGUUCCGCCGCCCCCACCCCCACCUCCACCCCCGCCCCCGCCCCUGCCGCCUCCACCCCCGCCCCCACCUCCACCUCCACCCCCGCCCCCGCCCCUGCCGCCUCCACCCCCUCCCCCGCCCCUGCCGCCUCCACCCCCGCCCCCGCCCCUGCCGCCUCCACCCCCGCCCCCGCCCCUGCCGCCUCCACCCCCGCCCCCGCCCCUGCCGCCUCCGCCCCUGCCCCCGCCCCUGCCGCCUCCGCCCCUGGCCCCGCCACAUCCGCCCCCGCCGUCCCUGCCGCCCGCCUGAUGUGCUGCAGCUCAGUGCUGUUCUUGUUCAUAUGGUCGUACAGCACCAGCCGGGUGGGGCCGGAGGCGGGCCAGUGGCGACCGAUCUGUGUGUGUGUGUGUGUGUGUGGGGGGGGGAUGGGCAGGAGGGGAGAGGGUCAGGAGGGGGGGCGGCGUGGCAGCGGGCAGGGGCAGGCGCGAGCGAAGGCUCACACUGAUUUCGCACUCGAGCCUGCAGCAGCGGCUGGGCCACUCCUGCCCGCACGCCUGCCACUCCCCAUCCGUCCUUUGCUCCUCCGGUCGUUCCGUCACCCCCCUGCUCGCCUCCUCGCCUCCUCGCACCCCCGCUCCUCAGCCCCACCCCCAACUCCCCACGCACCUGCUCGCACAGCAUGUCGACCAUGUCCGCCGGCGUGCAGCUGUCGGGCCGCACCCGCAGCAGCGACUCGCACGCCACCGCCAGCUGGGGCGAGGAGGCGAACAGGUACUUCAUCACCUGUGGUGUGUGUGUGUGUGUGUGUGUGUGUAUGUGUGUGUGUAUGUGUGUAAGAGCACAAGGAAACCAUUGCGUGUGUGUGUGUGUGGUGUAAGAACCAGACCAAUAACAAACGGAACCCAGUGCAAAAGAGCGAGGAGGAGGGCGUGGCCAAUGCAUAAUAAACGGAUUGGCACCGGGGGGUGGGGGGAGGUGCAGCCAACACACACACGGCCGGCGACACGGCGAGAGGGAGCACGUCAGGACUGGGCUGUGUUGUGAGGGGGAGUGAGGGCCUGGCUCCAGGCUCUGACCGUGGAUGCAGCAUGGGCACAUACAUGGGCACAGGACACACAGCCGCCGCCACCACCAGCAGCAUCUGCACACUUGAUUACGGGGAGCAGUAACGCGCGGUGUACCCACAAGCUCCCAGCUCACCUUUUUGAGCCGCCCGAACUUGCUCGCGCGGUACUCCACCGAGACCGGCUGCUCCACCGCCGCCGCCGCCGCUGCCACCGCCGCCGCCGCCGCCGCCGAGGUGGCCUCGCCGGGGCCCUGCUGCUGCUCCUGCGGCCGCAGCUCCGGAAUGAACUGCGCGGCGUAGUACCGCAGGAACGACUGCAUCAGCUCCGGCUCCCGCCAGCCCGCCACACCGCCGCCGCCGCCGCCACCGCCCGCUGCUCCUCCUCCUCCUCCUCCGGCGCCCCGCGCCCCCAGCUCCAGCCCCGCGCCCAGCUCCUGGCCCGCCACAAAGCUGUGCCGAAUGCGGUGGAACAGAAGCGGGUCUUGCACCGCGCCCCGGCCCACCAUCACGCCGUGGCAGCCCGUCUGCCGCAGCAGCGCGUGAGCGCGCUCCACACACACCACGUCUCCGUUGCCAAUCUGUAAGUGUAAUUAGUAAAACAAAACAAGAAACGAAGAGUGUUUGAGUGUGUAUAACGAAACAAAAGUGUAUGUGUGCAUGUAUGCACGUGCACUUGCAACGCGGUCAGCCGGGAAUGGAUAGCUACCAGGUUUGGUGGCGUCAUGUUUGUGUCAAGCCCGGUGCUAGGGGACACACGUCGUCUACGCCCAGCACGUGCUGGACAGUGCGACAGCCGCAAACGCGCGGCCGCCGGCGCUGCCGUGCCACCACCCCCGGCUCCCAUCCCAGCCAGUGCGGGGCACUGUCGCGGCACUCACCACCGGCACGCGCAGCAGCUGCACCGCCCUCGCCGUGAGCGACCAGUCCGCCGCGCCGUCGUAGCACUGGCGCUUGGUGCGCGGGUGGAGCGUGAUGAAGGAAGCACCCGCCUCCUGUGGGGCGCGUGGAGGGGCGUCGGAGUAAUGGAGCGAAGACGUCGGCCCUCAGCGACAGGUCCUGCACGCCGCACCGCCCUCCCAGCUCCCAGUCGCAGACCACCUGUUCUCCCUCGCCCUCCCUUCCCAACCACCGCCCCAAUGCUAUACGCCCUCCCCCUGUUGAGAACAGCCAAAGCACGACACGCCCAAGCGGUCAACCCCCCCAUUCCUCCCCCCUCACUGCCCCCACCUGUGCCGCUAGCAAGUUGUCCUCAAACAGGCUGGUAUCGUCGAAGCCGGCCCGCAGCUUGACGGAAACGGGGGUGUGUGGGGCGGCGCUGGCGCGCACCCCCGCCACCAUGGCGCUCACGAUGUCGUGGAUGCGCUGCGGCGUGCGCAGUAGGCUGCUGCCGGCGCCGUUGCCGGUCACGGUGUUGGCUGGGCAGCCGCAGUUGAGGUCGAUGCGGGGGGCACGCUUCACCUGGUGGGACCGCGGGAGCAAGGUGGCAGCGGGGGGUGGGUGUGGAGGAGGAGGGCGGGGCGCGGGGGCGGCCCGCGGUUGAGCAAAGGCGGUUGGUCGCCCCAUCAAGUACCGUACACCUGCCACACCUCGGCCGGCCUAGCGCCGACGCCCACAACACCCACGGCGCCGGCCCCCGGCGUGGCUCCCCCUUCUCCUGCUCCCCCUCCCUCUCCCUCUCCCUCCCCCCCUUCCUCCCUCUCCCUCACCUCCGCCAGGUACUGCGCCGCCAGCCCCAUCAGCUCGGGGCUGCUGCCCAUCACCUGCGCCCCCAGAGGGAUGCCGCUGCCGCCGCCAGCGGGGCCGCCGCUACUGCCAACGGGGGCGCCGCCUCUGCCGUCAAGGGCGAGGGCAGCUGCCGCCAGCUCCGCCGCGUCGUACCAGCCCGUCACGCCGCGUAUGCUGCCCAUGGGGUUGGAGGUGGCGCCGGGCACACGCAUGAACUCUGUGAGGGAAGGAGCGGGCGGUGUGUGUGUGUGUGUGUGUGUGGUGGGGGCACGAUGUGGGGUGUUUGACGACCCCCAAAGCCCCGGCCUGCGUGCCGGCUGUACAGUGCCCCUUGGCUGUAGCCUUCUUGGCCGCCGGUCUCACCUGUGCACGCCUCGUCGAACCCUCCGACCGUGGAAGCGAGGGCGCGGCGGAAAGGCCGGUCGGCGAGGUUCUCCAUCGGUGCGAGGAACAACAUCGGGCACUCAUGCGGUUGCCGCCCGGUGAGCCGCUGGACGUAGUCCACUGUUGGGGCGCUUGAGGACCCAUCCGCUGCUGCAGCGCUGCUUAAUCCUUGGCGGUCAAGGCUAGCCGCAACGACGCUUCUGCUCCUGGUGCGCCCAAAUGCACAAACGCGCACAGGCCCGGCUGCUGUGCAUCGUCUCCCUGGUGUUGAUAUGUCUCGAAAUUCUAUCGCUCGGCCUGAGGUCGAGGCUUGACAAGAGCGCGAGCUUGCACUCCAACGCUGGGACAUUUUACGCGGCGUGUGGGGUUGCAGUCUAUACAAACUGAGAAAUGUUUACUGCAUAGUGCAAUGAGUUUAAUAUAGCCAUCUGGGCACCAGUUAUUUUGUGCAGCUCAGUGCCCCAAAUGAUGAGCGGCUGGUUCGGCACUGGCGACGCCACGCGCUUCCUGGUUCACACCUUGGUUCACACCCCGCCUACGAGCACCACACGUCCCUUGCGCACGACGCCGCUUGCUUUGACACGCUAGCUGCUGCUAUACGCUCUUGCACAGCCUCCUGCCGCACCAAUCACGCACGUCGAAUGCGACUGCGCUGCACGGACGAGUCCACUCCCCUGCUCACACACCGCGUGUGGCCGUGUCAUGUCCUCCCUUACACCUUACACUUCCCUCCACAACAAAGCGGCAUUCAAUCAAAAGUCCUCCAGUCCAUCCUCCAGCUCCAUCAUUUCCUCAUCCGCCGCGCCACGGCCUGCCUGCACCGCCGCCCGGGCUGCCUUGCCGCCGCCGCCCGCCGCCUCCACGUCGGUCCCAGGCGACACCACGCCCAUGUUCUCCUUGCCGCUGCCCAGGCCCGCCGCAGCCGCCCGCUUCAGCAGCCGCCGCCGCUUCGCCGCGCCCAGGCCGCCGCCGCCAUCCGAGUCGUCAUCGGCAUUGCCGCCAGCCGCUGCCGCCGCCGCGCCGUCCACGUCCGCAUCAUCCAAUUCCGAAAGGGCGCCGCCGCCGCUGCCCACGCGGCGGCGGCGGCUGCCCGCCACGGCGGCGCCGGCGGGCCGGGCCGCUGCUGCCGCUGCUGCUGCCGCGGGGCUGCCCGCCACGUCCUCGUCCUCGUCCUCCAGGCCAGCUGGCGCCUGGGCCGCCGCUGCAACGGGUGAGGGCGCCGCCGCAGGCACUAGCGUGCCUGCAAUUGCACAAGAGUGAAGUAGGGGUUCGUCAGCAUAGCAACGUUGGCAUGGUACGGUACUUGUUCUUCACACUCAAGGCCCUGGCGGCGAAACUGGCCGCUUCCAUUCCUGACCCCGUGCUACACACGCACACACAGCCCAGUCGAGCUCGCUCACCCGCCAUGCGCUCCUGUUGCCGCCGCGCCUGCUCCUGCCGCCGCCGCGCCAGCUCCGCCAGCGCCCGCCGCCGCGCCUCCGCAUCCACCGCUGGCCCCGCGCCGCCCGCCUCCUCCUCCUCCUCCUCCUGCUGCUGCUUGCCGCCCGGCUCCGGCCGCCGGCCCUUGCCCUUCACCUCCUUCCCCUUCUGCUUGUCCUUGCUCUUAGCCGCGGCCUUGCCUGCGGCCUUGCCGGCGCCUCGCCCGCGGCCUGCCGCCUCCGCGUCCUCUUCACUGUCGCCCGCAAGGGCCGCCGGCACGCGCUUCCGCUGCGCCUUGGCGCCCGCCUGCGCUGCGGCCGCCGCCGCCGCGCCCUUGGCGCCACCCGCGCUGCCCCGGCGCGCCGGCUGCGCUGCCGCCUGCUUCUUAUUCUGCUUCUUCCUCUUCUUACCACUGCCGCCAGCGCCCUCUUCCCCGCCAUCCGACUCGCGCUCAGACGCCGAUGACGUGUCGUACUCCGGCAUCACCACCACCUCCUCCUGCUCCUCCUCGUCGUCGCCGCUGCUGCCGGCGGCGCCGCCGUCUGCGCCGCCACCCCGCCGGUCGUCCUCUGAGCCUGAGUCCGAGGAGCUCGAUUCGCUAUCGCUACUGCCCGAGUCCGACCCAGAUGUGGAGGAGGAGGCGGAAGCACCUUCCUUCUCAUCGUCGUCCGCCGCCGCCGCCGCCGCACCGCGGCCGUUGCGGCGCCGCGGGCCUGCGCCCUCCUCCUCCACUUCAUCGUCGUCCUUGUCCUGCUGCUCGGCCGAGCCACGCCGCCGGCCGCCGCGGCCACCCGCGGCGCCGCCACGCCCACGCCCGCGGCCGCCGCGGCCGCCGCCCAGCGCCGCCGCCGCCUGCUCCUCCCCGCCCGCCUUCUUCCGCCCGGCCGCGCUGGCAAACGCCGCCGCCGCGGCGGCCGCGGCCGCCGCCUCCGCCGCCUCCCGCGCCUCGCGCUCCUUGCGCCGCCGCUCCUCCUCCUCGGCGCGGCGCUGCUUCAGCUCCGCCGCCAGCUCCGCCGCUCGCUCGCCGCCCAGCCCCUGCAGCCCCGCCGCCAGGGCCGCCUGCACGCGCUGCCGCCAGCCGCCGCCGGCCGCCGCCGCCGCCGCCGCCGGCACCUUGUAGUAGUCGUCGCUGGUGUUGCGGAUGCCGCACGCCUCCAGCAGCCUGGAUCGAGGCGAUAAAGCGGAUGAAGUGAGAGGGACCGACACGCGCAUUGAGCACCGGGUGACGGGGAUAAAGCGGCGGAGGCAGUCCUCAUGCGAACUCUGGGCGAGCCCGUUCGUGCCUAAUGUGGUAACGCGCGCUCACCACGCCGCAACCCAACACCAACCCGCCCCCACCCCGCCAGCGCAGCCGCCACCGCGACUCACUCCUGCGCGUACUCGGUCAUGAAGAACUUCUCGUCCUCCUCGCCCGCCAUGACUAGGCAGUAGUCGGACAGGCCCGCGCCGCCGCCCUGCGCCGCCGCCACCUCAGCCCACAGCGCCUCCGCCGCGCCCAGCUGCCGCGUCAGCCAAGCCGCCGCCUCGCUCGGGCUCAUCCAGCGCCCGCCGUCGGCGGCGUGGGCCUCGGACAUGCCGGCCAGGGCCUGCAGUGGUAGGGGGAGGAGGUGGUGGAGGAGGUGGUGGUGGAGGAGGUGGUGGAGGAAGGUGGUGGGAGGUCGAGGUGAUGGAGGAGGUGGUGGUGAUGGAGGGGAGGCGGGUGGCAGUGUGGAAAGAUUGUGAGGUGCAUUUGCGCUUGGUGGCCUAAUGUGGUGGCGGCGGGGUGCCGCGCCGCGAGCAAUGAUAGACCGAGUGCAUACGAUCGCAAUGAUAACCAAAAAAGCGCCGCGGAAUCGGUGCCAGGCUCUCUCAACCUCACACACACAUGCACACACAUGCACACACAUGCACACACAUGCACACACAUGCACACACAUGCACACACAUGCACAUACGCACCUGCAGCACGCGCUCGGUGUUUGGCUCCACUAGGGCAGCGCGGCGGGGCGCGGCGUCAGCGGCCUCGCCGUCGCGGCCGCCCUUGCCCUUGCGCCCGCCCCGGCCCCCGCCCGCCGCCGCUCCGUCGUCGCCGUCGGCGUCGUCCCGGCGGCGGCGCUGCUGCGCCUCCAGCAGCCCAUGCUUGCGAAGCAGCUUAGCAACCUGGGGGCGCAUGUGUGUGUAUGUGUUAGAAAAAACACCAAAACGAAGCCCGCCCAUGUGUGUAUGUGUGUGUGUGUGUGUGUGUGUGUGUGAAAGACGAGCUGGGGAGGUUUAUGCCCGGGCCCCAUACCGUUGUGAGCCGGGGGCUUUGCAGAGUGGGCACCCCCGUGAGACCGUCCCCUGCAUCCCCUUGCUCGCCCUCUCCGGCGCCGCUAUUUCCAAUCCCAAAACCCAUACCCCCAACCCACGCACCCACCCACCCACACAGCCCGCCCGCACGCGCACCUGCUUGGCUCCGCCGCCCAGCUCCGGCAUACGCUCCGCCAUACGACCCAGCACGCCCUCCUCCCCGCCCUGAGAGGCCCCCGCCGCCGCCGCCUCCUCCGCCCGGCACCGCUGGUACAGCGCCAGCAGGCGGGCGCGCUCGGUGGCGUCCCGCGCGCGCCGCCGCUUGCCGCUGGCGUCGCCGUCGCCCAACAGGCCCUCCGCCCGCAGCAGCCGCUGGACCUGUGGCGAGGGGUGGAGUGCGCGGGGUUGGUGGUUGUGGUGGUGGGAGUUGGAGGGAGGGGUGCACAUGCCCGAGCCCAACGAAACAGGUUCCCACGGGGGCGAGGCGGCAAGAAGCGAGGGCGGCGUAGGUCCCGAGCUCCUCAUGGAGGUAAGGAUAGGGGGGGCUUGAGGAUUGGAGGUGCUGUGCAUGCGGCUGUGCGUGCAGCCGGUGUGCGAGUGACGCACAGCCUCGCAGCCGCAGCCCGCCGUGGGCACGUGAACCCGCGGGGGGACGCGCGGCCCUGCUGCGCCAGCCCAGCCCCGUCCCCAGCCCCAGCCCCAGCCCCAGCCUCAGCCUCCACGGACGGUUGCACGGCCUCGCAGGUUCCCCACCUGCUUGACGGUGCGCGGCUCUCCGCCCGGCCCCGGCGGCAGCAGUGCGGCGAUGACGUUGAGGUGGUCGGGCCGCGCGCCGUGCUGCUCGUGCAGCCGCCGCAGCAGCGCCGGGUCCACCUGCGGAGGAGGAGGGGCGAGGAGGGCGAGGAGGGGCGGGGAGGGGGGGGGGUGAGCAAGUGUGGCCGUGUGUUUACGCGGGCUUCGGCAUUGCGUGGAAGCAUUGCGGCUGCAUGUUGUGGUCGACCACAAGCGUCGGGAGGCGUUCCGUACCACACACCCAGUUCAACUAGCGGCCUGAGACACACACACCCCAAACGGCCAAAUGCCCUAGCCACCAGCCAAGCGCCGUGUCCGCGCAUGCAUGCACCUUGCCGGCCCCGCGGCCGCGCUUGGCACCGGGCUCCUUCCGGGACUUGGCCUUCCUGGUCUGCGGCUGUAGCAGCCCCAUCUGCACCAGCUUGGCCGCUACUGCCGCGGCCGACACGUCCUGGGACAGAGCCUCCGUGAUCUGGGGUCGAGGUUAGGGUGCACGUGUGGGGACUGUACGUGGGGAACCGAGAACGUGUCCCAUGGGUGAACAGCCGUCGCAGAAGCGGACGGCAAAACAGGGCACAACACAACACACCCCAGAGCCAAUCCACGCCACCGCUCGACUCGCGCCCCGCCUCCCCACUGGGUUGGGCGACGGUACCUUGACCAUCAGGAUUCGGGACCCAUUCAUUGGGCUCGGGCAUCCCACCCUCCCACCCACCUCCUCCAGCGCCUCCUGCCGUGGCUUGCUGCCGUGCUCCUCCCACAAGAUGCCCAGCUCCUCCUCCGCCUCCGCCAGCGCCUCCACCUCCUCCUCAUCCACCUCGCCCUCGCCGGCCCCCUCCUCCUCGUCCUCCUCCUCACUGCCGCUGCCUGUGUGUGCCAGGACAAUCAACGAAGACAGACCAGGUGGAGAAAUAGAGGGACCAUGGAUGGAGGGACCAGGGAUGGAUGGGCACGUGCGCAGACAGCCAGGCAAGGCUAGCGGGGCUGCCGUGUCAACGGCGGAGCUGCCGGGCAAGAUCUCCUAGGGAUCCGCCUCCGCCGACGAAGCUAUUGGCACUAUUAUUGUCCGCUAGCGGUAUCAAUACCCACAGCCGACCAGACCGCGCAGCUCUCACCGCCGCCGGCCUUGGGCCCCUUGCCGCGGCGCCCGCCGGCUGGAGUACAGGAGCGCGGGGUAGCGUAGCAGAGGAAGCGAGCAAAGUGAAGCGUUACGGGGAGGGGCCGGGGGAGGUGGGCAGUAAUCGCAUUCGUGCUUAAUCCUUACGCGCUUGAGACACACACCCUCCGUACCCACCGCCUCCUAUAGUCCUAUCGCCUCCCACCGCCCUCCUCUUCCAAUCCCCUUACCCAUGAGUCCAUGCUUGGUGGCUAGUCGUUUGAUGUCCUUGCUGGUCCAGCCGCCGGGCAGCUGGGGGCGGUGGAGCGGGUGGCGCGGGUGGGGGAGGGGUUUACAGUCAUGAUAAGCUAAGUGCUUGGUAGACGGUAGACGGCAGGCAAUCUUGGGGGCUGGGGGCAAGUGGGGUGAUGCGGAGGGGGGACCGGCAUGCGCGCGAGCCCAACGCGCAGUACCAUGGACCAAACAGGAGCGGAGAGUCCGGUGGCACCGCAAAAGGCGCCGCCACAAUACAGGCAGUACACCAGUGUGGCACACGCAUGCACCCACGCCCACACGCAUACACCCGACCGCAUACACCCACCCACACACCCACUGACACACGCUCACCUGGGCCGCGAUCAUGAGCAAGCGGUCGUCGUCGCCGGCGUAGCGCUGCCACAGCGACUUCAGCCGAGACAGCUGCGGGGGCCCGGUAGUUGGGGUUGGGGGCGGUGAGGGUGGGUGACCGAGGUGCAUGAGUGGGUUGCCGGCGGGAAUGGGGUGUGUGUGGAGCGUGUCAGUACCCACCCAUCCACCCAAAACCUCUCACCCACCUGGUUUUCCGAGAGCUCCCGGAACUUGAGCCCCAUCAGUUUGAGCUGACGCAGCAGCUGCCCGCCGCUCAUGUCCACACCCGCCGCCCCCGCCGCCGCGCCGCCGCCCGCCGCCGCGUCCUCGCCCUCGCUGUCCUCCUCCUCCUCCGCCCCGCCGGCGGCGCGGCGCGCGCUGCGGCCGCCGCGCUUCAUGGCCUCCAGGAUCAUGUCCAUGUUGUGUCUGGAGGAGUUGUGCCGCUCAAACACGGCGGCAAGCAGGGCCUUCUGAGCAGCCGACAGAGACAGGCCGCGGCCGCCGCCGCCGCCUCCGGCGGCGCCGCCGCCACCGGCUGCCGCCGCGGUGGCCAGGUUGCCGGAGCGCUUGUUCUUGCCGUUGCCCACUUUGAUCGUCUUGAGGAAGCGCUUGCGCAGCAUCUCUGUGUGCGCGUGUGGCAUUGCAUAACAAUCGUUGGCGGUGGGACACUUGUGCUUCUUCUUUUGGCAGUUGGUAGCUACCGUAUGCUUCUGCUUUUUGCGGUCCACGAACCCAACGGUGGAGCCCGUGCCCCCCGCAGCUCCCCCGGGUGCCUUAUUGCCUGCCGCAGCACGGCCCCGGCCCACUCACCCUCGCGCUCCUUCAGGGUCAUGUGCUUGCGAGCCGCAGCAGCCGCCACAGCAGCCGCAGGCGCCGCGGCGGCAGCGGGCCGGUUGGCGCGUGCGUCGGCGCCCUCCCCCUCGUCGUCACUCCACACAACCCCGGGCCGCCGGCCGCCCGCCGCCGGCGUCUUAAGGCCGCCGCCGCCGCCGCCGCCGCCACCCGCCGCCGCCUCGCCGCCGUCGUCGUCGUCCAUGCCGAAGGCGGCGCGGCGGCGCUGCUGCGUGGCGGUACCGGGCGGGCGAUUCGCGGCUGCUGCGUGGAUGGCACAGGGAGGGAAGAUAGGGCCGUGGCGUGAGUGGCCAGCAAGCACACCGCAGGCGCGCAACAUUCUUAACAGGCAAUAGCUACCUAUUGCAAGCAUGCUUACACCCAGCCCGGCAUCGCACGGCGCGACGCGGCACACAAAAGCACGCGCUCACCUCCGCCGUCGUCCUCGUCCUCCAGCCCGUCCCCGCCCUCCUCUCCCUCCUCUCCCUCCGCUCCGCCGCGGCGCCGCAGCCGCCCGGCCGUGCGCGGCGCCCCCUCCUCCCCGCCGCCCCGCUCAUCAUCAUCAUCCGCAUCCGCCAUCUCGUCAUCCGCCUCGCCCUCCUCCUCCUGGCCCCAGGCGUCACGCCGGCGCCGCCGCCGGUCCGCCGCGGCGCCCUCCGUGGGCGGCGGUGCGUGGGGGUCCCGGCCGCGGGCCACGGCGGCGGCGCGAGCGCGGCGGUCCUCGGCCUCCUCGCGCUCGCGCUCCUCCAGCCCCAUCUGUGUGGUAAGGGGCGGGGCAGGCGGUCAGCGGUGGGGCGCGGUGGCUGUGUGGCAGUGAUGUGCAGGUCCCUAGGGGCUAGGGAGCGCGCAGGCUGCCCUUCAGCAAUGAAUGCGACUGUGCAGGACCCCGGCGCUUGUAAACCUGCGCCCCACUUACAUUGCAUGAAACGAGAGUCCAAGAUCUACGCAUCUUCCCGCGGCAUCUGCCCCCCUGGGGACUACCGUAUUGUCGCGUGCCACUCCUUUGUCAACGCAUAGGCCACGCUCUGCUCCUCGCUCUAUUGCAUUGGGUGCGGUUAGUUUGGGCUGGUAUCUACAACCCCCCUCAACAACCCUCCCCGCACUCACGUAGAGCCAGUAGUCCUGGUUCACGGCCGCCGCGCCCGUGUGGUCCUUCCAGAACAGCAGGUCCACCGCCAGCAUGCGGGGGGCCUUGUCGUGGAUCUGGAGGGGGGUCAGGGAGGUGGUGGGGUGUGUGAGGUGGUGUGUGUGGUGGUGUGUGGUGGUGUGUGUGGUGGUGUGUGGUGGUGUGUGGCGGUGUGUUAUGGUGUGUGGUGUGUGAGGGGGGGGAUGUCGGAGGCGGGCGGGUUCACAGGGUUGGCAGGUCGCAGGCGUGGGAGCGGGACCGGGCAAGGAGGGGUGAAAGGGCAUGAGGGCACGAGGGCACAAGGCAGGGACAGCAGAGCAGCGGAGCAGAAGACGACAGGACUAUGGGAGACAGGGGGACCAGGGCUAUGGUCCGAUGCCCAAAGCACGCGUAGCCAAAUGCACAAGCGGGGGUGGCACGCGCCAGCAACCCCCCCUCCCCCCCAUACACACACACACACACACACACCCACACACACUCCAACCCCCCCCCCACACACACACACCUCCGCCACCAGCUCCUUGCGCCGCGCCGCCCGCGCCUGCCUCUCCUCCUCCGUCAGCUCCUCCUCCUCCUCCUCCUCCUCUUCCUGCUUGCGCCGCCGCGCCGCCUCCUCGCCCUCCUGCUCCACCUCACUGUCCUCCCCACUGCCCUCCCCACCCCCCUUCUUCCCCUUCCCCUGCUUCUUCUCCUUCUCGCCGCCGCCAGCCGCCGCCGCCGCCGCGGCGGCGCCGCCCCCGGGCGCGCGCUCAGGCACGAGGCGGCGGAAGAGGUUGCGCACGACUGCGGUGCAGAAGUGCAGGAGCUCGCGGAAGUGCGGCAGGCGGGCGGGCGAGCGCAGGUCGGGGUCUGACAGGAUGACGUAGAACACACGCAGCACCGAGAUCUGAGGGAGGGGCGUUGGGGUGCGGGGGUGGGGAUUGGGGUUGGGGGUUGCGGAGUUGAGUGGGCGUUGUAGACUACGGUAUCAGGCAUAGUUAGGGUUGGCGUGGCUAAACACGAGACGCAGCGGGAGCAAGGGUCACAGGGUAUACACACGCACACACACACACACACACACACACACACACACACACACACACACACACACACACACACACACAGGCACACACACACACACACACACACACGCACACACACACACACGCACACUGACGGUGCGCCAGAUAGUACCAAUCGCGGCCCGCUGGUUGCUUGCGCAUUCGCACCGACCCCUUCUUCCCCUUGUGCGUACCUAACUUCCUUCGUUUCGCCCUGACUCCCCCCUCCCCCCUUCCCCCCAACCCCCCCCCCCCCCACACCCCACCACCCACCUGGUACAGCAGCGGCUCCAGGUCGCAGCGGUCCCUGCCGGCAAUGCGGUACAGCAGGCUGGUCAGCGCGCGCGGCACACCCGGCGGCAGGCCGCGGUAGGCCGCCAGCAGCUGCGCCGCGAAGUGGAUGACGGCGGGCUGCGCCAGCUUGCCGCGCACCUUGGACUCCAGGUCCAGAGGCCGCUCCACCACCUACAUGCCAGGGGGCGGUGCCCCCGGGGGGGGGGAGGUGGGAGAUGGAGAAAGGGAGGGGGAGGGCAGGGGAGAGGGAUGGGAGGGCUGUAAAUCCCAGCCCAAACUAAACCAAACGGGGGUUUAGGGAAGCGGAGUGGCGGGGCGCGGGUGCGUCGGUUGGGGAUGGGAGGAGGUCGUGUGUGCAGAAUGACGUAUGUGCAAUGGGAAGCGGCUAGGGCUGUUGGCGGCCCCCAAGCGGCCUGUGCGGCCCCUCCUUCCCUCCCUCUACUUCAUCCCUACACACCUGUUGGCGGCGGCCGCCGUCCUCGUCCUCCUCCUCGUCGUCCUCGUCACCCGAGCCCUGCCAGCGCGGGGGCGGAGGGGCAUCCAAGGCGUGAAGCAUCCCACCACAUAUGCCCUAGCACCCAAAAGGUACCGUGCCUCGAACUGGGAUUUGCGCGAACAACCACAUCCCACGCACCACCCACCCACACAUCACCCCACCCCUCACACACACACGCACCCCCCCACACACACACACACACGCAGACGCGUCGUUGGGCGAGCUUUCGUUUCGUUUUCUAACACACACACACACACACACACACACACACAUACCACCCAUCCACCCACGCACACACACCUGGCCGCUCUCGUCCAUCAGCUCAUCCAGGGCCUUUCGCCGGGCGGCGGCGGCGGCGGGGUCAGCUGCGGCCCCUGCUUCCUCCUCCUUGCCGCUGCCGCCACCCUCCUCCUCCUUGUCACUGCCGCCCUCCUUCUCGCCGCCCUCCUCGCCCUCGCCGCCCUCCGCCUCCUCGUCCUCCUUCUGCUGCUGCUGCUUCUUCUUACGCCGGCCGCCGCCGCCGCCGCCGCGCUUCUUGGCCUUGACCAUGAAGCCGCCCGGCUCCAGCGCUGUCAGCCUGCGGGGCACACGACGAGGUAGGUGGGGGAAGGAUGAGUCUGUCCAUUCCCGCCGUCGUUUGAACCAGUCAUGCCUGGACCCCUACCCCCCACCCCACCCCCAACUCCCCCCACACUCCCCCAGCCCCCAACCCCCCUCCCCCCCCACACACACACCCCAACCCCACAAAAACACACACGCCCCCCACCACCACCCCACGCCCGCACCUGUCGUACAUCUUGAGCACGUGGCUGAGCGCCGUCACCAGGUCGCAUGCGUAGGCCCGGCCCUGCCGCGCGAAGUUGAAGCCGCCCAUGAGGCGCGCCAGCACCGGCAGCAGCCCGCUGUCCGCCAGGUCGUCAUGCAGCAGGCGCCGCUGCAGGCGGUCGGCGGCGGCGCGGUCGUGGGGGGAGCCGUGGCGGUGCGCGGCCGCCAGCACCGCAAGCAUCUCGGUAAGCAGGCGGGUGGACACGGCCUUUGGGGUGGGGGUUGGAGGGGCAGGAGGGGAGGAGGGGUUGGGAGGUGGUCUGGUGAAGCGGUAGAAGGGCAUGAGUAGAGGAAGAGCAUGAAUAGAGGAAGCAUGAGGGCACACAGGGCUCGCACGCGCGCACCUGCAGCUCCCAGUCCCUCAGCUUGCCGCUGGUGUCGGCCUGCUCCACCCACAGCUUGCACACCUGCACGGGCGGCCGCACACACGCAGGACCAGAGGGGUUUGGAAAGGUGGUUGAAAAGGGCGGUACAAGAUGGGGGGAUGACACGCAUUAAGUUUACGAAGUGAAGUCGUAGGGGGAGGGGUGUGUGCCCGAGCCCAACGAAAUAGGCCCCAAGAAGGGGGUUACAUGCAUUAAGUUGACGGAGUGAAGUUGUAGCCAGGUACAAAGGUACACAAGAAGGGGGGCGGGCCGAACACCGUGCCAGAGAUCGAGGUCGAGGCAGCGGGGCUGACAGGAGGGCGGCGACAAGCGCAUCAAGACAGGGGGGGGCUGAAAGCAUCAAACCACCGCCUCUGUUGCCUCUGGUUUGCUCAUGGGCACAUGGUGUCGGCCCCCUCCAUUCGUGCGUUCCCCCCUCCUCCCCUCCCCCACCCCCCCAACCCGCCCACUCUCACCAGGUGGAAUGUGUCCCAGCCCAUGGUGCCGCUGAUGCCAGCAAACGGCGAGUCCUCCUCCUCAGCCUCCGCCUCCGCCGCCUCAGCCGCCCGCGCCCCGGCCCCCUCCGGCUGCGCCUCGCCGCCCGCCGCCUUGCCGCCGCCCUCCUUGCCGGCCUCCUGCUCCGCCGCCGCCUUCUUGGGCUGCUUGGUCCUGUUCGCCGGCGCCGCCUCCUGAAUGCCCCAGGCACAAACACACAGCACUCAUGAGUCAUCACCAAUCAGUGGCAACACCUCGAAAUUUGACUGUGGACCCGGCAGCGUAAACCCUGCAGCCCACCUGCGCUUCCCCAUUCGUUUGCCCCCCUACAGAGCCCCCUUCCACCAUUCAGUCUCAUGGGAAUGGUACCAGCACCCUCCCCGCCCCCGCCCCCGCCCCCGCCCUCCCCUUUCCUCCCCUCCCCUCCCCUCGCCUCGCCUCGCCUCCCCCACCCACCGCCCUCUCCCGCCCACCUGCUUCAUCCUGCAGUAGGCGCUGAAGAAGGCCGCCACCCGCAUGAAGCGCAGCAGGUCGGGCCGCUCCAGCCGCCCCACACCCACACCCGCAGCCACCUCCUUGCGGACCAUCUCCAUCAUCUGCGUGCGUGCGUGCGUGCGUGUGUUUUGUGUGUGUGUGUGUGUGUGUGUGUGUGUGUGCGGGGGGAGGCGGAGAUGAACAGUUGGGGGUCCAGGGCCAUGUCGACCCUUUACGCAUCACCUGCUCCCCCUACGCUAAUCUCUCACACGCGCACGUGCACCCACGUGCACGUAAACCCCAUUAUCCCUUGCCUCUCCACCCCCCUCCACCCCAGCACCCACACACACACACACCCCUAAAUCUGCAUCGCAUACACUGCCCUACGCGUAAUGUUUUCCUUGUGCUCUUUAACACACACCUGGUUGUAGCCGCUGGCGAUGAGGUCGUCCGCAAAGCCCCUGAGGCUCCACAUCAGCUCCGCCUGCCGCCGCAGCAGCGAGCUGCCGCUGCCCGCGCCGCCCGCCGCCACCGCCGCCGCGGCCGCAGCCACCGCCGGCAUGGAGGUGGCGGCGCCGGGGCGGGCGCCCUCCAUCUUGGCAGGAGCCUGCGUGCGUGCGUGGGUGCGUGCGCCAGACCGUGGGCGAGGACCGACACACACGGGGCCGCCCCCAACGCCACAUUCCCACGUGCUCCCUUUUCCUUGGUGCUCUCCCAAUACACCAUGCUCCCAGCCCCCCUGCUCCGUUGGGCCUUGGGCAUAUACCCCCCAUAUAUGUUGGGAUCGGAAUGAACUACCCAACCACCCACCCAACCACCUACCAACGCCACACACACACGCACACACACACACACACCAACACAUACACACACAUACACACACACCAACACACACACACACACCAACACACACACACCAACAUACACACACACACACACACACACACACACGCGGACGGAGCACCCACGUCCACGAUCAGCUGCUUGACCGCCAGCGCCCCGCCCGGCGCCUGGCCGGGCUUGGAGAUGAAGCUGCGGCGCUGCCCCGGGUCGUCCGUGUGCGCCACCACAAACCGCCCGCCAAAGCCGGCAUGGCGCGACACCGGCGCCUUGCCGCGGAGCAUGGCCGCCGCCGCCAGCUGCUGCUUACGCAGCUGCGCCUGCACCGCGCUGCCCAGGGCGGAGGGCGGCCCGGCGGGGCCGGGGCCCCUGGCGGCGCCGGAGGCGGCGGCGCCGCCGGCGCCCGGCGCCGCACGGCUGCCUGCGGGAGCGCCGGAGCCGUGGAACGCCGCGGGGCUGGGCUUGGUGGCGGCGGGCUUGGCUGCGCCGGGCGGCGCAUGUGCUGCAGGCUGGUGCUGCUGCUGCUGCUGCUGCUGCUGCUGCUGCUGCUGCUGUGGCGGCGGCGGCGGUUGCUUGGGCUUGGGCGGCGGCGGCGGCUGCUUGGCUGCCAGCAGCUGGUGUGGCUGGAUGUCCUUGAAGGUGUCGUGGAUGAUCUCUAGCAGCACCGGCAUCUCCCGCCGCAGCGGCGCCUGGCUGCCGUGCUGCGCCACCAGCAGCAGCAGCUCCAUGAUGGACUCGGAGAACAGCAGGCUCAGCAGCGAGGACUGCAGGCAGGGGGGCGGGGUGGGGGUGGGGGUUACAUGCAUUAAGUUUACGUGGGUGGGGGUUGGGGAGGAGAGGGGAGCCAUUUCAUGUGAACAAUUUAAAAGGAACAUGAGAAAUGGGAGAGGGGGCACAUGGGGGCACAUGGGGGCACAGGGCACAGGGCGCGAGGAGUGCAGGGCAGCGGAGGGGACGCGAGGGGCUGGCGGCCUGCUCCGCAGCGCACUGACACAGCCCAUGACUGGUAUUGACCGCGUGUCGCGUAACUAGCGUGCAUGGCUACCUCCCAUGCUUUACGGAAUGCUGCAACUGCAACUGCAUGGCACACACAUCCGCGGCAAUAUGUAAACUAAUGAGCCCCAACGCAGUUCGGCACCGUCUCCGGUGCACCCUCCCCCCACGGCUCCACGGCCUCCGCUCCCUGCUUCCGCCCCGCCCCGUCCCGCCAGCCGACCCCCACCCCCUCCCACCCCCGCACCCCCUCCGCCUGCCGCCCGCACCUGCAGCCGCGUGCGCGCCGAGCCCGCCGCCAGCGUGGGGCUGGGCCGCUCGUCCGGCACCGCCAGCAGGUUGCGCAGCAGCACCAGCACCAGCUGCACCGCGCUCUGCUGCUCCGGGCUCAUGCGCGGGUGGGCGGCCAGCGGCUCGGCCACCAGACCCAACACCGCGGCCAGAGCAUCCUGCGGGGCGCAGCGUGGUGGUCGGGUUUCGGAACCCGGGAACCGACAUUGGGCUCGGUUCAGUUGUCAGCGCGAUCCCACGGUGCGACCCGCACUGCCUACCUCGGGCUUUAGGGCAUCUUGCUACGUGCGUGUACAGCACAUCGGUCGCCUGCCUGCCAUCCCGCACCCCCGCCACUGCGGCGCCCGUUCCCCGCCAUCCCUCGCCAGCCCCCAAACGUCCGCCUCUCCCCUCCCAAAUGUCCCGCCCCCGCCCCCCCCCCCCCACGCACACACAUACACACCUGCUGCAGCAGCGCCUCCUUGACGUCCCGCACGUACCCCUCCUGCACCGCCGGCCGCGCGCUGGUGGACUCCACAGGCAUGGUGAGGUAGGUCAGCGCCUUGACUGCAGGCAGCAGGUGGGGAGCAGGUGAGAGGGAGAGGGAAGGCAGAGAGUGGGAGGGAGAAGGAGGGGGACAAAGAGGAGAGGGAGGGGAGCAAUGGAGCGUUGGUUUGAAUGCCACAGUACCGUAUGUGAGACCCAGGAAGAACCCAGGACAAGGACCCAGGCUGUUCCCUCCAGUUCCUCCCCACACGGGGCACCCCCCCCCCUCCGCCCCCACCUGUCUGCAGCGUGACGUCCUUGUCGUGCGGGUACGUCACCAGCAGCGGCACCAGGUCCUGAAGGGGGGGAGGGAGGAGGGCGGGAGGGAGGAGGCAGGGACCGGGCGUGGGGGGUGGGGUGAGGGUGGGUGGAAGGUGGGUGGAUGGGGGGUGCUUCCACCGUGCCCAGGAAACACGAGCAGGAACGAAGCAAAAGCGCCGAUUAGACCGCGUGCCAUUGGACAAAGGAGGGGCCGCGUCUGCCGUUCCCAGCCGGUCGCCGAUGGGUCCGUCCUCCACCCAGAACCGCAUCUUCCUGCCCAGCUCCCCGGCCUCAUUCCGCCCCCAAGCAGCACCCACCACACCGCCCCGUGUGCACUGCCCACCCCCCAGUUCCCGCUGCCCCACCUGCGCCGCGAUGCGCCACUCGCCCAGCCUCAUGAACACCGGCCGCAGCUCCGGGUCGUCACGGCGGAGGAAGCGCUGCAGGUCCUUCAGGCAGCCUGCAGCAGCAAGCAGCGGCAGCAGCAGCAGCAGGAGGAGGUGAAGGAGGAAGGGGUGUAGGAAAGCGGGGCGUGUGGGUGUGUGGGCGGGUGUGGUGAGCCGUGCAGGAGGCGGCAUAGGGGCUGGGGUUGGGGCUGGGGCUGGGGCUGCGGAAAGCGCCGCUGUGGCACUGCAAGGUGUCCUCUGCGCUCUGCCCGUUGUCAUCUGCCGUCUGCACUCAGCCCUCUCAGCCCCGAAGCCGUGUGUAGCUGUGUUCCCCGGCCCUUGAACUGCAGGCUGCAAUGCGGUGCACGUGCGCCCGUUGGGACAGCACCGGAGGGCCCCAGCGCUCCAGGAAGAGCCUCCCAGCGCCCCAGGCCCCCGCCCUUGCAGGCUCCAGGCCUCCCUCCCUCGAAGGCGGCAGUACCAGCACUUGUACGUCACAGAUACGGGCGUACGGCACUCACCAACACAGUCUUUGUCCUUAACGUACACCUUGUGUCCGGUGGCUGUGUCCUGCAUCCACUUGCCCAGACCGUGCGCCACGCUGAUGAGCAGCUGCGGGGGGAGGGGAGGGCGGGCGGGCGGGAGGAGGUGGAGGAGGAGCGGGAUGGCAAGGGUGGUAUGGGGAAGGGGGGUUGAGGACAGGGGCGGUGGUGGCGGGUGGCGGAGGCGGGAGGGUUACGGGAAGAUGGCAGUUUGCGUGGGUGGUGAGGUAGGGCGGUGAGUACUUGCAUGAAGGGAUGAGAAAGGCCCGGUCUGGCAUGCUGCUGUGCCAGCUCCCACGCUGCCAUAUACAAGGUGCGCUGCACGGGGUAGGGGCUACUGGCCAGGGCUGGGCUACCAACGCGGCCGCUGGCACUGCCCACGCCCGCACCCUCGCCACGGGCGCGCCACUCCGCACCUCGUAGUCGACGGGGUCGGCCUGCGGCGCUCCCUCAUAUUCAUAUCCUUCAUACUGGUCGCCUCCAAUGUCAUCGGCGUCGUCCAGGUCGUCAUCGAGCACAACGUCGACGUCUCUUGUGCCCACAUCGACCUCCCGACGAGCAGCAGCUGGCUCCACACCGUACGCCAUGCUACUUCUUAUAAUACAAUAUGUGAAGCUACCUGUGUCGGCCUGGCUGCCCGAAAACGCGGGACAGCGCCAAGCGACACUCUGCGCGGGCUCGUGAGCAAGUAGGUCGCUGCCAGUAUCUGUUAGGCCAUUUCAGUUAAGCACUAUAAUAUCUAUGCCAUGAAUUAUGAGGAACAAGGCCUCUGGGGCGCUCCCUGCGUUUUCUGUCGAUUGCUCAAAUUGAACGAGGUGGCUGGAUGCCUCGCGCGGCCAGGGCGCAGUCCCAACGAGAGCCCAGCAUAACAUACUUUCUUAUCAUUUGCCGGCUUCAUGCACAGACAAGACCGCUGAAUGAACAUCUUGCGACAGAGAAGCAUCCCAUCCACGCCUUGAGGCUGGGCACGCUCUUUCGCCCAUGUUUUGAAUACCCGUUUGAUGUUGUAAUCCUCUGUACCAAGAGACUCUUCGUGAGCGCCAGAUAGGUUUACAAAUACACAGAGGUGCCGAGCACGGCUGCCGGCAGGCAUGCUCCAGCACGCUCUGAAACACGCAGUUCCCUGGCUGCGCUUGGCGCAGCACAGAGCAUAGCAUACGCAGGCCCUCCCACCACCAUCUACAUCACUUCACGUAAGCGUUCCGCUCGCACAUGCGCACGUUGAACACCUGUGCUUACUAGGGCAUUCAACGUCCGCCCCACAGCCAGCUCCAGCGCCACUCCUGCUGCUCCUGCUUGGUGUCAGUCGCGGUUCACAGGGGCAGCUCGCCGGAGUCGGCGAUGGUCACCUUCUUGCUGGGCUUGCCGCUGCUGGUGCCCACAGCCUCCACCUUGUACACCACGUCCAUGCCCUCCACGACUGCGGGGCCAAGUGUGGUGCAGUACGGCGGUGGUUCAGUUGGGGGAAAUCAGACCGGCAUUCAUGCCAGGUAGGCUUUCGCAAUGUUUUGAGCUCACGUGCCGCGGAAGUGGACCCAGCUCCAACAUGUGAACCCCUACGCCACGCCCUGUGGGUUGGCUUGUCCUGGCCCGCCCCGGCCGCACCACAAGGGCCAACCCCACGCCCCUGCGACACCCCCACUUCCCAUGCCUCGGGCUCACCCUUGCCGAACACGACGUGGCGGCCGUCCAGCCAGCUGGUGGUGACUGUGGUGAUGAAGAACUGAGAGCCGUUGGUGUCGGGGCCGGCGUUGGCCAUGGACAGCACGCCGGGGCCGGUGUGCUUCAGGGCGAAGUUCUCGUCCUGUCGCGGAGGAGAAGGGGAAAGUCCCGUGCGCAGGUGAGAGGAAGGGUCAAGGGCGCCUCUGUGUUGCAGCACAGCGAGUAAGGGCGAGGUCCUCGCAGUCGCAAGUGUGACAUCGCACUGCAGCUGCGGAAGCCCUGGCUACAGGGCUACACUGUGUGCCCCCAGCGUCGAGUUGACUCACGGGGAAGCGGGAGCCGUAGAUGGACUCGCCGCCGGUGCCAUCGCCGCGGGUGAAGUCACCGCCCUGGAUCAUGAACUGGGGGAUGAUGCGGUGGAAGAUGCUGUUCUUGAAGUGCAGCGGCUUGCCCGAGGUGCCAGUGCCCUUCUCGCCGGUGCACAGGGCGCGGAAGUUCUCCACGGUCUUGGGCACGGUGUUGCCGUACAGGCCAACCACAAUGCGGCCUACGGCAGCGUGGGGUCACGCGGGAGGGGUUGAGCGCCCCCGAACAAAAGCAGGAUAAACGUGUCACGCGAACCCGGGGGGAUCGGGCGGGAUGUGCGCUGGACCGACGCCAGGUGGCGCCCAGCUGCCGGCAAGGUGGUCGCUACUGAGUGGAAGGGGCGGUCCCGCGCAAACCCCGCCUGACCCCGCUGCUCACCCUCAGGCUUGCCAUCAAUCUCCACGUCGAAGUACACCUGCGCAGAUACAAAGUAAAGGAUGCAUCGAAUGCAGUAUGCAAGCUUGUCCAAGCCCAGAUCAACAUGCAAGACCGAUGAGGUGUCCAGCCACGCUCGUCACAUUCGAGACCACAAUCCUAACCAUGUGGGCUCCAUUUACAUCCUUUGCUCGAGUGCUGAGCACCGUUUCAGCGACACUUAACGAUGCUGCGCACCAAGCGAGGGCACCUCGCCAGGAAUGUUGCACGCGCUUAGUGCCCACCUUGUGCGUGAUAGUGGUAUCCGCAGCAACCUUCUUCUUGCUGCCCUUCUUAGCGGCGUGCACGCCGGUCGCGGCCAGCACCACCAGGCCAAGCAGAGCCAGCGCCAGAGCGCGGCGAGACAGAGUUGGGAGCUUCAUGGUAAAGGCAGUCCAAUACAACAAUGUACAAACUGAGCACAAAAUGGCGCAGUUGUGGUUUUAUGCGGUAGUGCCACGGAUUGCGAUGGUAUGCAGGCACGGCACGCCUCCCCUUUCUCGCAACCCCCAACCCUCUUCGUUGCUGUCGGCGAGAGCCCCUUCCCCGCUCCAUCCCGCUUCCGCCGUAGUGACCGCGCAAAGAAUCCUCCAUGCAUGAAGCAACGGCAACCCUGCCUGACUUGGUUCCCAACCGCUCACCUCGCACUUGCAUGUGCAUCGUGGCAACAUUUUGCGCACGCAAGCUCUGUUGCGAUCCGGCUAGUGGUCCGCGGCAUCCUGCUCCUCUGCCCACAGCAGCAGGCGCUCUAGCAGUUCAGAGAGCUCAAAAUCCUCGGCCUCGUCGAUUUCAAACCUUCGACCAAAGCGCUUGAUUUUUCCAUCCGCGACCUGAACUGUGAAUGCUAGUUCAUUUGGGUUCAUAGGGUCUUUGACUUGAAUAGUCAUGCCCUCUGGUUCGCCGCGCGGCCACAAUAUCCUGUAACUCGGAGUAUAGUCGCUGUCAAUGUCCCAAGGACUCUCAUAAAUAGUUUCAGCAGUGUGAAAGACGUGAACAAGCAGGGUAUUCACAUCGUGGUCAACAUCUGGCGAAGCGACAGCAAGCUGGUUGGCAGAGAAAAUGACUGCGGACAUGGCAACACGUUGGGAGUAAACCUCGAUGUGUAUUGGGAAAGGUGUUGGGGAAGUGGACUUCCAGGGGUUACAUGAGCGCGCUACCCUGCUUGAACACGCUCGCGUCGGCCCGCCUCGCGCCUACACAGGUUCCAGUGUUCCACGGCCUGGUGCAGGUCAGCGGGCUGUUCGACCAGCUCCAACACCUAAAGCCGCGGCACACGACAGAGGAGGAGCUCGCGCGGUGAGCCGCGGCCGGGAGGAGGAAGGGAAGUCCGCUGCACGAAGUGGGCAGUUCCUUUUCAGCCUCGGGCGGCUAGGAGGUUUGUGUCAGUACCCAAAACCUAACCUUCCUGCGGUCUGGACCCUUCAAAAUUGCUGAUGUUGCCCAAGGACAACGAGAUAACUAACUUGAAAGUACCUUCCACUUCACUCACCGCCUCCAACCCUCCGAAGCUGCAAGGCUGAGGAGCAGUACUACAGACCCUCUCACACUCCGCAGUGCCAGCCACGCCCUUGGCAUCAGCCGCCACUGCCGAUCCCGGUGCCGCCACCCGCUGCCUCCUCCUCGUCAUCCGAUCCCGAUGCCGCCAUCACAGCCUGCGCUGCCUACUUCCUGAGCUGCUUCUAUGCUGGCCACUGCCUCCCCGAACACUGCCACCGCAGGCUCAAACCGCAUGCCCAGGUCCAUGGCGCGCUGCGGGGACGACAGCGGAUGCGGGGACGAGAGCGGAUGCGGUGUGAGGACGGAUGCGGACCGGUGUAGACAGCACCCAACCCCCCCCCCCUCGCCGAGUCCCUGGCUGGCUGUUGUUUGCCGAAUCCCUCUCAGGGAAACCAACCCACCCUGAUGCAGCUGGCGUAGCUGCCGACGUUGUUCGCGUACAGGCGCGGGCGGCAGUGCGCGUGCCCGUCACACCCGCUUCCGCGGAUGCACUCGACGUCCAGCUCCUUGCACCGCGCAAAGCGCAGCGCCGCCUCCACCGCCUCCGCCGACAGGCCUAGCGUGCAGACGCCCAGGCCCAGGCCCAGCUCAUCCUCGCGGAGGUGCACGAGGCACUUCCAGGGGUAGACGAGUAAUAACUCGAUGAUCUUGAGCGCCUGGCUGGGGCUGCACGCCGUGGCCAGCCCGAUGUCCAGGAACCCGGAGCUAAGGUCGCCGAGGGCGCACCACUCGCUCUCAAGGCAGAAGCCCACCUUCCUCGCGGUGAGCCUGCGCACCGACUCCAGCGCCUGGCGGCGAGACUCGGCCGCGUCUAUUGGCUGCCCCAACGCCGCCGCCACCUUCUCCACAUUCUCCGCCACCUCCGCCACCUCCACCGCUGACAUCAUGAGCACGUACGCGUACUGGCCGUGCGGCGGCCCCGUCGGCCCCGCCCCCAGCUCCACCGCCAUCACGCCAGACCGCGCGCCAGGCAGGCCGGCAACUGCCCGGUUCAAGGCGGCGGCCGCCGACGGCGUCACAGGCCACAUCCGGCUGAACGGCAUGAUGGUGCCGGAGACCAGCACCACCAGCUCCAGGUCGCCAGGGAAUGGCCCGAGGCCCAGUUUCUCGCCCAGCUGCUCGAGUGUCAGCUCUGGGCCAAGCUCUUGCACGCCUUCCACGCCCACGCAGCCCAGCCCCUGGACCAGGGAGUCGAACCACAUUGUCUCCCUCUGGCCCUGGAGGGUGCCCGCGAGGGCUUCCAUCACCAGGCCAGCCCCGCCUGCGAGGUCAUCGGCCUGCCUCGCCGGCGGCUGUGGCGGCGGCGACGCCCCCUGGAGCUCGGCGGGCCCCACCCGCUGCAUCGCGCUCCAAGUGCGAGCUGCCACCUCCGCCGCCGCUGGCUGCACCUCCUCCUCUUCCGCCGCCGGCGCUGCAGCCGCGGCCACCGGAAUGCUGCUGCACCGGGAUGCUACUGUGAGCUGCGCAACCACCGCACGACCAGUCCUGGCCACCUUGGCGGUGGGGCUGCGCACGUGCGGGCUCCGUGGGGCUGAUGGAGCCGCGCGAGAACCCAGCAAACCCCGCCUGGGGCUUCCGAGAUAUGCUGCUCCUACGUACCCCUGAAACUCGUCCGACAUUUCUGCAUUGCACCAGAGAAAUGUUACGUUAGAAAGGUCGCGUUAGAAUGCGACCUUGGAGCCCGCACACGAGUUAUCGGAGGCGCAGUUUCUGCCUGCCUAAAACCGGUCCCAGUCAGUCCGGAGAGUCGGAGGCGCAGUUUCUGCCUGCCUAAAACCGGUCCCAGUCAAUCCGUCACGCGGCCACCGUCGACCCUGCCCGGUCUCACCUAAUGAACGGCUGCGGGUUGCUAUGUAGGUUGCCAGGUCCACUGUCUCGGCAUUGAUGCCGACCUGCGGGCGCGAGUGGGAGCGAGAGGCGGCACACAAUCAUUCUCUACAAAUUACAGCACCUGGUUCCAUAUCGGCUGCGUGCCGCGCGGCCGAGGCUGAGAACUAGACGGGCCGGGCACCAAUCUAGGCGCGCUAUUUGUGCGAUUCGCGGCCACCGUCGACCCUGCCCGGACUCACCUAUGUCCCCGAGGUAGCCUCGGCGAGGCGAGACUUGGCCGGGUGGCCGAGGCGCGGGCGAGAGAGCGCGAGGGAGGCCAUACAGUUUUGUCGUGUAGACGCAAAAGGUGUUGACUUGCACGGUGUCAAAUUCUACCGUGGAAACAGUAGUUGGAUAUUCGCUCUGCUGCAAAAAAAGGCUAGAACGGCCUUAGCGGAAUCGGGCGGCAAUCGCGGGCUCCAUGGCUAAGCAACCCUGGCUGGAGCUUGAGGGCUUCUCUCGGGCCCAUAUCCUUGUCACGUCAUCCACACUGAAUCUCUUCACGGUACUUAGGGCGCCAUGUCCUGGCCGGGGUGUGCGGCUGGCAGGUCAAACUUCCCCAUCUGCCGUACAGCGGUUGCCGAGGGAAUGCGGAGUCUAGGUGCUGGCCUUCUCAUGAAAUUCACUCCAUGUGGCCGACUGGAUGUGCCGUGUCUCCGGGACCAACCUCUGCAGACCCUUGUGCUGUGGUUGCCACUGAUGGCCACGCCUGAAUGCUUGCCAUGACAAUGCGACUUGGAACACCCGGCCCCAUCAUGGCCCCGUACACAGCCGCCAUAUGCACGGCGCCUUUGCACGGGGUACUGCGGCCGACAUCGGUUAGGCUCGCAAGUCAAGCAAGGUGCCCGCGUUCCCCUCGCCACGGGGGCACGGACAGAGCCUUCACUUGGCUGUUCUGUUUGCGUCAGCAUGCCCAUGGGCCAGGACAGGAAACACUAUGAUCAUGUGCAAGAGUUGCUGUUACGAGGCAUGCAUUGCUGUAGGUACCGCGGGCGUCCGCGCCCAGCGAGGGACGGCGAGGGCAGUGCCGGCACGCGAUACAAGAACCGGGACACUUUAGGUUCCGCCAAUCCGCCAUUGGUAGGCAUCAACUCAACCUUUAAAGUAGCUCAAGGACAUACCGAUGCAUAGUUGAUGUCUAUUAGAGGAUGCGCGAUCGCGAGCCACUGUCAAUUGUAGACGAUGCGACGCCAAAGCCCUUCCCGUGUCGCGCUUUUGCACCGGCUUCUCGGUUUCCUGCUUGCCACAACCCUCGUUAUGCCUGGACAAGGAUGCUUCAAGCGGCUCGUUUACCACGGGUGUGCACGCGCUCGGUGGCACGCGUUUGGUGCCGUCGCGUGCCGUCUCCCAUACGACGUGUUCCCGUGCGUUGACGACCAGCGUGGUUUAUCCCUCCAUGGCUUUGCGCAGGCAAUACCCACUGCUGUACAUAGAUGACUGCUCCAAUCACUUUGACAUGGGUAAGUGCUUGAGCGCUGACUGCCGAGGCUGCACACGCAGCAAAGGAGCCGGUGGCGUUGACCCCUGCAUCCGCGCCAUACAGGCCUGCUGGUGGGCUCCACAUUUGCCAAGGUCAUCAACGAGCGCGUCCGCGCCUCCAUCGCCUUCGCCAAAGUGCAGGUGGGUGCGGUGCUGGCCGCGCGGUCGGCUACCAGGGCCAAGGCGCGCGGGCGGUAUGGUCGUACAGCAGCACGUUCGUCGGGCUUGAUGAUCCGAUGACCUGCUGGGUGCUGCGCUCUCCGGCAACAGUGCAACACCCACGCACACGGCCCCUGGGCCCCGGCCCCUGGCCCCCCUGCCCCCUGCCCCCUGCCCCUGCCUGUCUGCCCCUGCCUGCCGCCCCCUGCUCCCUGCCUGUCUGCCCCUGCAGGCCUACUGCAGCACCAACUGGGGUCGGCAGCUGCUGGCGGCGCUCAAGGACACGCACCGGGCGGCCUUCCCGCUCUACUACGCCGAACUCAUGGGCACGGCGGCCGGCGCGGAGCUGCCCCUCGACACGGUGGGGCGGGGUGUGUGGGUGGGUGGGUGGGUGGGUGGGUGGGUGGGUGGGUGGGUGGGUGGGUGGGUGGGUGGGUGGGUGGGUGGGUGAAGAAUUGAAGGUACCGGCCCAAAGGGGGAAAGGGAGAGGGCGGGAGGAGGCGGUCGGCUGCUUGUUUGGGGGGGGGGGGGGUAGGGGGGAAAGGGGCUGUUCACGCCUGCACGAGAAUGGAACGGGGGUCCUGAGUGAGGAGGCGUGGAGGGUGGCAGCGGACAAGGGUCGGAGAGAGGGCGCGGGAAGAGGGUGACGUGGCCGCCGCCUUGGGCUGUAUGGUGGUGGGCAAGUCAGGAACGGCUGCCCCCUCCAUUUGCUUUGGUUUAGUUUAGGCUGGUACUUGCAACCCCCGCCCGCCGCUCCCUCGUGUCGCCCACCCGCCGCGCCCGCAGAUCUUCAUGCUGAACCUGCGUCAGGAGAUCCUGGCCGCCGGCGACACCCCCAGCGGCCAGGCGGCGGUGCAGGCCUGGCUGGCGGCGCGGCAGCGGCAGCAGCAGGAACCGGCGCAGGAGCAGCAGGAGCAGGAGCAGGAACAGCAGCAGGAGCAGCAGGAGCAGCAGGAGCAGGGCGCAGCGGCGCGGCUGCGAGGGGGGCGCUGGGGCAGCUCGCGGGACCCGCACGACGGCGCGGCCGCGGCGGCAGCAAUGCGCUCGGGUGGUGGCGAGGGGGCGGCCGGCUCGGGUGUGGGCGGCGGUGCUGCACGGGCAGCCGCCACUGCCGCGGCCCUACGGCUCUCGGAGUUGAGCCUGCAGGUCCAGCACGGCAGCGGCGGCACCAGCGGCGGCGGCGGCAGUGGCAGCGGCGGCAGCGACGAAGCAGCCAGUCACAGGGGGAACCAGCAGCAGGAUGGGGAGCGGCCGGAGGGUCUGGAGCCGGCCUGGGGCAGCGCUGAGGCGCAGAUGGAGCGGCGGCGGCUGGUGCGGCGGCUGGCGCAGUCGCUGCGGCGGGGCGGCUGCGCGGCGGACCUGGCGGCGCUGGCGGCGGCACUGGCGGGCGGCGGCGGCGGCGGCGGCGGCGCCGGGCUGCAGCAGGAGCUGGAGCUGGGGGCGGAGCUGGGCUUGGGGGUGGGGGAGGAGGAGACGGAGGGGGUGCCGGCGGAGCAGGAGGAGGAGCAGGAGCUGGUGACACGGCAGGAAGUGGAGGGCGGGGAGGAGAUGGAGCAGGCGGGUGACACGGUGGCAGGGGGCAAGGAUGCAGCGGCAGCGGGGCGCUCCGGUCUGGCCAGCGCAGGGGACCUACCCACCAACGACAAUGACACGCAUGGUGGCAGCAGCGGCGGCGGCGGCGGCGGCAGUGCGGGUCCGUACGUGGACCCUGCCAGUGUGGACGCGUGCAGUGACGUGGCUGUGCGGCUGCUGCCGGAGGGCGACGCGCCGCCGGGGGCGCCGCCGCGGCUGCUACUGCUGGGGCACAACGAGGACAUGACCAGCGACACACAGGUGGUGUGGGGGCUGUUGGGUGAUGGGGUGGGGCUGGGGGGGACUGGGGCUAGGGCUGUACGGGAUGGGGAUCGGGGGGUUGCAAGGACGGGGGAUGCUGCAGGAGCGGUCCAGGCAGUCCAAAGAAGGCGACAUCUGAACCGGGGAAGCGGGGGCGGUGGAGGGGGCUAGGUGGGAACCGGAGGCCGUGGGCUUGCAGUGCUGCAGGAGGAAUGGGAGGGCAACGGCGGCGUGCUCGCGGGGUGCUGCUACGCUGACCCAUCCCGCUGCUCGCCAACCCCACGUGUACCUGCUGCUGCAGGGCCGAGUCUACUUUGUCCGGGCCUCGAUGCCGGUGCGUGUGCUUCGCGAUGCACCUCCGCCUUUAAACAACGCACACAAACAACACACACACACAUACAAACACACACACACACACACACACACACACACACACAGAGACGCACCGCAUCGCGUGUCUUCGCAUCCGCGACUCUUCUUCCCACUUCGCAAUCGUUUCUCUCACGCUCCCCCCUCCCCGCCACCCACACCCCCACCACCUAACGCCUCAGGGCCGUGCCGCCUGGUUCGCGCUGACGUACGCGGGCGAGCUGGCCUCCACGGCCUUUGGCGCCAACACCGCCGGAGUGGCCUUCACACUCAACGCACUGUACCCCACAGGUAGGUGUGGGCCGCAAGCUGCCAGCAUGGGGGACAACAGCCCGGCAGCCACCCCACACACGCACGCACAUGCACACACACGCACACAAUCACCCACCGCCGAGCAAACCUACCACCUGUGCAAGAGUUGGUCUUUUGCCGUUCUUGGUCAGCUCGGCACGUGGCACCCAGCCGGCCGGCCGUGUGCCUCCGGGACACGUGGGCCUUCCUAACCCGCCCGACCCGCCCUCCCUAGCUGACACGCGGCACCCAAGACACGCCUCACCUGUGGCGUUAUAUCUCUAGCCCGCCGAUCCGUUGUCAAGGCAAUCGCGUGUCGCGUGCCACUCCAUUGUCAAGCAUCGGCCACGCUCUCCUCCACGCUCUAUUGCAUUGGGUUUGGUUUAGUUUGGCUGGUAUCUACAACCCUCCUCCCCUCCCCCCGCCCCCACCUCCAGAGGCGCUGCUGCCCGGCCUGGGCCGUAACUUCCUGUCGCGGCGGCUGCUGGACGCGGCCUCGGAGCCGGAGGCGCUGGCGGUGCUGGGCGUGGAUGGGCAGGUGAGGUAGGCGCGUACCGUAAGCAGGGGGCGGCGUGGGAUGAUGAGACGGUGGGCAGUGGGGCGGUGGGGCGGUGGAGGGCUGCUGGCUGUAGCGUGGGAGUGGGGGCUGCAGCCCGGCGCGUCGCGGCGCAGCGCCUGGCACUUGCCUGGCAGCCCCUUACACUUGAAGCGAACGCCGCCGGGGAGCUGCUGCUGCGGCCGCCAGCCCCGCAAUGCGGUGUCCGGCCCCUUCAUGAACCCGGCCUCGCGUCGCUCGCGUCUCACCCACGCAGUCUGCACGCGUCUCACCCACGCAGUCUGCACGCCUGUGGCACCGCAGCCUCCUCUCCUGUCCUGUCCCUUCCUUUCUUCACCUGCCGCCCAGCUCCCGGCCCCCUCCUACCCCCGACCCCGACCCUGGCGCACACAUAUACACAUUCACACAGCUUUGCUUGCGCAUUCGCAUGCACCAUGUUGACACAUUCCCCUUUUGCUGUCCUGACACACACACACACACACACACACACACACAUCGCAUACACUGUCUUUGCGCUAUGUUUUCCUUGUGCUCUUUAACACAUGCACACACACACACACACACACACACACACACACACACACACGGGUGGGAAUGUUGGGAAUGCAGGGCUAGGACACAGACGGUUUUGGUUAUUGAUCCUCUCUCUCACUUUGUGGCUGCCCUUAGGCAUAUCCUGCCCUGUGGGGAAGGGAAGGUAGCUAGUGCCGGCGGGGUGCUUGUUUUGCGGUUGCUGCGGCCACGUGCCGGACUUGGACGGUACAUGACUUUUUGCUAGGCGAACAAACAAUGCAUAGUGGCCAGCUGCCGGCUCGCAGCAGUGUUGAUAUAGACGGAGGUGCGGCUUCUAGGGCCAAACCGACGUCUCACAAUAUAGACAGAGGUGCGGCUCUUAGGGCCAAAUCAGUGUCUAACCACAAUAGAUGGAGGUGCGGCUCCUGUGGCCAAACUGACGUCUAACGCCACGCGUAGGCUUGGGAGACAUGUACUGCCAGACCCAUGCGCGACAAACAAGGUGCUAAUGCGCCCCUGGCACUAGCAACUACGGGUUGUCCGGAUACACGAUCACGUGAUCUGAUAAACAACUGUAAACCGUUGUCACACACACACACACACACAUGUGCGCGCACACACACACACACACACACACACACACGGCGGGAAUCUGGGAAUUAGGCGUGCUGGGUAAACGUUGUUUAGCGCGCCCAGGGUGCGGAGCAUGGACGCAUACAGGUGCAACGCAGGGUCAGGCCGAAUGGUCGCCCGUGGGGUUCCAGGCUUAUCGCGGGUAAGUAUGCCUACCUGGGUCACGACAGUCACGCGACGCUCGGUAAAAAUGGUGGGUAUUGGUAAGUAACUCCGUCGCGUCAUUGGGCGGGCUUUCGUUUCGUUUUUUAACACACACACACACGCGCGCGCACACACACACACACACACACACACGCACACGCACACAUACACUGUAAUGUUUUCUACGCGUAAUGUUUUCCUUGUGCUCUUUAACACACACACACACACACACACACAUACACACACACACACACGCACACACGCACGCACCUCCCACACACACACACACACACACACACAUACACACACACACGCACACACACACACACACACACACACAACACACACACACACACAACACACACACACACACGCACACACACACACACACACACGCACACACGCACACACACACACACACACGCACACACGCACACGCACACACACAGGCCACGGGUCGGUCUGUGAACCUGAUGUGCACCCAGCCGGGCCGCGCGGGCGUGGUGAACGUGGAGGUGGGUCCGGGCGGCAGCUACGACGUGCUGCAGCUGCGGCCGGGCGCCGACGACUGGUACUUCCACGCCAACGCCUACGACCGACUGCCGCAGCCGCAGAAGACAGACAACAGCAGCGUGCACCGCAAGGUGGGGAUGUUUGGGAUAUGGGGAGGGCUGGGGCGGGGCGGGGAGUUGUUGUAAGUUUGUGUCAAACCAGAACCAGAACCAGCAGAGCGCGGGGGGCAGGCCGGCAGGAGACGGGAGGGAGGGAGGGAGGGAGGCAGUGGGGUGGGAAAGGUAGGGCAGGCGGGGGCAGGGGUAGAGGGUGGGCAGCAGGCGGGGGCACGGGUAUCUGCAUGCGCUUCAAGUACGAGGGGCGGUGCGUGGUGGAGGACGAAGGCAGGUUGUCGUACGCGGCACCGUGUCCCCCGACGCAACCGCACCUCGCCCAUGUCAUCCUCCUCGCGCUAUCGAGUAUCGGCAUGUUGCCCACCGCCAACUCCGACCGCGCAGCUGCACCUCACCCUGACCCCCAUCGCUUGCAACUAACACCUCUGCCUGUGCUCCGCUCGUUUUCUUUGGUUUUGGUUUACUUUGAGCUGGUUUUAUAACCCCCCACACCCAAACCCCCGCGCCCAUCCGGCCAGGCGCGUGCCGCCCAGUUCCCCCUGCCCACCUCCGCCCGCGACGUGCUGGCAAUCCUGGGAGACACGGCAGACCCCGACUUCCCCAUCUACCGCACGGUACGGCGCCACCGGAGCCUUUUGAGCUGGAGAGCGCACACACUAGGAGGGAAGGACCCGCCACCAUCCCUAAUCACACCCACCUGCCACCCGCAGCCCCGCCCCCGCCCCCACCGCCCAGCCCCACCCUCCACCCCCAACCCCGUGUACCUACCUACACCGCCCCCUUUGCCUGACUACAAUUUCGCGUCUUCUCAUCAAAAUACCGCUAUUCCAAACCUCCUUGCAACUCUCAGGGCGACUACGGCGGUCUGGUGUACACGCUGUGCUCUGUGCUGUUCGACCUGGUGGCGGGCACCAUGACGGUAUUCCACGGCAACCCCAAGACAGGUGGGGCGGGGCGGGGCGGGGCGGGGCGGGCAGGGGAAAUCGGGCGGGGUGCAGCGGGACCGGUGGGAGUGCAAGGCGGGUGGCGGAUGAAACUGGUGGCUUGCUGGUUAGCUGGUGCACACAUGUCGCACGGCAUCGCAUAGAGGUUCUGCGUGUAUCCUUCCUCGUGCUCUCUGAACGCACAUGUGUGAGGAGGAUGCCGAGCUAGUCGGGUGUCGCUGACACGCACACCUGCGAACUCCGUGCCUGCCACUUGCUGCAGCUGCGGCGGGGUCGGUGCUCAGCCUGGCCACGCUGCUUCCACGAGGGGCGUGGGCGGCGGCGGAGCGGCAGUGAGCGCCAGAUCACCGGGCCGCGGUCAGGGGCCACAGGGCUGUGAGCCGGAAUCCUCGGGAUCCUUUGUCGAGGAUGCGUUUUAAAGUCACAGGUCAAACAGCAGCACUGCACUGUGGGUGCUCCGAGCGCGACACGAACGUACACGUGUCCAUGCCGUGGCGAUUUGCAUCCAUCCAUCCAUGGGCGGGAGCUGCUCGGGGGGCACGCCAUGAUGACUGCUGGUUGACUGGUCGCGAUGACGUGCACUCCACCGAGCCCCUGUCACUAUCAGUGGCACUGUCGGGUGAUCCGUUGCAAUGGGCGAGUAGUCGGGGAGAGCGGGCGUGCAGUGUCGCGUGCGGUGUCGAUAGGGCUGCGCAAGCGUGCACUCGGGCACGUGUGUUUGUGGCGUGUGUGGGCUUGUGGCUGGCCAGCGCCGUGCGCGUGACCUUCUCGUUAGGGUUGAUGAGGUGCCGUACAUGGUGGGGGGUGCCAUGGUAUGAGGUCGGGGGUGCACACGGGCGGCAAGCAAUGUACCGCAUGUCUCGUACAGUGGUGGGCGGCUGGCGUGCGCGUUCGAAUGUGACACUUUGAUCGACUUGGAAGACGGAGGUGUGGGGUGAGGCCGAAGUCUGUGCAGGGACACAGUGCUGGAGGAGGUCGGAUGAGGAGACUGAAGAUUGCAAAUAGUCUACAAGGGGUAUGGCUGGUGAGGGUGGCGCCUAGUGGUGUCAGGUAGGCUGCAGCGUUGUUGGCUGUUAAAGGCGAGGGACGAGCGGUGGAGGUGCGAAUUGUGUGGGGCAUCAUCGGCAGUAGCGGGUCAUGUCGACGCAUCACUUAUAUUGGUCUGAACACUUAGCAGCGGCGGAUACUACUUUCCAACUUUCCACGACCAGAAAGUCUCUCAAGGACCAACAAACGAUCCUUCGCUUGUUCGGUUAGCGAGCUAGGGUUCCUUCCUUCGUGCUCAUCGCCCCCGGCCUAUGAAACGCUGUGCGGAGCUUGAUCUUGCGGGUGAUGACCAGGCGCUGGCGACGAAGCGUUCGCGUGCGCUUGCACCUCAAGUGCCUGGUCGACUCGCCGGGCUCAAAGGAGGGCCGCUCCCGUUCGCAAGGGCGCCAAAGCUAGCCACACAGCAAAAUUUGCACCUCGGCAGGAAUCCGUUCCUCGACUUGAUCUCGCACGGGCCUGCGACUGUCCAAGUCCCACAUGCAACAGCCGCGGCAUGUCGCAGUCGGAAAGCACCUUUAGGCUCCCCACCAGACCACCAAACGCUGAGCAGCAAUCAGCCUAUAUGCUCGGAACAUGUAAAACGGGCGCCGGGGACCUGUCAUGGUUCGGGUUGCCUCGACGCGGGCGUUAUGGAGCGGACGAAGCCGGACGUCCCGGCCACGGCGCAGCGGGCUUCCUGCGCUAGCUCGGGCGAUGAAGCCGACGCCAGUAACAGCAUUUUCGGAGACGCCGACGCCGCACCAGCAGCACCGACAGCAGCGCCGGCGGCAGACGCGGGGGACUCGGACGCUGAGAGCUGCGCCAGCUACAGCACGGUGGGGAGCGCCAUUGACUCCGACGCGGCGCCUGAUCCGGCCGCGGGCGGCGGUGCGGACGACGAGGGUGAGGACUCCGCCACCAGUGCGCUGUUGCCUGGCUCAACCGCUCACGCAGCACCAGCAGCAGCACCAGCAGCAGCACCAGCAGCAGCUCCAGCAGCAGCUCCAGCAGCAGCACCAGCAGCAGAAGCAGCAGGUGCCGAUGCGCAGGGCCGGCCGCAAGACAGCUCGGCGACGCAGGGUCAGGGUCAGGGGCAGGGGCGGUCAGCCCGUCAGGCUGAGGCGCAGGCGCAGGCCCAGGUCGGCUGUGGCUGUGGCUGGCAGCCGCCGCGCCCGGGCUCCGUCCCGCCCUUCCAGCUGUACGCCAGCUGCGCCACCAGCCGCAGUGUGCUACGCUGCUGCAAGACGGCGGCGCGGGCGCUGUGGCCGCCGGGGGUGGCAGCCGCGGUGGCGCAGGGACAGCAGGUGCAGGUGAGGCGGGCGUGUAUGUGGGGGGGGGCGGUGGGGUUGGGGGAGGGCGUCUGGGGCCUCCGCGUGCUUUGCCGCGGCGUUCAACACCCAGAGGGCAUCUUGAUUGGUCCCGGGCCCACCUUGACCUGGCUUGCCUUGUCCAGACGCGGUGCCGUCCGAGCCGCUCGAUGAGACGCCGUGCCUGCCUAGCUACCUACACUGACUGCUUGCCUGCCUACCAACAUCACUUAUCUGCCGUGCCGUGCCGUGCCGCAGUGUGUGGUCCGGGUGGACCUGCCGUGGAACCCCGCUGGCGUGGAGCUGCGCCCGGUGGUGCUGCGCGGGCGUCAGAUGCGGCAGGGCGGGGGCAAGGCAGCCGCCGCCGGUGCGGCCGCAGGCUCAGGUGCAGCCGCCCCCCUGCGCUGUGUGGCGGUGGACGUGGCCUUUCCCGCGGGGCCGCCCGCUCCUGCCCCCGUGCCGAACGGGGCGGCGGCGGGGGCGGGGCCGGGGGCGGGGCCGACUGCGGCACCUGCAACAGAGGGAGCAGGUGCAGCCGGGGGCGCCGCAGCGGCGCCGGCGCCGGCGGUUGCUGGUGUUGCGCGCGGCGUACGUGGCUGGCGGCUGCUGGACUGCGCGCCGCCCGGCACUCGCUUCACGCUCACCGCCUCGGCGGACGGCGUGCCGCUGGUGCGGGUGAGUGCGGCGGGGUGUGUGGCAGGCACCCUGCAGUCCUGGGCCUGAGCACGCGCGUGUGUUAAGGGUUUCAUGGUGUGUGUGUGUGUGUGUGUGUGUGUGUGUGUGUGUGUGUGUGUGUGUGUGUGUUUGUAGUGUUGUAAGGCAGUGCGGUCAUGCGGUGGCGGAGCUCAGGCUGCUUGUGUGCAGGGCCCAACGUCGCCUUCCCCUCCUCGCCUUCAGGUGGCCACGCCGGAGGACGAAUUGGCUCGGGCAGCGGACCUGCGGGCGCGCGCCGAGCGGCGGCAGCGCCUGCGGGCCCCCCGGCGCGAGGAGCGACAGCGCCACCAGCGCGCCGCCCUGGAGGUGCUGGCGGGGGCGGCAGGCAGUGGCCUGACGGCUGCCAGCGGCAGUGGCAGUGGCGGCGACAGUGGCGGCGACAGUGGCGGCGGCACGGCUGCCGCUGGCGAUGCCACGGAUGUUGCCGGGGCCGCCGGGAGUGAGGACAGCGGGGCCUCUGCCUCUGCGACCAUCCACUUGCCCAGCCGCCGCCCUGCUCCUGCUGCCACGGCGGCCGCCGCAAAGACGCAGCAGCAGCAGCCCCCAGCCGCGGCCCCUGACCUGGUGCAAGCAGGCUCCGCCGCCACUGCGCAAGCCGCCCAGGCUGCGGCGGCGGCCGGGCCGAGCGAUGCCGCCGCGAAGCUGGCGCCCAGCAUUGCGCCUUGCGCAGCUGCGGGGCAAGCCUCACCGGCGCCCGCAUCCCCACCAGCCGCGGCCCAGGGCACCGCACCCGCCGCGGCCACGACCCCGGCCCCAGCCGGCGGGCCGGGCGUGUGGAUGGUUGUGAAGCAGCUGACUCAGUCCGAGGUGAUGCGCACCAGCUGCCGCAUCCACCUGCCCGCCACCAGCAGCAGCCUAGUGGACGGCCUGUGGCGCAACCCACGGGUGGUGGCGACUUGGGCAGCGGCGUCCGGCGGCGCGCCGCCGCCACCGCCCCGCACGGCGGCGGCGGUCCGUACGCAGCAGCAGCAGCAGCAGCAGCAGGCGCCGCCGCUGACGCGGGAGGAGGUGGCUGCGGGGCUGGAGGUCGUGCCUUUCCGGCGCGUGGGGCGCGUGGUGCUGGUGUCGGCGGACUGGCAGCAGGCCCGUUUCGAGGUGAGCGCUGCAGGCGGCUAGCUGUGUGUCGGCCACACGCUGCGGGCGCCCCACGUGCUGCAUGCCCCGCCCCCGCCCAGCCCUGUCGCCUCGCCGUGCCUUUGGUGUCCCAAUGCCCCGAACCCGGCCCCCUGGACGGUAACGAUUAAUGUUCCCCACGAUUGCCCACCGUCUGCCGCUUGCUUAACUAUUCAAGAAUUUAAAGCCCCUUUCCCCGCACCCCGCGCCCCCGGGGCCUGCCGCCCGCCGCCGCCAGGUCGACCUGCUGGUGGGUCGGCGCACGUGCGGCAAGCGGCCGCAGCUGGCCCUGGACGGCGCGGGCGGCCCCAUCGCGCUCUACUGCGCCCGCGUGGGCGACACGCUGUGCCUGCAGGAGCUGCAGGAGGGGCAGGAGCUGCAGACACAGCAGGAGCCGCAGCCGCAGCAGGCGAACAGUGGCUGCCUGGCUGCUGCUGCUGCUACUGCUGCUACUGCCACUGCUGCUGCUACUGCUGCUGCUGCUGCUGCUGCUACUGCUGCUGGGCAGCCAGCCGCGGGGGCUGGCACUGGCGGCGCUGGUGCGGGUGCUGCUGGAGCUGGGGCUGGGGCCGGCGGUGGCCGUGGGGCUCCGGCGCAGGGCCCAGUGGCGGUGUUCCGGUUCCGCAUCCUCAGCCGGGACCAAGUGCGGAUGCAGCGGGCGCGUCUGGAGGAGGGGCAGUAGCAGGGCGGGACAGGACGAGUCUGGGGUUGAGUUGGGGUUUGUACAUGCUGUGAAGAUUGUGUGGUGAUCGGGAGUCAGGACACGGGGUGUGGACAUGCAUGUGCAGCGGUGCCGUGUACCUGCCUGGCAUGAUGAGGUCAUGGCAAGUACUUCGCACCCUGCGCUGGCUGCGAGCUGGGUCUGAUGCGUCGUAUGUUCCAUUGGCACAGCUGCCAGGCUGAAUCGCAACUCUCGGAUUCCGUCAGCGUGUGUCGGGCGUGCUGACGUCUGUAUUCCUCAAACAGGAAGAAUCGAAAGUGCAUUUGCCGAACAGAUUGUUGCCGCAUUUAUCUUGUUAUGGGUGAAGCGCUUUUUAUGGUGCGCUAGGUGUUCGUGGGCGCUAAGCAAGCUGUACAAUUUUGGCCGUACCAUACAUUAUGUGAACACAUUUCCACGGGACCUGGCCUCCGUACCGGAAUAGUGUUGUUGUACGCUUGUGCGCUUUUGCAGUGAUAGUGAUGCCGUAAUGGUAAUCUGGUAAACAUUUUUAUGAUGGUGAUCAUGAGUAUUGUGAGUGGCUAGGUAGGUAGGAAGGCUUGGAACUUGUGUGCUACAGUGGGUGGUAUCAGUGCCGGAGCCUUGGGGUGAGGUAUGUGGGAGGAGUGUGCCCGUACCGUGCAAGCAGGACCAUGGGCAGUAUUUCUUGCGACGAGAGGUGUGCCGGCCGUGUAGAGCCGGACGAGAGGUGUGCCGGCCGUGAGGUUAGUCUGAUGUGCGGCCUGGCAUGUUGCACACUUGUACUCAUCGCAUCCGAAGGCCCUCCCUUUGCUGUUGGGGAGCCUGCCCCCAUGUGCAUCGCUACGGUACCUGUAUGCAUCUUGAUGACAUGACGCGCUGCUGGAAGUCAAGACGUUAAGUGCAAAGUCGAGUGUUUGGAGAGGUCGCGUUGGGAUGCCAACCGUCGGGCAAUGGCAAGGCUUGGGCUCCCUGCGGAGCCGUAAGCUGGGCCGGGCCCUGUAAGACAACAUCGCCGACGACACUGCCUCGCUGCUGAUGCCCCAAAUCGUGCGCCACCACCCCGGACGGGCGGGGGACGGCGUGGGACGGCAGGGCAGGCCUCGCCCCGUGUCAGGCAUCAUAGGGUUUGGCGAUGCGAAGCUUCUGCCGCUUCACCACUGCGGCAGGAGAUGCGUGCCACUAAACAUUCUUCGCGACUGCACUUGGAUAAAUAGUUAACUCACUGACCCAGUCCAUCGGCGUUUGACGACUGAACGGCGUCGCAGCCAAAACGCUAGCGUUCGAUUCUGUUACUAGUUUACCAUGGUUCUCUUAUCAUAAUCCAUCAUCAUAGUGCUGCGCGCCGGCGCAGUGCCGGCUGGUCCUGAAAUUCCUUUUGGGGGCGGGGCCCCUCGCCGCGCUGAAGCUCGCAGGCUUCGCUUAAUGAAGUAAGCGCACGAACAGCUUGCUCUGCAAUGCAAAUGGACGCCGCCGAGCGGUCGCCAAAGCGCGCUAAGCCCUCGGACCCUGAGGGCCCUUGCGACAGCGCCCGAGUGCCUGCGCCGUCUCACGGACCAACACCGGGCGCGUUGUGCCGACUAGGGGGCUUGGGGUCAGGGCCCGCCUCCUUGUCAAGAAGCUGCAAGCUAACGGCGGCAGCUUCGCCCGGGCGGCAGCCGCACACGGCCGACGAACAGCCCACCGCAGCUGCCGCCCAGCCGGCUGACCCGCCCACCGCGCAUGAUGCCGGCAGCGGCCGCCUCGCGGCACACCCGCACCCCGGCGGCGCAUCUGCAACACCCGGGGAUCCGGCCGCCCAUUCCGCAGCUGGCGAGGAUCAGGCGGAGCAGCCGGGCGCUGACACCUGGGGUGAAGGGGGCUCGGGGCGGACAUCCAGCAUUGACACGGUGGGCUCAAGCGCUGAUGAUGCCGAUGAUGAUGACGAUGACGACAGCAUCAGCGGCAGCCGCGGCGGGCCCGGGGCCGGAGCCGCCAGCAAUUUGGGCGAUGCCCUCGAUGCCACCCGCGGCAUCCCGGCCCGCUCAGGCCACGAGCCUGGCAACGAUGGCGCUGCCGGCGGUGCCGGCGCCAACAGUGGGGCUGGCGGCGGCGGCGCUGGCGCCAGCGCCGGGGCAGCAGGCGCAACUGGUGCUAAUACAGUUGCAGUGCAGCACCCCGGGCCGCUGGCGGCCUGCGCCCGGCUGCGUGUGAUGCUGAUGAACGCGACGGCUGCGGCCGCCAUCGCGACCGGCGCCCGCCAGCUCGCAAAGAGCGCCAAGGCCGGCAAGACCGGCAAGGCCGGCGUCACGCCGACGCCGGAGCUGGCGGCGGCGCUGGCCGCCUGCUACCUGCCCGAGCUGGACUGGGAGGCCAGCCCGGACUCGGGUGUUUACACGGUGUUCCGGCACAGCCACACACACCGCAACUCGCUACGGAUGGGCGUGGCGGCGGCGCACGUGCUGUUUCCAGACACGCUGCUGGAGGCGGCGUGUCGGCCGGCGGGCGUCACGGUGAGGGCGGGGUGACGCGACGCGUGUGCUGGAGGAGGCGGCUAGGGAGCCGGAAGAGAUGUUGUGUGAGGUUAGGGGGCGGCGAUGGAGGGGGCGUUGUUGGGGCAGGGCGGGGGGCCGGGGGGGGGGCAUUGGGGGUGGGGCGGGACUGUGCGCUGGCAGGGGCGGGGCGGGGCGCGGGAUGGCUCGGGGUUAGGCGCGCCUGCGGCUCCUGUGUGUCAGGGCGGGGUGACAGGCCGUCGGCUGGUGGUGCUGCUUGUCCGUGGCGGCCGCCGUCGCGCGACCGUGGGACGAAACGCAGCAAAUCAUUCGCCUCCCUCAACACAGGUGUACUUUUACUACCAGCGACCUCCGACCGCCUCGAAAGAAACCAAGGACGCCCAGCGACCGCAGCAGCCCAGUUCCGAACACACGGCGGACCAGCCCCAGACGGCUUCCUGCCCGGACCAGGAGCCAGAUCCGGAGGCCGAGCCGACAUUGGUCAUUCGCGACGGACUGCUUCGUCUUACCACCCGCAGCGACUAUACGCCUAAAUACGGCACUCCUCCCGCCGCCGACGCCGAUCCUUCCGCCGCUGCCACCAGCGACGCCACCCGCUUGCUCGCCGACCUAAAGGCCCAGCCCAGGGCGCGCGCCUGGCUGCGACUGCCCCGCGACAGCGAGUCGCCGUGCAUGGACCGGCCCAUCGUGUUCGUGGUGCGGCCCGACGGCGUGCCGGUCAUGCGCGCCGCCACCUACCGAGAGGCCGCCGCCGCCAAGUUGCCGCCGCCGCCGCUGGCGCCCAUGGCGCCGCCGGUGCAGGACGCGGCGCGCACCCUGGCGGCGGAGAAGUGGCGGGAGCGGCUGGACCGGCUGGCCGCUUACAACAAGCUGCUGCAGAUGCCGACGUGGCAGGCCGGCGCCGGCGCCGGCGCCGGCGCAAGCGCCGCAGGCACGGCGGCGGUUGCGUCGACAGUGAUCAAAGGAGCGGAGGGAGCGGAGGGACCGGAGGAGGUGGUGGCGGAGCUGGGGCCAGAGCCGGGGUUCGGACCGGCGCAUGGGUCGAGCCAGGGUGCAGGCAAGAGUCUGUCGCGGCAGUUGAUGAGGUCGGUGCACGACACGGCCCGGCGCAAGGGGCUGGUGUUUCGGAAGCUGUCGUGGAGCGACAUCCGCAGCCCCACCCGCUUGGCGCUGGGCGUGAGGUUGAGCCCCGUGCUGCUGGACCUGCCGCGGGUGGCGGCGCGGUGGCGGCACCACAUGGAGGAGCACGCGCGCCGGUGGCCGCACGCGCGGGUGGGUGCGUGGGGCGUGCGGGGCGUGCAGGGCGGGUGGGCUGGGGCAGAUGCGGGGCAGAUGCGGGGCAGAUGCGGGGCGUGCUGGGCAUACUGGGUUGGGCUGAUUGACGGCGUAGCGCGUGGUAAGGGGAGGCCCGUGUUGGGCAGGGUGCCGGCGGGGUUUGCCCUGUGACCCAACGUGCUGUGCUGCGCAAGGGGUUGCAUGUUAGGCUUCACACCCCCUCGCCCGCUCGGACCCUUCGCACUCUUGCACCCUGGCAGUGUUGGAUGGGGGGGCACGCGCUCUGCGCCGUGCAGGAGGUGGUGGCGCGGGUGCGGGGCGGCGCCGCCGGCCCGGGCACCGGGGCAAGCGCGGUUGGCGCGGGCGCGGCAGACGGACUGCUGCCGUCAGCGCUCCACACGGCAGCCGCAUCAGGCGGCGGGCUAGGGGGCGGCAGUGGUGGCGAUGGAGGCGGCGAUGGGGGCGGCGCCGGCGGGAGCAGCAGCAGCACGGGCGGCAGCUCCACGAACCACAUGCACCUCCGGCCCCUGGGGCGGCUGGUGCUGCACACUGAGGACGGAGGCCAGUUCCAGGUGCGGCCUGGGGGGUGGACUGGGUGCGGCCUGCGGUGCGGCCUGGGGUGCGGACUGGGGUGCGGACUGGGGUGCGGACUGGGGUGCGGCCUGGGGUGCGGCCUGGGGUGCGGCCUGGGGUGCGGCCUGGGGAGGGCUGGGGUGCGGACUGGGGUGCGGGCCGGGGUGCGGACUGGGGUGCGGGCCGGGGUGCGGGCCGGGGUCGGGCCGGGCGGAUGGCGGGCAGCACGGCAGGGCGAGAGGCGGGCGGCAGGGCGAGGGGGGGAAGAGGGGCGGGGAGCAACAGAGGGCGUUUGGAGCAUUUGGGCUUGUGGGGCGCAGGUGCGCAUGUGAGGUGGGAGCGCAGCAGCGGGAAGCGUGCCAGGACCACCGUACGGUAUCGAAGUUUGGAUCCUCACGUGUCAGCGCACACACGCACGCGCCUGCACACACCCGCACCUGCAGGUGUCUCUGGAGGUGGGGUGGCGCGCGGGCGUGUCCGGUCCCACCACAGUGCUGGCCGGCCCCAGCCUGCGCGACCUGCAGCUGCGUCUGCGCGCCUUCAGCGGCGACACACUCGUGUUCAGGCGCCUCUUCACACUGCCGACUGGUGCUGCGGGCGCCGCAGGCGUUGCGGGCUCCGCGAAUGCGGGCGCGGGCGCGGGCGUGGCUGCGGCUGUGGGCGUGGGUGCGGGGGGCUCGGUGGCGGAGACGAGCCAGCCGCAGCAGCAGCAGCUAGAGGCGCCGGGGCCGGGCGCGAUGGUGCUGUAUACGGAGCCAGGCUCGGCCGAUGCCCUCGGGAUGGCAAGAGCCAACGUCGGCGGCGUUGGCGGCGGCGGUGCUGACGAGCUUAGCUACGUGGAUGAGGUGGUGGGCGAGUUCAUGGUCACCAUAGACCGGGCGGAGUCUGCGGCCGGGGCUGCGGCCGGGGCUGCGGACAAAGGAAAAGGCAAAGCGGAGGGCGCGGCGGCCUGCGCAGCAGCGACGGACGGGGGUGGGCAGGGCGCGGUGGCAAGGGCGGCGACGGCGGCGGCGGCGGCGACCGAGGCGGCGCAUGCCGGGGAGCAGCCAGGCCCGGCCGGCGCGGCGCUGGGUGCAGAUGCGGCGGGCGCAGCAGGCACGCCGGGCGGCGCGGCAGCGGUGGCGGCGGGUGGCGUGGGAGGUGGUGGGAGCGCGGCCGCUGGCGCCUCAAGGGCCGGUCCGUCCAUGUCCAAGGCGAGUCUGGCGCGUAAGCGGUUGGCGUUAGUGAUGGUCGAGGGCGCGGGCGGGGGCGCCGCUGCCCCGCCAGUGCGCAAGACGAAGCAGCAGGUGGCGAAGGGGAAAGCGGCGGCGGGAGCACGCGGCGGCCCCGCGCCGCCGCCGCUGCCUUCCGCUGCCGCGGGCCGGGACGCGGAGGCUGAGGCGAAGCGGAAACGGGAGCAGAUGGCAUUGCUGCUGCGGCAGGUGCUGGGGUGAGGGCGUGGGUUGCAGGUGCUGGUGUGAGGAGGUCUGCAAAUUCUUGGCCUGUGUAAGUUUUGAUGGGGCAUCCGAGCUGGGCGGCUGCGAAGCCAGUGACUGGCACGUUGCAGUGCUGCCGUGUUGCAGUGCUGCUGGUCCCUCCCGGGUGACGGCGCCGCUAUGCCCAUGUCCGCUGUAGUGCACCAGGGUAGAUAUGUGGAUCAGACAGGGAGCGUUUGCAGAGUGGUAGGACUAGCCGAUUAGGAGUGCUGGACUGAACUGGCUUGGGCAGCUAUGCGGUAGUACAGUAUAUCGGGCCUGGUAUGAAUGCCGCAAACUGCUACCUAGUAUAAUAACAUCAACAAACUCCUCGCAGGGGUUGCGUGAGGACGGCCGACGGCGUUCUAUUAUAGCAUGGCGUGUUGUGCUGACUGCUGCAGUGGUGCGGGUCUCACAUGAGUCCCGCAGUGUCGACGUGCUGCGCGGUGUGCUGCGGGGUACGUGUGUAUCACGGUAGACUGGCGGGCAGCUGAUAAGCCAUGGGUCCACAUCUCCCGGCAUAUUGCAGAAUUCGGCCACAGUAAGUGGAAUGCAAAUGAAUUGCGGGGCGCACGCUUUUCGACCCCCUCGGGCAUUUGGACAAUUGACUGGCGACUGUGGCGACUCGUUGCGAGGUAAAGAGCCCGAGGCGCAGAAUUAAGAGGAAAGUCAUACUGGACUACACCUGGUUUGGCUAUGUGCCUGAAACCGACCCCGGCUAUGUCCGGGCGAUGAGGUUGUUCGGCCUCAGACUGUGGAGGGGCUCAGCCCCUUUUCCCGUGACCGGGGAACACUUGUCGACCCCCUGCAUCCUCUGAUGCAUCCUCUGAACAGCGGGCAGCCCUGACGACUGCUGCCCGCCACUGGCUUGCUCAGGCUCACAGUGGCGCUUUGUCCCAUGCCAGCUACGUCUGGUGCUGAGCACCAGUGUCCGUCUUUCGAAGAUUCCAUUUCACAUGUCAACCCUACCUUCACAAGCCGCCACACGCCACAGCCAGUCACUCUCUCUACCGUGUUCACCUCUUGCGUGCCUGCAUGCACUGCCCAUACCCGACCCCGACCCCGCGCUCCUCCCCCUCCACCACACGCCCAGUCGCCCACACGCUCGCAAUCACGCUCACGCCCAGCCCGCCACGCCCAGCCCGCACAUCUUGAUGUAGGCGGCGGAGAAGUCGCGGAAGAACAGAUCCUGGUCCGCCGCGUAACGCUGCGCAGUGUGUGUAUGGGGGGGGGUACAUUCAAUGAUGAUUUAAGAAGUGAAGGCAUAGCCACGAACAGUUAGUAUAGCGCGCGUGGGGGGUGGGGGCAGGAGGAGCAGCGGAGGGCGCAUUGCGGAGGCGGGGCCUGGGGGAAGGCACCUGCCAGGCGUGAGCGGCUGGGCAUGCACCCAACCUCAAGCCUUGCUGCAGCUCCUCUCUGGCCAGCGGCCAACACACCCACAGGCCCGUGCGGCCCCUGCGGCCGCUGCGGCCCCUGCGGCCCCUGAGGGCCCCUGCGGCCCCUGAGGGCCCCACCCACCUGGAUGACGGGCAGGCAGUCCGGGUCGUCAGGGAGCACGUGGUCGGAGGGCAGCCCGAUCAUGGAGGCCAUGGCGUCCUGAGGGGGUGGGGUGGGCGUGGCGUGUGGGGGUUGCAAGAUGUUACAGGGAAGCGUAGCGAGGUAGUCGUUCAAGUGAAGAAUCGCAAGGGGGGAGGUGGCAUACACAACAGGCGGGCGGGAGGGCGUGCGGAUUGGCGGGCGGACAGGGAAAAGGUGGGAUGUUGCAACACGGUAGGCGACAAAGGCGGAGGGGAGCAGUGGGAGGCGCCCAGGCCCGGGUGCUGCCUGGCGUGGCGGAUGAAGACACCCACCGGCGGCGGCUGGAGGCAUCAGGCGCGGAAGGUGCCACACAAGACGUGAUGCAACCACACGCCCGUGUGUGCAACCCCCGCAACCCCGCCCGCCCCAGCCGCCAUUUCCGCCCCCGCCCCCGCCCGCCCCGCAGCCGCCCCCGCCCUCCCCGCAGCCGCCCCCGCCCUCCCCGCAGCCGCCCCCGCCCUCCCGCGCACCUUUGUGUUGUUCCAGGGCUUCUGCAGCAGCGCCACGUAGUAGGCAUUGUCAAAGGUGACCGGGUCGCCAAAGCCCUUGCUGCCCAGCGUGUGAGCACCUGCGUGGUGGAGUGGCGGACCUUAAGAUGGCGCCGGUGGUGUGUGUGGCUUGGCUGGGUGAGAGGGUGGGCCCGAGGAGCAGAGCCCUCCCCCCUUCCCCACCCCCAAUUCCUCCCCCAUUCCCCAUGCCCUCCCACGCCCUCCCCCCUCCUCCCCCUUCCUCCCCCUUCCUCCCCCCUCCCUCGCCCUCCCUCUCUCCCCCUCACCUGACAGCGCCACCAUCUCCUGCACGCUCAGCCCCUUGGCCGCGAAGUUGGCCUUGAGCUCGGCCGCGCUGGCGUUCUCGGACGGCAUGCGGCCAGGCGGGUCCUGGCGGGCGGCCGCCGCCACCGGGCGGCCGAUGGGCAGUGGGAUGGCAGGGCCGCCGCACAGCCGCACCGCGAAGGCGCCGGCCAGGGCCACCAGGUCGGCGUCGGUCACCACGCCCUCCGCCGCCGUGCCCUUUAGGUCCGCGCGCACCUGGAGGGGGGGGGGGUGGCGGUGGCGAGGGGAGGAGAGGGGAGUGGGUUGGCGGCACUGGAUCUAUCUGGAGGCUGGGAAAACAGCCCCACCCUCGGCUGCUGUUCUGCUUCUUUCAUGCCGCUUGUCGCUUAUUGCAAAUGGUAAAAUUGAUUGCCAUCGCCCGCCCCCGCAUAGCCCCCGCACGCACACCUGCUCAAUGAUGCGCCAGCCGCGUUUGAGCCCGAAAUUCUCGGGCCUGUCCAGCUCGUACUGGAUGGAGGCGUUCAGGCCGCCGUCCUUGGCGCCCGCACUGAAGGUGGCGGCGUCGUGGAAGGCCAGGCGCAGAGCCACAGCAGUCUGUGCGUGCGGAGAGCACAAGGGGAACGUGUGCGUGUGUGUGCAUGUGCAUGUGUGUGUGUGUGUGUGUGUGUGUGUGUGUGUGUGUGUGUGUGUGUGUGUGUGUGUGUGUGUGUGUGUGUGUGUGUGUGUGUGAGCCGUGGAGCAGGGAACAGGAGAUUGGGGUGGGUACGGGUUGGCGGUGCCGGGGGGCAGGAGGCCGCGAGACCACACAUAUCAAGGUUCAUGGAGUAGGGGGAGCAACAGAGGGCAUCCGGGCGCAUCAUGCGAACUGAGCCGCAUCCAGAUCACCAACACCGGACCGGGAUGGUGGGGGCACCACUCACCAGCGCGGCCCUGAGGCGCCGUGCCGUGCCUCCGCAAAGUGGCACCGUCCUGCCUCGCCCACCCGCUGCGCCCUGCUUCCCCCACUGCCCCAAGUAGACCCGCCACUGUUGCACACCCUUGCAAAUUUGGUCCUCGUAACUCGCACCCUCUCACGCACCUUCGUCUUGGGGAUGUUCUUAGCAAGAGCCUUGUCCAACGCAGCCGCCACGGCCGGAGACGGCAACGUCGGCCCCUCGGCGGCGGCCGGCAGUGGCGCCAGCAGCAGCGCCGGCGGGGUGGCCGCGGCCAGAGCCGCCGCCAGGGCCGGCAGUGCCGCCCCCAGCUUCAGCACCGCUCGUCGCGAAAGCUCCGGAGCUACAGCCGGCUCCGAGGUACCGCUGCCUGUCCUAGUCAGGCGUGACGCAACCGCGAUGCCCGGGGCGCGACCGUGACGGCAGGCAACGACGUACGUACUAGUUACUAGCUAUCUAAGAGCUCGCAUCCCCUGCGCUCGCCUCCCUCCGGUGCAUGCGCCAGUUGCCGGCGGGGCAUCGUGGCCACGGGUACCAUCCCGAGGGGUACAGUUACGCCCGAGCUGCGGCCCAUCGAACAUCCGCCACGCACCCUCUUGGCGCCACUGUGACAGGUCCCGUAGCUUGGCAUGCGUCGCAACUCUGCACGCUCGUCGCGGGUUGCCAUGGCGUGUGCAAUUCGACAGGGAACGGUGCGAAAGGACGCUUGUACUCAUUUGUGACUACGGUGCGAACAGGCUAAUCUGUUUGUAUUUAUCAAGCAAGUGAGCAAGCCAACCCGGGCCCAAAAUGGAAAACGAUCGCCGAUUGCACGGUUCAUGCAUGCAAGUGAUUCAAGCACUGGCUAGGUUUGGCCAUAAAAUGGUAUUUAUAAGACGCAGGUGAUCGACGCCGUCAACGUUCACUACAAGGACAAAGCAAGAGCAACACAGAGUGCACUUCUCACUGCACCCGCACCAUUUCUAGUAAUAUAUACGCACAAAGAUGAGCUCAUGAUUAGACACCUGUCGGGGCUGCGUGGGCUGGGCUGCGCGCGGCGGACGAGUGCCCGCCAAACCGUGCACUUCCGCCCCUUCCCGCGCGCCCCCUGCACCACCAAGCUUAUGAGCACCGAGUCGGAAUCCGCAGCCCACGAGGCCGCCUCGCCCGCAGCCGAUCCGCCGGCCUGGCUGCAGCGGAUUAAGUCCAACUACUGCCGCGUGUGCGGGUCGCCGCUGAAACUGCUGAGGCCGGACGGGGAGCGCGAGUGGCGGCACGUGUGCGGCAGGUGGGCUGCACGGCUGUGCUGUGCUCGGAUCGUGUGCCCUAGCCCCAUGCGUGGGGCAGGGGGUGGGUUCGGGGGCGGGUGCAGGGGCGAGGCGGGUCUUGUCGCAGAGCUGCAUGCACCAGGGUGGGACUAGCAAGUGCCGCUGGCAAGGCCUGGCUCGCCCCAGCUCCUCCCGCGACGCCCUCCACAACACUCCUCCUGGCAACCCCCCCCCACCUCCUGCCCACCCUGUGCAGCUGCGGCUAUGUGGACUACCACAACCCCAAACUGGUGGUGGGGUGUAUUGUGGAGCACGAGGGAAAGAUCCUGCUGUGCCGGUGAGCCGCGCGCGCGAGAGCAGUUGGGGCCUUUUGGGCUCCUCCGUAAAUGUGUUGAAAAGCACAAGGAAAAAACAUUGCGAAAAGACAGUGUAUGCGAUGCAGCAAAGCGACGGAUUACAGUCCGUAAAUGUGUGUGGGUACCUCCCGUUGAAAUGUGUAUGGUGCCCUCCCCUUCAAACGGUGGGGAGCUGGCUUUCCAUAGAUCGAGUCAGCUGGGUUCGCUCAGUCACGUUCGUCAGAGGAGAUGGCUCUCGGGGGCCUCAGGCCUAGUGGCACCUGUGGCAGUCCGCGACAUUGUGCUCCCAACAGCCUUCACGCAUUCACACAGGCCCCGCCCUGACUUCAGUUCCGACCCCCAGCCCCGCGCUCACCUCUGACAUGGCGGCGCUGACGGCGCACCAACGAACACCCAUGCUGACGGGCUGACUUUGCUGCGGCAUGCCGUGCUGUGCUGUGCUGCGGUGUGUGGCUUGCAGGCGCGCCAUUGAGCCAUGCCGGGGGCUGUGGACGCUGCCGGCGGGUUUCAUGGAGCUAAAUGAGUCCACGGCGGCGGGCGCGGCGCGUGAGACGUGGGAGGAGGCCAACGCGGCAGUCAAGGUGCGGCCGCGGGUGGCGGCGGGCGGUGCGUAAGGGAGGUUGCCGCGAGAAAGGGUGCUGUGAGGGGGGCUGCUAAGGCGCUGCUGUAGGGGCGUGUGGGCGUGUUGGGACGCAGGGAGUUGCAGAGGCUUGGGGGCGGGCGCGGACAUGGUAGCGGACAGGUGGUGCCGGAGAAUCGGAUUGACUGAUGUGGUGGUCACGCGUGCAUAGCCAAAGUGCCCCGGUCAGGCGUCGUGUAGCGCCGUGCAGCCUGCAGGCUUCAACAUUACCAUUUACCUACCGCGUCUGCCUGUUUCCGCCUUAGCGUCACCUCCGCUAUUCCUACGUUUGUAUAUACAUCGGUAUAACAACCCCCACCCCGCUCCUGUUGCUCCAGGUGCUUGCUCCGUACGCGCACUGGGACAUCCCCGUCAUUGGCCAGGCCUACAUCCUGUUCAGGUGUGCGUGUUUGUGCGCGUGCGCGCGUGUGUGUGUGUGUGUGUGUGUGUGUGUGUGUGUGUGUGUGUGUGUGUGUGUUAAGACGUUUCAACUACUUUCACUAAAAGGGCUUGCACACAGAAGCUUCGGGGCCAGUAGCCUCGCAUGCACAUAGAAAGCAUCGAGCCUCGCCAGUGCCAAGCACCAGGACCAGGUCCCACGGACGGCGGCGGACCCUCUCAUUCCCCUGCCGCGCCGCCUCUCCUCCGCCAACAGGGCCGCACUGGCGCCGCCCUACACCUUCUCCGCCGGCCCCGAGUCCCUAGAGGUGAGGGGCGCGGAAUUACGCAGUGGGCACACUGCCUUGCACUGCGCCUUUGCUGGGUGCGGGCUGGGGUUUACAGGCUGGUUGACAUGCAAAGCCGGCAUGCUGCCUACUGUUUCUCCGGCUGUCCUGGUGGCUUGCCUGCUACUGGCCUUUUGUUGUGCGGUGUGUCCUCAGGUGGCGCUGUUCUCUCCGGAGUCCAUUCCCUUCGACCAGCUGGCCUUCAGCAGUGUGUCCAUCACCCUGCGACUGUACCUGGAAGACCUGAGGACAGGCACCUUCAGGGCGCACCACGGUGGGCACUGCGGGGCACCUGGGCUGGGCGGGAGGGGGCGGGACGGGCAAGAGGUGGGGGCAGCGUUGUCUGAAACCUGAAUAUGCCGCGGGUGUAUGGGCCGUGGCCGUGGCGUUCAAGGGCUUUGCAGCCUUCGUGCAGGCCCAGUGAACCGCUGCUCAGGUGCUGGCGUGUACGUAUGUCACCACGCCACCCACUCACAACUACUUGCACUCACAAAGGCCAGUCCCACGCGCCCUUCCCUGCAGGCGUGAUUGACAAGCGGCCCGGGUCACAGCCCAACGACCCCGGCGCCUUCGCGCUGCGUGACCACAUGGCCCUGGAGCUGGGAGGAGCCAGCGCCACUGCGGCCGGACCGGGCGUGCAGCAGUAGCAGCAGCGGCAGUAGCAGCAGUGGCAGCAGUGGCAGCAGUCACUAAUUUGGGAGUACUGGCAGCGGUCGCGAUUUUCUCGGCGAUUCGGCAGGUGUGGCAGGGCCGCAUGGCCACAACAUGUACGUAAGCCGGCUGCAGCGGACGCCCGUGCACGCAAUUGUGGGCCACAUGGGGUGGAGAGCGGAGGCAGAGAGUGAUGGUGGUGGGGAGGGGGCGGCGCCACGAGGCGGCGACUGUGCUGUGCUGCGGAAUGUCGCCAGCCGCAGCGCCGUUGCUGCGGAGGUGUGUGGAUGUCAAGGCGUACACCGAUGGGUGCUGAGCUGGCGUGGUCGAGAGCGUGCGAGAUGGAUGCUGCCUCGGCAUUCUUUCAGCCUGUGAGGCCGAGGGAGGUCAACAACGGCGGGGCAUGUGUGGCGGGAGGUCCGUUGGGCGCUCCAAUGGACUCAAUGGUCCCUCAGGAGCAUGUGUGCAUUGGGGGAUGGGCGCCGUGCAAAUGCGGCGGUGCAGCAAGCACAUUAGACUCAAGCCAUCUGGGGGUGAACGUGCGUGUUUGGUGCUGGGAUGGAAGACUCCCGCGUGUGGCAUGGCAUGUGCAUGGCUGACCAGCGCUCUGACGACUGAAGCAGCCGGGGUUCAACGCACGGCGCAGUACUGGCGUGCGCGCGGUUGGUCGGCUUACUCGGCUAGUGCUGUCCAUUGAUUGUUUGGAGCGGCUUGGAACGAGCAAGGGCUGCAAGAGCACCAUGUGCAUGGUGCUGUAUGUGUACGGUAUGUGCGACACGCCCUUGUUACGCCCCGGCUACGGACCGACAGCAGGGCUAGGACUUGGAACAGCUGUCGAGGUGGCGGGCUCAUUAAGCCACUGGGCUGUGUAGGACUGCGGGCCAACGACCAGGGGUCAAGGGGUGGGGAAGGGCCCGGCAGGGCGCCAGGGCACAUCAACCGCACAUCAACCAGCUAACAGCUCUACAGCCCGGAGCCCGCAAAGCGGCUGGGUCCCUGACUCCCUGCCAUUUCUCAGUGGCCUCAGUGGCAGGGGUAAGAGUCACGCAUUCAGGCAUAUGUGGUGAUGAGGGGCAGGGGAAUACCGGGGGAGGUCGGGGCGAGGAGGGACUGGGACUGGGAGGGCGAACUGGGCGAAGCGCGGCCGCGCGGCCUGCGCGCCUGACGCUCACCCGCGCUCACGGCCUGCCCCGUACAACUGACUCUUUUCAGAUAUGAUAGUAUUCGCCUGCUUUCCACACGUACACAUGCGCAUCAAUUCCUGUACUGUUUGGCGCUUUUGUACACGUUUUGAACGCAGCCUCCGGCCAUCCUGCCCCUGCCAACCGGGCCAGCCGCUCGAUUUUGCCUAUUGUAUGGUGGCUGGGACUGCAAUAUCAUAAAUUCAUGCCACCGCCGUGAGGACUGCGUUCUGGGCGAUUGGGAAGGCCGCAAGCGGGGCAUCGCGAGACCAAAACCCCAGUACGCAUGCGAGGACCACGCUACACCUCGACGUGAACCCGCCAGCCUCCAUAAUUUCUAAUGUGAUAUGUCAACGUUGUGCGCCUGGCCCCGAGGGCUCUAGAUCUGGCUUCGGCCCCAACCGACGCGCAUGCCUUUCCUGGGUCACUUUCCUCUCUCCACGCACUUUCAAGCGAGCGUGCAGGAAUGUAAUGCCAGAGCAAGUGCAAACGCAUUUGCAGUUGGGUCAGGGGCUGGCGACGCGCUGCUGACGCGCAAGUGAAUGGCCCAACAAGUCGCCUCGCGGUCGCUGUCGGCGCCAAACCCGCAGCUGCAUCCACCAGAUUCACUUGUUAGAUCGACCUAGGUUGCGGGACCGGAGGCGGCUCGCUGUGCAAGCGCGGUGACCUCGUACGGCGGCAUGGAUCGCCAUCUCGAUUCGCGCGGCAGAAUCGGGCCCCGCGCACAUUUAAGCCGCGGGCGAGACUCAUUUCGUUAACUUGCUCAGUCAGGUUCACUCAGUUACUCUCACCAGCAAAGAUGGCCUUCGCUCUGGCGUCCCGCAAGGCUCUGCAGGUCACCUGCAAGGCGACCGGCAAGAAGACCGCUGCCAAGGUGAGCACAGUGGGGAGCGUUCGACACUACUUGAUACUUGAGCUUGUUUGUUGCUUGCGCGACCCCGGUUUGCCGCGCCUUUUGCUUGCGCUUUUCGCUGAGUCGGUCAUCAACUGACCCGGAAGCUUUCCUUGCCCCCUUUCGCAUGUGUCCUUAGGCUGCCGCCCCCAAGAGCUCUGGCGUUGAGUUCUAUGGCCCCAACCGCGCCAAGUGGCUGGGUAAGUUGUGGCGCUGGUCGGAAGGGCAAAUAGAUGCGUCCAGGGCGGACAAGGGCUUUGAGCAGUGCCUGCUACAGGGCAGAUCUUCGGUCGCUUUCCAGAGCUGGCUGCGCCGUGAUCUCGUAGCAAGCGAAAGGAAGGUCUGAUGCACGUUCCGCGCGGCUGUAGGGCUCGAGCGCUUGUGCAUCGUCAAUAUGGGUCCGCUUACCACUGCGCGUUGCCUUUGCUCCUGCUUCCUUGCAGGCCCCUACUCUGAGAACGCGACCCCCGCGUACCUGACUGGCGAGUUCCCCGGCGACUACGGCUGGGACACCGCCGGCCUGUCCGCUGACCCGGAGACCUUCAAGCGCUACCGCGAGCUGGAGCUGAUCCACGCCCGCUGGGCUAUGCUGGGCGCCCUGGGCUGCCUGACCCCCGAGCUGCUGGCCAAGAGCGGCACCAAGUUCGGCGAGGCUGUCUGGUUCAAGGCCGGCGCCCAGAUCUUCUCUGAGGGCGGCCUGGACUACCUGGGCAACCCCUCUCUGGUGCACGCCCAGAACAUCGUCGCCACCCUGGCCGUGCAGGUGAGCCUUGCUAUGUCGUAUUCGUUGAGCGGGUGGGCAGUGGGAAUCCACGCUUGGGCGGUUGUCUCUGGUUCAUGAUAGAGCCUUGGUUUGAUUGGAGCAGGGUAAAUCAUGCAAGCGGCGUCCAGUACUACGCGGCAGCUGUUCAGCGCACGGCAGUAGUGCUUCUCGUUUUCGUGCUUGCCCCGUGUCACCGUACCUGACCCCCUUCCCCUCCCCCUUCGCUCCGCCUCUGUCACCCCUCAGGUCAUCCUGAUGGGCCUGAUCGAGGGCUACCGCGUCAACGGCGGCCCCGCUGGCGAGGGCCUGGACCCCCUGUACCCCGGCGAGUCGUUCGACCCCCUGGGCCUGGCUGACGACCCCGACACCUUCGCUGAGCUGAAGGUGAAGGAGAUCAAGAACGGCCGCCUGGCCAUGUUCUCCAUGUUCGGCUUCUUCGUCCAGGCCAUCGUGACCGGCAAGGGCCCCGUCCAGAACCUGGACGACCACCUGGCCAACCCCACCGUCAACAACGCCUUCGCCUUCGCCACCAAGUUCACCCCCUCGGCCUAAUUUGUAUGAGCGUAUAAGCUCUGCAGCAGCGGCGUAUAUUGGCACUUUGAUGUGCACGCGUAGAUCCGUGCAAAGGAUGCC
rnacentral:lncRNA from 1 species